rnacentral:lncRNA from 1 species
CACUUGUGGAAUUGGAUGGGAUGUUGAAAAGGAUGAUUUCGGAGAAUUUGGGAUUGAAAAAUCACAUUGAUGAAUUAUUGAAUGCCAAUUACUUCCUAUUUAGAUUUACACAUUAUAAGGGAUCAUCAAUUGCUAGUGGAGAUGAAAAUAAUAAAGCUGCUGGAUUGGGUGGCCACACGGAUGGUAACUUCUUGACUUUUAUAUCGCAAAAUCAAGUUAAUGGAUUGCAAAUCAACAAAAAUGGAGAAUGGAUUGAUGUGAUUAUUUCACCAAAUUCUUACGUUGUUUUGGCCGGUGAUUCCUUCAAAGUAAGUAUUUUAAGUUUUGAACUAGUGUUACUUAUCUUGUUGGGAACUGUUUUGUUUGAUUUUUAAAAGAAAAAAUAUUAAAUGAUCAAAAAAAUUAUAAUAUCUUUUUUGUUUUAAGGUUAAAUAAAUUGAUUUAAAAAUUUCAUUUUUAAUUAAAAGAGGGUAGUAAAAUGCUUAAAAAGCUAAAAUAAUUUAGUGUGAAAUAUAUUAUUUUAUUAUCAUUCUAAUCAAAAUUUCUGGUCACACCUUAUAGCAUAGGGGUUUCAGAGGGCCCCGAGAUAUUUUGUUUUGAUCUUAUAUUUCUCGAAUCUAUGAAAAUGUUAUUCCACUAGUGUUUAUAUUAUUUUCUGAAAUGCAUAUUUUUGAAUGAUUUGAUAUAUGCUCAAUAUUUUCAUGCAAAACUGAAAAUGAAUUUUGGUAUUAUUGACCGUAUUUGUAUUGUUUUACUCUCCAAAAAUAUUAUCGAUCGCAUCUAUCUUUGUAUUUAUACAGGCUUGGACAAAUGGUCGAUUGCAUUCACCUCUCCACAGAGUAACAAUGUCCGGACAAAAUGAUAGACUCUCCAUUCAAUUGUUUUCAUUAUCAAAGCCAGGUCACUUCAUCCAGGCACCAAAAGAACUAGUAGAUGAAGAACACCCAUUACUCUUCAAGCCAUUUGAAAUUCUUGAAUUAUUCAAGUAUGGUACCACAGAAGCUGGCUAUACAGCUCCUCCAAGUGAUCUUUUCAAGAUUUAUUGUGGUGUUUGAUAUGCUAAUUGUUGAAUUUCCGCUUCAACAAGCAACUUUUCUAAUGAGUUUCAUCUUGUUUUUUUAAGUAGUAUGCAUUUUAUGUUUGAAUUGUUGCAGUUGGCAAUUCAUGUUUAAUUUGUUUUUGUUUUUUUGAGAAAAUAUUUCCAAUGGGUUUCGUUGGAAAUUCGUCUUGUUUUUUUUUUUCAAGUAGUGUACAUCUUAUUUUUGGAUUGUUGAUGUUGAGCGCUAAUGUUUAAUUUGUUUGUGUUUUGAAGAGGAUGAUUAUACUCUUUAAGAGGAUUCACCGUAAUCUUUUAGUAUUAUUUGGUUUUAGAAAAGUAUAUCAUAUGAACAUUUUAUAUUAAAUUGAACUUAAGUCAUAUAUGGUCCUUUAAAGUAAUGUGAAUAUUUAAGUUAUACAUUUUCUAAUUUUAACUUAGGUCAGUAUCUAUUGAAUAUUUUAAUUUUAACAAAUUUAUGCUUAUUAAACACAAAAUAAAAAUCUGAUGAAAAAUAUAAGUCUUUGUGUUUCAAAUACUAAUACAUAGCAGAUAACUUAAUAAAAUAAUAAUAGAUGACAAUUAAAUUUUUAAAAAAAUUAUUUUCAAUCAACCCACACUGAUCCAGCCCCUUUUCUUCUUCUUUAUCAAAAUUUGUUGUCAAUUCAAAGCUUUUUGCCAUUUUAGAUUUAUAAUAACUUACUAUCAUAAUUAUCUAAUAAAGAAUAGGACUCCAGCUGAAAAAAAUAGUCAAUUUAUAUUAGUUUUAUAAAAAAAAAUGAGAUGUUGCUAGAAUAUAUAUAUAUAUAUAUAUAUAUAUAUAUAUAACUUUAGAAAAAUGAAAAAGAAAGAAUAAAUUAAAAGGGUUAGAGAAAGAGUACCAGACGUAAUUAAAGGAUGGUGUAGUGCAGAAGAAGAUAAUGUUUUUUCAUUUUUUUUAAAUAAAAGUUAAAGUAUAUGUCACACUCAUUUUCGCGUAACAGGCGGAAGGGUUUUUUAAAUUUAAGUGAUGGUAUUAAUUAGAAUAUUUUUAGUCAUCACUUGAAAUUGAGUUAUGGUGUUUCAAAUCACCUCUUUGUUAAUCCCUAACCAAAAGAAAUGACUCAUUAUUUUUUUAAUCUGCAAACUAGAAAUUUGAGUAAGAAAUUAUGUUGAUCGAGGAAAGAAUUAGGCAUCUCACGAGUCUCAUAGUUUUAGCACGAUCACUUUAUUGACUAAUACUUGACUUAAUUUUCUAUUAUCACUAUACUUUUGUAUAUAUUAUCUCAGACCAUGAUUUGCUCAUAUUUAUUUUAUUUGUUGAACUUUUAUUUGGUCUCAACAACCUAGAUGCGUAUUUGCAUUCUUGAUAUUGAUGUUUAGAGACAUAAGUGUCUUCUUUGUAUCACACUUAUUAACAUUAUCUAAAAGUCUUAUGUUAAAUCAGUGAUAGUUAAUUAUUUAUUUUUCAAAUUGCUUCACCGCAUCCUUAAAUUUUAUUUAUAUCUUAAAAAUAUGCACAACCACAUUCUUAAUUGUAGAGCUGUCAAUAUGGGCUAGGCCCGUUGGGUCGGCCUGGCCUAACCCGGGAUUUAAUAGGGUUGGGCUAAGAUUUUUGUAGCCCAUUUAGAAAAAGGGCUUUUUAGCCCGGCCUGAAUAAGUCUGCUCAUUUGGGGGGCUUGAGAAAUAUCGAUAGGGCCGGCACGUGGGCCAAUAAAAAUUAAUUAAAAAUAUAAUAUAAUAUUAAAAUUUAAAAAUAAAGAGAGUCCAAAAUCAAAACAAUUAGGUUAAUAUUUCUAUUUAGAUAUUUAUACUUUUUGUUGACAAAGAAAUUAAUAAGUAUUAAGGAAAAUGCACAAGUACCCCCUACACUAUGACCAAAAUCUCAGAGACACACUUUAAUUAAAAUAAGGUCCUAUUACCCUCUGAACUUUUUUUUUCUUUGUAAUUUUAUACGCCUUUUGUCUUAUGUGAUACUCUAUGUAACUCCACGCAAUUGAGGCGCGACAGAGAUAUUUGGAUGCCACGUAGGUCAAAGAGGUACACAAAAUUACAAAAAAAAAAUGUUCAGGAGGGUAAUACGACCUUAGUAAGGUGUGUCUUUGGGAUUUCAGUCAUAGUCUUGGGGGGUACUUGUGCAUUUUCUCUAAAUAUUAUAAAGAUAAUUUUAUUUGUGAAUUUGAUUAACAAGUAGUGACAUUAAGGUCUCAUUUGCUUUCAUUAAGAUUAAGACGUCUGGAUUUGAAUACGCAUUUAAAUAUUAAGAUGUGUAAUAAACAUUUGAAUAUUAAAAUAUGGUAUCUGAAUCUGAACACUAAAUUAUUGAGACAGUUUGUUUUCAAUAUAUGAAUGCACAUAUGAAAUUAAACGUUAUAUCAAAAGAAUAUUAUCAAAACCUUGUUAGUAAAAUAGUUUUUUUUUCAUAUAAAAUAAUAUUUUGAACAUUUUUACCGUAACAAGGUAAUAUGAUUUAUCUUUUAAGAACUCAACAUCAAGUUACAUCAUUAAUAUGACUAUUUUUUGCACUCAAAAUACUUUGAGAAUCUAAUAUAAUGCAAUUUAAAAUAGUUUAUAUAGAGUAAUAAAUAUAUAGUUUUGAAAAAUAUUUUAUUUUAUUUUAUCAUAGAAAUUUAUUAUUGUUAACGAUCAAAUAAUUAAUAUUUUCUUAUUUUUGAAAUCGUGCUAAAUAUUAUAUCAUGGAGUGCUUAUCAAUUUAAAUAUAUUGAUUAAUUUAUGAAAUUAAAAGAUGUAUAGUAAGUUAAUAUGAAUAAAGGAAAUUAUAAUGUCAUGUAAUUAAAUAAGAAAACAACUUUUAUGAGUUGUUGUGAUCUAGUUGAAUUAAGAUAGGAGUCUUAUUUUUUUAGUCUGAAUAGUGUUAAGGGUGUCUUACAAUUCAUUCAAAUAUAUACAGACCCAUUAAGAGGCUUAUAAGAAAAUAAAACAAACGAACUUAAUGAACUGAAUCUAAAUAAUUAAGAUCCAGUUCUUUAAAAAAAAUACAUUUAAUGAGGCAAAUCUGAAUUAUUAAGAUUCAAACCCCAUUAAGUGCAAACAAAUGAGGCCUAACAUAAUGUAAUUUUAUUUUGUCGAUAUUUAUGAUAAUAUUUUUAAAUUGUAAUUUAUAAUUUAAUUUAAUAAUUAUAAAAAAAUAUAAUUUUUUAAAAAGUGGGCUGGCCCGACAAGCUUGUAGCUCACGUACUUGUGGGCUGGGCGGAUCAUUUUCUGGCCCACACCAAAAAUGAGCUAGCCCGGCCUAACCCGUAAAAUGUCAAAGCCUAUAUGGGUGUAACGACCUGUUAGUCGUUUUGAGCAGUAGAGUUUAUUCUCUAGAAAUAACUGUCUGAGUCGAAGGAUCCCACGACGGAUCGUCAUGGGCACGAUGGACCGUCGAGGGUGUCUCGUUCCAAAACACUUAGAAUUCUGAAAAAUUUGGUACUGAGAACAACUCUCUGAACUUCGCGACGACAUGGCAGGACGGACCGUCGUGGGCACAACGGACCGUCACAGACCCUUUGAUGAAAUUCAGUCUCUGAACUUUGUGACGGAAGCAGCAGGACGGACCGUCGCAGGCACAACGGGCCGUCACAGACUGCGUAACCCGGACUGGGUCGAAUUUCUGUUAAAAGUUUUAAGGGGCGUUUUGGACUAUUCCUUCUUAUAAUUAUAAAGUUAGUGGUUGAAUGUUAAUAAUUCAAUUACUCGGGGGUUAAAGGAGAUAACCUUGAAUUAAUUAAUGGGUUACUUUAGCAUUUUUUAUACUUAAUUAUAUGGUAAUUAGGGUAAAAGAAAAAGAGUUGGAAUAAAGAAAAAUCAGAAAAAGAGAAAGAGAGGGACGAACGAGCGAGAGAGAAAGAAGAACAAAGAGAAAGCAAGGGCAUUGGAGAAGUAGAUUGCGUGAUCACGAUUCUUCGGUGGAGGUAGGUUAUGGUUUAUGCUAUUUCGUAGUGAAACUCUUAAUAACGGAUGAUAUGUAUUGGGUAAUUCUGUAAAGUCUUCUAUAUGCUUAAUUGUGUGCUUGCAUGAUAUGAUUAUGUAAUUGUGAUGAAUUAGCAUGAUGAGGCUGUUGAAUCUUAAACCUUAAAACCUCUCUAUUAAUGAUGAUGCCUUGGUAUAAAAGAAGGCUUGAUGAACUAAAAGAAUGAGGUUAAUGGAUCGGGUGUCACGAAUCGACACGUAGUAUUAGGGGAUCGGGUGUCACGAACCGACACAUAGUAUUAGGGGAUCGGGUGUCACGAACCGACACAUAGUAUUAGGGGAUCGGGUGUCACGAACCGACACAUAGUAUUAGGGGAUCGGGUGUCACAAACCGACACGUAGUAUUAGAGGAUCGGGUGUCACGAACCGACACGUAGUAUUAGGGGAUCGGAGUGUCACGUUCCGACACAAGAGGAAUAAAGAGAAUGAAUCUUGAAUUAUGUUAAUGGACUCAAUUUAAUGAACCUAUUUCCCAAAUGAGUAUGGUAUGGAGGCUUGAGUCCUCAUGGGUGUACUUGGCGUUAUUAUCAAUGAUCUUUGUACUUGUUGCUACUACCUGUUGAGUAUUGUAGUUGAUUUUAUGAUAUUAUCUGAUAUAUAUUGUUUUCUAUUUUGAGUUGGCCGAUGAUAUCUACUCAAUACUCGUGUUUUGUACUGACCCCUACUUGUAUGUUUUCUUUUUGUUAAUUGUGGAGUGCAGCAAACGUACCAUCGUCUUCAACUCAACCGCAACUCUAGCCAGUCUUCAUCACGUCAGAUUUCAGGGUGAGCUAUUGUUUCUAGCUUGGACUGGAUCUUCUUCUUCACGUCUUGAUGCCUUGAAGUUCUGGCAUGGACUAGCUGUUUAGUUAUUUUAGCUUCUUAGAUACUCUUAGAUUUAGUAAUUUGAGGAUAGAUUGUUCUUGUGGUGAUGACUUCCAGAUUUUGGGGAAUGAUAAGCAUUGAAUUUAAGAAGUUAUUAAUUGAUUUCGUUAAUGAGUUUUAAGUCUUCCGCAUUUUAUUCUGUUUAUUAUGUUUGAAAAGUUGGGGUUUAGAUUGGUUGGUUUGCUCACUUAGGAGGGUAAGUGUGGGUGCCACUCGCGGCUCGUUUUGGGUCGUGACAAACUUGGUAUCAGAGCAUUAGGUUCGUUGGUCUCAUCACACAAGAACAAGUGUAGCAGAGUCUUGAGGAACAGUAGGGCGACGCCUUUACUCUUCUUUGAGAGGCUACAAGACUUUAGGAAAAUUCCAUUCUUUCUUUCUUUCGUGCUAUUACUUGGAUCCAAUUGGUAUCUAGGUGAUACAAAUUGGUAUCUGACCAUCUUCACUCUAUUUCGCAGAUGGUUAGAACUAGAGCAACAACCGCGCCAACACCAGCACCGGCAAGACAAGAGGCGUCUGAGCCAACCACUGAGACUGUAGCUCGAAGAGGAGCAGUGGCAAGAGGCCGUGGUAGAGGUCGCGGGAGGACGUCCUCUAGAGGAAGAGGACAAGCACCUGGCCCAUCUAGUACUAGGGCGGUGACUCCUCCACCGACUGAGGAAGUAGUAAGAGAGGGUGAGGAAGGGGAGAAUGAGCAAGUGCAGAAUGAGGAAUUACCACCCCAACCUACCCCAGAGAUGAUUAAUCAGGUUCUUGCUAAUCCGAUCAGGGCCAGACACCUCCAGUGUUUUCUGCACCAGCACCUCAGGUUCCGGGAGUACAACAUGCCGCUGCUGUGGCACCCCGCAUGGAUGCCUCAUUGGAAAUAGGCACGUUUCCUCGGUUGACUACAGGGCCUAUAAUUAUAAGUGAUCAGCAUGAACUCUUCAGUAAGUUCUUGAAAUUGAAACCUCCAGUCUUCAAGGGUACUGAAUCUGAGGAUGCCUAUGAUUUUCUGGUUGAUUGUCAUGAGCUACUACACAAGAUGGGCAUAGUAGAACGAUUUGGCGUCGAGUUUGUGACCUAUCAAUUUCAGGGGAACGCCAAAAUGUGGUGGCGAUCGUAUGUUGAGUGUCAACCAGCACAAGCACCACCUAUGACUUGGGCAUCAUUCUCUGGCUUGUUUAUGGAGAAGUAUAUACCCCGGACUUUGAGAGAUAGGAGGAGAGAUGAGUUCCUGAGCCUAGAGCAAGGCAGGAUGUCGGUUACUGCGUAUGAGGCUAAGUUUCGUGCAUUAUCUAGGUAUGCCACCCAGCUUUGCUUCAGUCCACAAGAGCGGAUUCACCGUUUCGUGAAAGGAUUGAGGUCAGAUUUACGGAUUUCAGCCUUACAGGUAGCUGCUGCAGCAAAAUCUUUUCAAGAGGUGGUAGAUUUCGUGAUAGAAGUGGAGGGAGUGAAGCCAGACGACUUCACCAUGGCAUCGACAUCCAAGAGGUUUCGUAAAGGAGGUGAGUUUAAUGGUUCUUACUCUAGAGGGCAGAGUUCAGGAGGUUAUCCAGCCCACCCUAUUCAGUCUUCACUACAGACUGUAGCUGGGGGUCCACCGCAGACCGGUCAACAUUUCUCUGAGUUUGGAGGUUAUUCCCAGACUCCGUCGUUCUCACAAAGACCUAUGCUUGAAUCUAGAGAUUGUUAUGGAUGUGGAGAGACUGGACAUAUUAGGAUAAAUUGUCCGAAAUUGAGUUACAGACCCCCGAUAAUCAGAGGUAGAGGUGGUCAUGGAAGAGGUCGUUAUUCGGGAGGACGUGGUGGCCGAGGUAAUGGUGGUCAUCAAAACGGCCGGGGUGAUGGGAAAACUUGAACUACUGCAGCGCAACAUGGUAGUGGCAACAGACAGACCGGUGAUAGGGCCCAUUGUUAUGCUUUCCCUGGGAGAUCUGAAGCGGAGACAUCAGAUGCUGUCAUCACAGGUAAUCUUUUGGUUUGUGAUUGCAUGGCUUUUGUAUUAUUUGAUCCUGGAUCCACAUUUUCAUAUGUAUCUUCCUCAUUUGCUACUGGUCUUAAUUUACAUGGUGAAUUGCUUGACAUGCCUAUUCGUGUUUCUACUCCGGUGGGUGAGUCUGUGAUAGUUGAAAAGGUGUAUAGGUCCUUUCCUGUGACUUUUAUGGAGAGCAAUACUCAUGUAGACUUGGUUAUCCUAGAAAUGGUUGACUUUGAUGUAAUUCUGGGUAUGACUUGGCUUUCUUCAAAUUUUGCAAUCUUAGAUUGUAAUGCUAAAACUGUAACGUUGGCCAAGCCUGGGACAGAUCCGUUAGUAUGGGAGGGUGACUACACUUCCACUCCAGUUCGUAUCAUCUCCUUCCUUCGCGCUAAGAGAAUGGUUAGGAAGGGUUGUUUAGCUUUCUUGGCACACCUCAGGGAUGAUACUACCCAAGUACCUUCAAUUGAGUCGGUUUCAAUAGUCCGUGAGUUUCUGGAUGUGUUUCCUGCAGACCUUCCUGGUAUGCCACCGGAUAGGGAUAUCGACUUUUGCAUUAAUCUGGAGCCGAGUACUCGUCCCAUUUCCAUACCCCCUUAUAGGAUGGCUCCCGCUGAAUUAAGAGAGUUAAAGGUCCAUCUUCAAGAGUUGUUAAGCAAAGGCUUUAUUAGACCAAGUGCAUCCCCUUGGGGUGCUCCUGUUUUGUUUGUGAAGAAGAAGGAUGGAAGUUUUCGGAUGUGCAUUGACUACAAACAACUGAAUAAGGUAACUAUUAAGAACAAGUAUCCUCUUCCUCGCAUCGAUGAUUUGUUCGAUCAGUUACAAGGUGUUUGUACCUUCUCAAAAAUCGAUUUGAGAUCUGGUUAUCAUCAAUUGAAAAUACGGGCAACGGAUGUGCCCAAGACUGCUUUUCGGACCAGGUAUGGGCAUUAUGAGUUCUUAGUAAUGUCUUUUGGGCUUACGAAUGCCCCUGCUGCUUUCAUGAGCUUGAUGAAUGGGAUUUUUAAGCCAUACCUGGAUCUCUUUGUCAUUGUAUUCAUUGAUGAUAUACUGGUAUACUCAAAGAGCAAGAAAGAAUGGAGUGAUGGUGGAUCCUUCCAAGAUUGAAGCAGUGAAGAAUUGGGUAAGACCUACUAAUGUUACAGAGGUAAGGAGCUUCGUUGGUUUAGCUAGCUACUACCGUCGAUUUUUCAAGGGAUUUUCUUCCGUUGCUUCCCAAUUGACAAACUUGACUAAGCAGAGUGUUCCAUUUGUAUGGUCGGAUGAGUGUGAAGAAAGCUUUCAGAUGCUCAAGACAUUGGAGAGAGAAAGAAGAACAAAGAGAAAGCAAGGGCAUUGGAGAAAGCAAGGGCAUUGGAGAAGUAGAUUGCGUGAUCACGAUUCUUCGGUGGAGGUAGGUUAUGGUUUAUGCUAUUUCGUAGUGAAACUCUUAAUAGCGGAUGAUAUGUAUUGGGUAAUUCUGUAAAGUCUUCUAUAUGCUUAAUUGUGUGCUUGCAUGAUAUGAUUAUGUAAUUGUGAUGAAUUAGCAUGAUGAGGCUGUUGAAUCUUAAACCUUAAAACCUCUCUAUUAAUGAUGAUGCCUUGGUAUAAAAGAAGGCUUGAUGAACUAAAAGAAUGAGGUUAAUGGAUCGGGUGUCACGAACCGACACAUAGUAUUAGGGGAUCGGGUGUCACGAACCGACACAUAGUAUUAGGGGACCGGGUGCCAUGAACCGACACAUAGUAUUAGGGGAUCGGGUGUCACGAACCGACACAUAGUAUUAGGGGAUCGGGUGUCACGAACCGACAUGUAGUAUUAGGGGAUCGGGUGUCACGAACCGACACGUAGUAUUAGGGGAUCGGAUGUCACGUUCCGACACAAGAGGAAUAAAGAGAAUGAAUCUUGAAUUAUGUUAAUGGACUCAAUUUAAUGAACCUAUUCCCCAAAUGAGUAUGGUAUGGAGGCUUGAGUCCUCAUGGGUGUACUUGGCGUUAUUAUCAAUGAUCUUUGUACUUGUUGCUACUACCUGUUGAGUAUUGUAGUUGAUUUUAUGAUAUUAUCUGAUAUAUUGUUUUCUAUUUUGAGUUGGCAGAUGAUAUCUACUCAGUACUCGUGUUUUGUACUGACCCCUACUUGUAUGUUUUCUUUUUGUUAAUUGUGGAGUGCAGCAAACGUACCGUCGUCUUCAACUCAACCGCAACUCUAGGCAGUCUUCAUCACGUCAGAUUUCAGGGUGAGCUAUUGUUUCUAGCUUGGACUGGAUCUUCUUCUUCACGUCUUGAUGCCUUGAAGUUCUAGCAUGGACUAGCUGUUUAGUUAUUUUAGCUUCUUAGAUACUCUUAGAUUUAGUAAUUUGAGGAUAGAUUGUUCUUGUGGUGAUGACUUCCAGAUUUUGGGGAAUGAUAAGCAUUGAAUUUAAGAAGUUAUUAAUUGAUUUCGUUAAUGAGUUUUAAGUCUUCCGCAUUUUAUUCUGUUUAUUAUGUUUGAAAAGUUGGGAUUUAGAUUGGUUGGUUCGCUCACAUAGGAGGGUAAGUGUGGGUGUCACUCGCGGCUCGUUUUGGGUCGUGACAAUGGGUUAGCCCGGAUGGGGUGGGCUAGCCCAUAUUGACAGCUCUACUUAAUUGAAACAAAUAUUCUUGAUGUGGCUAAAUAUUCAUCUAAUGUUAAAUAAACACUUAUUCCUUACAAAGAAAAGUUAAAAAAUGUAAACAAAUCUAAACUUCUAAAAUACAAUAUGAAAUAGGAAUAUUUUUAUAUUUUUUUAUUUUUUAAUAUUUUAAAAGUAAACGUUGGGAUUAAACAUACAUCUUCUAAUUCCAUAUAAAAAAAUAACGGAUUAUUAAAAAUGAAUCUCAUUUUUGUUUGAUAAAUAAAAUAAAAGCAAUUUUUUGAGUAGAAUAAUUCCUACUUUAUCAUUAUUGGUAUGUAAGUUAACACAAAACAUCAUCACCAUCUAUUUAUUUUAAGAAAUAAUGGCUAACAAAUAAAAUUUAAUAAAUAAAAAUAAGUACCAAUUAAAGCUAUCAUCAUGCAUUAAAUAAACAUCGCAUCAUUUCAAUUGAAUUAUAAAUGAAGCAAAAUUAUAAGAAAACUUACCAUAAAAUUAUAUCAAAUUUCAUAAAUAAAUUAAAAAGAUAAAGUGAAAUUAAGUACCGCAAUAUCUUGACCGGGGCUUGAUAAAAACGCCCACAAAACUUUUGUAGAUCAUAUGUAGUGUUAGAUGUAUUGUAUUUAUAUGAGAAUAAUGGAAAAGAAAGAAAAGAUGUGAAUGUGUUAGGUGAUUUUUCUUUUAAAAGAAAUAAAAUGAAAUGUUUGUUUUCUUUCUUCUUUUUGUUUUUUUUCUCUUUUUGUUUGCUGAUUUCUUUUUUCUCUUCCUUCUCCUUUUUUUUUUUUCUCUUUUUGUUUGCUGAUUUCUUUUUCUUUCUUUUUGUUUCUCGUGUGAGUUUGUGUAUAUGUUUUUUGGUUUUCUGAUUGUGUGUAUAUAGAUAGUAGUACUAGUAGUAGUAGUGAUGUAAUGUGAGGGGGGAUAGUGGGGUCGUGGGGUAGGUAUGGUGGGUUUAUGGUGAUAUUGUGUAAGUAGGUUAUUUUUUCUCAUUUUUAUUUUUUACUUUUGAUUUUAUUUUAUUGUUAAAAGAAUGAUAAUUAACUUCACAUACAAAUAAUAAAUUAUAAUAACAUAUCAACUAAUUAAAUAAAAAUCUAAGAAAAAGUCAAAUAGCUAAUGAAAUAAAUAAAUAAAACACGAACAUAUUUAUAAAAAACUUAACUUUAAUAUAAUAUAUAUUUUGUGUAAUCUAUCAUUUCUUUUUAAACAAUUGAAAGUAAAACCUACCUUAAAAAAUGAUUUUAUUUUUGUUAUUUUCAAAUCUUUUAACAAUAAAUUUAAUAAAAUAAGAUAAAAGAAAAAAUAUUUAAUUUACAUUUCUAAAAUAUUUAAGCUCUAAAAAUAGUGUUAAACAUAAGUUGGAUCAAAAAUUACAUGUCUACCAUUUGUCCCUCUUUAACUGGAAACAUGAGGAGUUUUUAGAUAAAGAAGUAGGCAAAGCAACAAGUUUUGACGAGACUCUUAUUUGAAAGAAAAUUAUUCGACCGAGUCUUUAUUUUGGACAACCUACAUAUUCCGGGUUGUAAGGGAAUCAGGUCACGUGUAGUUUAAGGAUUUUUUAUUUUUAUUUUUGAAUAAAGAUCGUCAAAUCCAAAGACAGUUGUCUAUGUAUCUCAUUAGGGGUGAGAAUCAAGUAUGCGUAAUGCGUAGUUUGUUCAGAUCGGAAAGUUAGAAUUUUUUUUUUGAGAUAUUGAAUUUUUUUUGACAAAUGCUUUUGUUCAAAGUAUUAUGAAAAUAAAAUCUUUUGAAUUUUCUUUUACAAACUUUGUAAAAAAAUCUCACUAAAAAUAUUAUUAUUCUUUUCAUUAAAUAAUGCAAAAAAAUUAUUUUAUUUUAUGAAAUGUAAAAUAACUUCUAAAACAAGAAAUAUUUUCAUGUUUUGCCCUUCUUUUUUAAUUUUUAAUCACGCUAAAAUGCAUCAACUUGUAAAGACUUUCUAAAUAAAUAUAUUUUUAUGUAGGACAUAAAUUGAGCUAAGUGGUCAAGUAAGAGAUGAAUACUUAUCCUGGACUAACCCAACUCUUUAUAGGCUCACUAAGUUACAUGCAAAUGAUACAAAUAAUCGGAGUCUUCUAGGGAUAGCCAUGUCUAUAUUCUAUUUUUACUAGGUUCAAACCUGAAUAAGAUAGGUAUCCAGACUGGCUUACCCGAGUGGACAACUCGAGCCAGGGAGGGGCAACUUAUCGGUAGCAGCUUUAUUUCGACUUCAUUGCUAGUCCAACUACGCUUAAAGUAUGUGACUAAAUAUCCUUCACCGAUUGUCAAAACACUCCAGCUUUAUCUCAAGGGAAAGUAGGAUUCAUAAUUGCAUUCCUGUAAAUGUGUGUGAAGUGAUUUCAAAGAUUCAUAAGGUGUACCAGAGAGAAAACAAUUCAACAUAGUUCAACAAUAUAAAAAACAAUAAAUGAGCAGCAAGAAGCACAUUAGGCAUUAUACACAAUAUAUUCACAAAAAUACAAUAAUAAAGUUAAGUAAAAGACAAUAUAACAAAACUCGAAUUCUAGUUAUUCCCCAGCGGAGUCGCUAGAGAUGUCACACCCCUUUUCACGCGGCGACAGAAGGAUUUUUCCAAUUUAAGUGACGGUAUUGAUUAGGGAACAUUUUAUUUUUUUCAGAGUCACCACUUGAAAUUGAGUUAUGGUGUUCCAGUCACCUCUUUGUUAAUCCCUAACCAAAAGAAAAUGACUCAUUAAUCUUUUAAUCUGCAAACUAGAAAUACGAGUAAGAAAUUUUGUUAACCAAGAGAAGGUACGGUCUCUUUUAUUAACUCAAACUUGACUUAAUUUUUAUUAUUACUAUUAUUUUGGAUAUAUUAUCUCAGACCAUGAUUUGCUCAUAUUUAUUUUAUUUGUUGAACUAUUAUUUUGGUCUCAAUCCAGAUGCAUAACCGCAUUCUUGGUAUUGAUAUUUAGAGACACAAAUAUCUUCUUUGCAUUGCACUUAUUAAUUUUAUCUAAAAGGCUUAUGUUCAAUUAAUGACAGUUAGUUGUAUGUUUUGGACAAGGUGCAUCACUGUAUUCUUGAGUUUUUUUUUAUGUCUCAAAAAAUAUGCGCAACUGUAUUCUUAAUCGAAACGAAUAUUCUUGAUGAUGUGAAUAAAUGUUCAUCUAAUGUUAAAUAAAUAUUUCUUCCUUACAAAAGAAAAAAUUAUAUAAAGUAAACAAAUAUAGUAUACAAUAUGAAAUAGUGGAUUAUUUUAUUUAUUUAUUUAGUAUUUUAAAAGUUAAUAUUGGAAUUAAAUAUAUAUUUUCUAAUCCCAUAAAACAAUAACGAAUUAUUAAAAAUGAAUCUCAGUUUUUGUUUGAUAAAUAAAAUAAAAACAAUUUUUUGACCCGAAUAAUUCCUAAUUAUCAUUAUUGGUAUGUAAGUUAAGACAGAACACCACCACAACCUGUUUAUUUUAAGAAAUAAUGGCUAACAAAUAAAAUUUAAUAAAUAAAAAUAAACAUCAAUUAAAGCUAUCAUCAUGCAUUAAAUAAAUAUAUAACACUCAGUUCAAUAUUCAUUUCAAUUGAAUUACAAAAGAAAUAAAAUUAUAAGAAAACUUAUUAUAAAUUUAUAUCAAAAUUAGAUAAAUAAAUUAAAUAAAGUAAAAAUUAAGUAUCGUAAAAUCUUGACUGGAGCUCGACUAAAAAUCCACAAAACUUUUGUAGAUUAUAUGUAAUGGUAGAUUACUUGUACGAAAGUAAUGGAAAAGAAAGGAAAUAUGUGAAUGUGUUGGUGAUUUUUCUUUAAGAGAUAAAAAUAAAAUGAUUUUUUUUUGGUUUGUACAUUUUUUUCGAGCUUGUGUUGUGUUGUUUUUUCCCUUUUUCUCUUUUUUUUUCUCUUUCUGUUUGCUGAUUUCUUUUUUUUUCUUUUUGUUUCUCGUGUGAGUUUCUGUAUAUCUUUUUUUGUUUUCUAAUUGUGUGUAUAUAGAUAGAUAGUAGUAGUAGUAGUUAUGUAGUGUGAGGGGAUGGUAGUGGGGUAGGUAUAUUGGGUUUAUGAUUAUAUUGUUCUGGUAGGUUGUUUUUUCUCAUAUUUAUUUUUUAGUUUUUAUUUUAUUUUAUUUUAUUGUUAAAAAGAACAAUAAUUAACUAUACAUAUAAUAAUAAAUUACAAUAACAUAUCAACUAAUUAAAUAAAAGUCUAAGAAAAAGUCAAAUAGCUAAUGAAAUAAAUAAAUAAAUAAAAUACGAAAAUAUUUAUAAAAAAACUUAUUUUUAACAUAAAUAUAUAUUUUUUGUAAUCUUUCAUUUUUUUUAAACAAUUGAAAGUAAAACCUACCUUGAAAAUUGAUUAUGUUUUGUUUUUUUCAAUUCUUUUAAAAAUAAAUUUAAUAAAAUAAGAUAAAAAAAAAUAUUUAAUUUAGAUUCAUAUAAGUUCGGUCAAAAAUUACGUGUCUACAAUAUAUAAGUUGGAAAAUAAAAAAAUAUGAUUUUUAAUUUCUAUACGCACUCAAUGAGUGUGGUACACACUUUCUUUUGCCAUGUCAGCAUUUUGUGUCUUAUAAGAUCGAUUUUUGAAUAAAUAAGGUGUUCAAUAGGUACAAGUUCAAAUUAAAAUGUUCAAGUAAAAUAUGUGAACAAUUUUAAGUGGUUGUAGAUGAUUUAAGCCUUAAAAUUGUGAUACAAUUUUGUAUUGGAUUAUGACAUUUAUCAGUAGUCAUUACUCCCAAUUAUAUUUGCAACACAUGUGAUAUUUCGAGAGUUUAUCAACUUUUGAAUAUGUUUUUUUUUUAAUAUUUAAUAUGUGUCUAUCCAACUCAUGUGGCAGAUGUAAAACUUUAAGUUGUAAUUUAUAGUAUGUUUAAUGUAAUUUCUAAAUAAUAUAUGUUACUCUCUUUAUCUCAAUUUAUAUGGUAUAUGUAAAAAAUCUCGAUAUUUAAUCACAUCUAAUAUUUUAUUUUAAAAUAUUUUAAAUUAUUAAUUAUUGUGAUUUGAACAAUCUUAAUGUUCUUUUUAAUCUCAGUUAUGUAAUAUGGGUGGAAUUUUGAGAAUUAACCAAAUAUUUAAUAUUUUGAGUUCUUUUUUAGUAUUAUUUUUAAUAUGAAAUAAAAAAAUUAAAAUGAAUAAUAUGCUAAAGGUAAAUAGAGGAUGAAGGAGAAGGACAAACCGAUCAAUUGACCAAUGACCUAAGCUCGUCAACCUUCAAAGAGAAAUUCUAAUGUAAAAUAAUUUAAGACUUUUAAAUAAGUUAUAAAACAAAAAAGUAAAAGUAUUGAGAGUCGAAUAAAAAGAAAAAAAAAUUAAUUAAUCUAUUGUAAUUACAGAAAUGCCCCAAGUACUCCUCUAAGCUCCUUAAGUUAUUCUCUUUUUGUAAGUUUUAAUUUUAAAAUAAUGUUAUAUAACUAAAAGUAUAAGUAGUAAGAGGUGAAAUAAAAAGAAAAAUAUAUUAUAUAUUUAGUCUGAACCUAGAAACUCAUUCAACACUAUAAUUAAAUUUCUAAUUUUAAUGUCAGUUAAAAUGUGCAUUCUUAUAUUUUUAAAUUUCAAGCGUAAAAUUAUGUCUUAAUUCCUUUAAAUAACAUAAUUAUUAUGAUAUUUGUAUAACAUACUCAAUAUUUAAUUACCCAUAUCAAUAUGUCAAAACAUUGAACAUAUGAUAACUAUAGUAAGAUUUCUAAAAUUUAAGUUAAGUUCCACGACAAUAACCUUAAGCACAAAAGGAAAAAAAAAGGAAAAGUUAAGCAAAACCCAUCCCCAAUCGUAUAAGUAAGCCAUUAUUACUUUCUUAUUAGCCCUUUCAAUUUUCCAAUCAACAAUCACAACGGCAACCAUGUAUACACAUAUAACAAUGGAAAAGUUAUCUACCUUUAAAUAGAUAAUUAGUAAAUUUAGUCGCGCUAUACGUGGUGUAUAAAUUUUUUUAUUUUUAUUUAAUUUUCAAAUUCAAAUAGAUUAGUUAAUAGAUUUUAUCAUUUAGCUUUGUAAUUUCAACUCAAUUUAUGAAUUAAUUUUAUUUUUUUAAAAAAAACUUAAAUUAGCAGUACGGUCAAAUACCUAUACUUUUUUUUCGUUGAAUAGUACCUACUCUUUUAUGUUAGUUAUAAUAUAUAAUUAAGAAUUUAUGACUUCAUUAUUCAUUUGAAUGAGUUCUCAAAAUUAAAUAUAGUUAACUUUGAUGUUUUGUUAAUAAUUUAAAGUGAGAUUUUUAGUUUUUUAAAUAUUUAAAAAAAAUCAAAAGAAUUAAAAUAGUAAUAAAUUCAAAAACAGACUUAGAAAUAUGAAAAAUUAUUCGCAAUAGAUAAGCUAUCUAUAAUUUGAAGACUUAAAAAAGUAUUUCAAUAUUUAUAUAUUAAAAUAUAAAGUUCUCUCUCUAUAUUGAUUCUUGGAAGGAAAUGGGUGAUACAUGAUUUUAGUUCGGUAAAAUAAUUUUUAGUGAUAUAGAAUUAACAUAAAAAUAAUAUAUUAUUGUUAAAAUGCAUAAUAAAAUAAGUAAUAAAUGAACAAUUAUAAAUGAAUGAUAAAAGGUUUUAUGUUAAGAUUUUAAAAAAAACUUAUAUAUCGACUGGAAACUUAGCUCUUGAUUUUUUUCUAAUUAAAGUAAACAUAAAAAAAACUGUUUACAAAAUAUGAAUAUUUAUAAUUAUUAACAAUAAAUAUAUUUUCUUAUAAUUCUACGUUUUUAAAAAAAAUUUAUUUCAACUCUCUUUUUUAAUCUUCCUUUUUUAUUUUUUAGUCUUUGCUUAUUUAAUUCCAUUAAGAAAACACAAACAAUUAGCAUCGUAAUUAAGAGAAUCAAGUUUGCUCGUCUUUAGUAUUUUUACUAAUUUAUAUUUUUUUUAAAUAGUAACAAUUAGCAUCAUAUCUUAACAUAAUCAAGUUAGCUUGUCUUUAGCUUUUUAUUAAUUUAAGCAAAAUAUUUAAAUGAAUUCUCUUGAUAAUUUUUAUUAUAUUUUUCAUGAUUCAUAUUUUAUUUAAAAUUUAAAAAUAACUUCAUAAUAAUUUUUAUUAUCUCCCGCCGCUAAGCGUAUCUACAAAUACAUUUUAAUGUUUUGAAGAAUUGUUUUUGUCUUACGUUUAGUAAUGAUCUUGCUCAUAUAAUUUCAUGCAAAAAACAAAUCAAUUAUUCUCUUUUAUAUAUCUUAUUUUGUAUCAUUCUUUUUAGAAGUAAAAAUAAUUACACAAAGCAGUCUUUGUCGAUAGAUUUUGCAUUACAAGAUUAAAGUAGAGGACAAUUAAGCUAAACAUAAAAAUAUUUGGUUAGAAAUACUUUUCUGGUGUGCUUUUAAGAUGCAACAAAUUUAAACAUUAAGUAAUUUGAGGUUAUGAAGGUAUAAAGUCGAAAAUUAUAGGUAUUACUAAUAAGUAUUAAUUAAGUAUAGAAGUUAUGAAAGAUGAAGAGGUGUGAGUUUAUGAUAAAAAAUAAAUUAAAAAUAAAUAUAUAAAAAUAAAAGGAAAAAGUUAAAAAAAAGUUACAGAUUUUUUUAAUAAACAAAAGUAUGUAGUAAAAUUCUCCACCAUUUUUAUGAUUUAUUUUAUUAUAUGACAUAUUUUCUUUUUACCUCAUUUUAGAAAUUUCAAAUUAUUAAAAGUCUCCAAAUAUGCUUCUAAUAAUAAACAUUAUAUUUAGUAAUUACUAUUAUUUUGAACAAUAAAUACUUUUUCUCUUAUUUUAUAUUAUAGGAGAGAUAUCUAUUAAGAGAAAAAUUAAUUAAAAAUAAAUUUAAAUAGGGACAUAGAAUUAAAAAGUUAAUCAAAAGGAAUAGAAUUUUUUUUGAAAUUAUCAAAAAAAAAGUAAUAGUACGGAUGUUUUAAAAUAAAAUUAAAAAAUAUUUGAUUUUUUGUUGAUUAAAUUCUCAAAAUUGUGAAAAAUUUGGCCUAUAAAUAAUUUUUAUACAUAAAUAAUAUAAUAAAUAAUGCAACGUUAAAAUUAUUUAUUUUUACCAUAUCAUUGUUAUGUGAUUGUGAGAUACGAAAUAAUAAGAGGAAACGAUUUAUUUGAUUCUUAGCUAUAUAAUAUUUGUAUUUAGUAUUUAGUAUUUUAUUUACUUUAUAUUGAGAUGUGAUAUAUUACUUUUUUUUAUUACUUAUAUUUAUUAUAUAUUUGUAUAACAUUUUUAUAGCUAGUGAGGAGGAAGAUAUUGUUGGACGAAAUUAGAAAUAAGGUAUAUUGGCGUUUUCUCAAUUAACUAAUUAAUCUGAUAAGGAACCAAUUGUAACGACCUGUUUAGUCGUUUGAAGCAGCAGAGUUAAUUUCUGAAAAUCACUGUCUGGGUCGACGGAUCCCACGACGGACCGUCAUAGGCACGACGGACCGUCGAGGGUGUCUCGUUCCAAAACACUUAGAAUUUAGAAAUUUGGGUACUGAGAUCGACUCUCGGAACUUCACGGCGAAAUGACAGGACGGACCGUUGAGGGCUCGACGGACCGUCACAAAUCCUUCCGCAGAAUUAACUCUCUGAACUUUGUGACGGACGUGCAGGACGGACCGUCAGAGCUGUGACGGACCGUCACAGGCUGCGUGACCCUGACUGGGUCAGAUUUCUGUUAAAUAUUUUAAGGGGUGUUUUGGACUUUUGCUGCUUAUAAUUAUAAAGUUAGUGGUUUACUGUUAAUACUUUAAUUACUUGGGGGUUAAAAGAGGGAACCUUGAAACAAGUAGUGGGGUAUUUUAUCAUCUUUUAUACUUAAUUAUAUGCUAAUUAGGGUAAAAGAAAGAGGGUUUGAAUAAGAAAAAGAAAAAGAACAGAGAGAGAGAGAGAGAAACGAUCGAUUGAGAGAGAGGAAGAACACAGCUUUGGGAAAGUAGAUUGCUUGAUCACAAUUCUUCGGUGGAGGUAGGUUAUGGUUUAUGCUAUUUCAUAGUAAACUCUUAAUAGCGAAUGAUAUGUAUUGGUUAGUAAUGUAAAGUCUCCUAUAUUGCUUAAUUGUGUGUAUGUAUGAUAUGAUUACAUAAUUUUGAUGAAUUAGCAUGAUGAGGCUGUUGAAUCUUAAACCCUAAAAUCUUUUUUGUUAAUAAUGAUGCCUUGAUAUAAAAGAAGGCUUGAUGAACUAAAAGAUUGAGAAUAGUAGAUGGAUCGGGUGUCACGUUCCGGCACCAGGAUAGUAGAUGGAUCGGGUGUCACGUUCCGACACCAGGAUAGUAUAUGGAUCGGGUGUCACGUUCCGGCACCAGGAUAGUAUAUGGAUCGGGUGUCACAUUCCGGCACCAGGAUAGUAUAAGGAUCAGGUGUCACGUUCCGGCACCAGGAUAAUAAUGGAUCGGGUGUCACGUUCCGACACCAGGAUAGUAUAUGGAUCGGGUGUCACGUUCUGACACCAGGAUAGUAUAUGGAUCGGAGUGUCACGUUCCGACACCAGGAUAGAGGAUGGAUCGGAGUGUCACGUUCCGACACCAGGAUUAGUAAAGAAAAUGAAUCUUGAAAUAUGUUAAUAUACUCAAUCUAAAGAACAUGUUUCCCAAAAAGAGUAUGAUGUGGAGGCUUGAGUCCUCAUAGAUGUGUUUGGUGAUGUUGUAAAUGAGUCUUAUACUUGUUGCUAUCACCUGUUAAGAAUAUUAGUUGAUUUUAUGUUAUUAUCUGAAAUAUAUUGCUUUCCAUUUUGAGUUGGCCGAUGAUACCUACUCAGUACUCGUGUUUUGUACUGAUCCCUACUUGUAAUUGUUUUUAUUUGUUAUUUGUGGAGUACAGCAAACGUGUCAUCGUCUUCAACUCAACCGCAACUCUAGACAGUCUUCAUCACGUCGGAUCUCAGGGUGAGCUAAUGCUUCUAGCUUGGACUGGAUCUUCUUCUUCAUGUCUUGAUGCCUUGAAGUUCCGGCAUGGACUAGCUGUUUAUUAUUUUAGCUUCCUAGAUAUUCUUAGAUUUAGUAUCUUGAGGAUAGAUGUUCUUGGGGUGAUGACUUCCAGAUUUUGGGAAUAAUAAGUAUUGAGUUUUUAGAAGUUAUUUAAUCGAUUUUCAUUAAUGAGUUUAAGUCUUCCGCAUUAUAUUAUGUUAUUUAUGGUUGAAAUGUUGGGGUUUAGAUUGGUUGGUUCGCUCACAUAGUAGGAUAAGUUUGGGUGCCACUCGCGACCCGUUAUGAGUCGUGACAAACUUGGUAUCAGAGCAUUAGGUUCGUUGGUCUCAUCACACAAGAACGAGUCUAGUAGAGUCUUAAGGAACGGUAGGGGGACGCCUUUACUUUUCUUUGAGAGGCUAUAAGACUUUAGGAAAAUUCCAUUCUUCUUUCUUUCUUUCGUGCUAUUACUUGGGUCCAAUUGGUAUCUAGGUGAUACAAAUUGGUAUUUGACCAUCUUCACUCUAUUUCGCAGAUGGUUAGAACUAGAGCAACAACCGCGCCAACACCAGCACCGGCGGAACAGUGUGCAUCUGAGCCAGCCACUGGGGCUGUAGCUAGAGGGAGAGUAGCGGCAAGAGGCCGUGGAAGAGGUCGUGGGAGGACGUCCUCUAGAGGAAGAGGACGAGCACCUAGCCCAUCUGAUACUAGGGCAGUGACUCCUCCACCGACUGAAGAAGUAGUAAGAGAGGGUGAGGAAGGGGAAACUGAACAAGUGCAAAAUGAGGAAUUGCCACCCCAACCUACCCCAGAGAUGAUCAAUCAGGUUCUCGCUUAUCUUAGUGGGUUGUCUGAUCAGGGUCAGGCACCUCCAGUGUUUUCUGCACCAACACCUCCGGUUUCAGAGGUACAACAUGCAGCCACUAUGGCUCCUCGUAUGGAUGCCUCAUUGGACAUAGGCACGUUUCCAUGUAUGACUACUGGGCCUAUAAUGACAAAUGAUCAGCAUGAACUUUUCAGUAAGUUCUUGAAAUUGAAACCUCCAGUCUUCAAGGGUGCUGAAUCUGAGGAUGCUUACGAUUUUCUGGUUGACUGUCAUGAGCUACUACACAAGAUGGGUAUAGUAGAACGGUUUGGUGUUGAGUUCGUGAGUUAUCAGUUUCAAGGGAACGCCAAAAUGUGGGCCUCAUUCUCUAGCUUGUUUAUGGAGAAGUAUAUCCCCCAGACUUUGAGGGAUAUGAAAAGGGAUGAGUUCUUGAGCCUAGAGCAAGGUAGGAUGUCGGUCAAUGCAUAUGAGGCUAAGUUUCGUGCACUAUCCAGAUAUGCCACCCAACUUUGUUUCAAUCCACAAGAGCGGAUUCGUCGUUUUGUGAAGGGGUUGAGGUCAGAAUUGCGGAUUUCAGCCUUACAGGUAGCGGCUACGGCAAAAUCCUUCCAAGAAGUGGUAGAUUUCAUGGUAGAGGUGGAAGGAGUGAAGCCAGAUGAAUUCACCAUGGCAUCGACAUCAAAGAGGAUUCGAAAGUGAGGUGAGUUUAAUGGUUCUUACUCUAGAGGACAGGGUUCCGGAGGUUACUCAGUUUGACCCAUUCAGUCUUCACUACAGACUGUAGUUGGGGGUCCACCUCAGACCGGUCAACACUUCUCUGAGAGACCUAUACUUGACUCUAGAGAGUGUUAUGGAUGUGGGGAGACUGGACAUAUUAGGAGGAAUUGUCCCAAACAGAGUUAUAGACCCCCAAUAGCUAGAGGUAGAGGUGGUCAUGGUAGAGGCCGUUAUUCUAGAGGACGUGGUGGUCGAGGUAAUGGUGGUCACCAAAACGGCCGGGGUGAUGGGCAAACUGGAGCCACUACAUCACAACAUCGUAGGGGCAACGGACAAACAAACGAAAGGGCCCAUUGUUAUGCUUUCCCUGGGAGAUCGGAGGCGGAGACAUCUGAUGUUGUCAUCACAGGUAAUCUUCUGGUUUGUGAUUGCAUGGCUUCUGUAUUGUUUGAUCCUGGAUCCACAUUUUCUUAUGUAUCUUCCUCAUUUGCUAAUGGUCUAAAUUUACAUUGUGAAUUACUUGAUACGCCUAUUUAUGUUUCUACUCUGGUGGGUGAGUCUGUGGUAGUUGAAAAGGUAUAUAGGUCUUGUUUGGUGAACUUUGUGGGGAGCAACACUUAUGUAGAUUUGGUUAUCUUAGAAAUGGUUGAUUUUGAUGUAAUUCUGGGUAUGACUUGGCUUUCUCCGCAAUUUGCGAUCUUGGAUUGUAAUGCUAAAUCGGUGACGUUAGCCAAGCCUGGGACAGAUCCGUUAGUGUGGGAGGGUGACUACACUUCCAAUCCGGUGCGUAUCAUCUCCUUUCUUCAUGCUAAGAAAAUGGUUAGUAAAGGGUGUUUAGCUUUCUUGGCACAUCUCAAGGAUGACACUACCCAAGUACCUUCGAUUGAGUCGGUUUCAGUGGUCCAUGAGUUUCUGGAUGUGUUCCCUGCAGAUCUUCCUGGUAUGCCACCAGAUAGGGAUAUUGACUUCUGUAUUGAUCUUGAACCGGGUACUCGCCCCAUUUCUAUACCCCCUUAUAGAAUGGCUCCCGCGGAGUUAAGAGAGUUAAAAGUCCAACUUCAAGAGUUGUUGAGCAAAGGCUUCAUUAGACCAAGUGCAUCUCCUUGGGGUGCUCCAGUUUUGUUCGUAAAGAAGAAGGAUGGGAGUUUUCGGAUGUGCAUAGACUACCGGCAGUUGAACAAAGUAACCAUAAAGAACAAGUAUCCUCUUCCUCGCAUUGAUGACUUGUUCGAUCAGUUACAAGGUGCUUGUGUCUUCUCUAAGAUUGACUUGAGAUCCGGUUAUCAUCAAUUGAAAAUACGGGCAACGGAUGUGCCAAAGACUGCUUUUAGAACCAGGUAUGGACAUUACGAAUUUGUAGUGAUGUCUUUUGGUCUUACGAAUGCCCCUGUUGCGUUCAUGAGUUUGAUGAACGGGAUUUUUAAGCCAUAUUUGGAUCUCUUUGUGAUUGUAUUCAUUGAUGAUAUACUGAUAUACUCUAAAAGUAAGGAGGAACAUGAGGAGCAUUUGAGAAUGGUAUUGGAAAUGUUGAGGGAGAAAAAGCUUUAUGCCAAGUUCUCUAAGUGUGAGUUUUGGCUAGAUGCAGUGUCCUUCUUGGGGCAUGUGGUUUCUAAGGAUGGGGUGAUGGUGGAUCCUUCUAAGAUUGAGACAGUGAAGAAUUGGGUAAGACCUACUAAUGUGUCAGAAUAAGGAUUUUUGUUGGUUUAGCUAGCUAUUACCGCCGAUUUGUCAAGGGAUUCUCUUCUAUUGCUUCCCAAGGAGUAUGCAGAUCGGAAGGUUAGAGACUUGGAGUUUAUGGAGGGUGAACAAGUCUUGUUGAAGGUUUCGCCAAUGAAAGGGGUGAUGCGGUUUGGUAAGCGAGGUAAACUUAGCCCAAGGUAUAUUGGUCCAUUUGAAGUACUUAAGCGAGUAGGGGAGGUGGCUUAUGAGUUAGCCUUGCCUCCAGGGCUGUCCGGAGUGCAUCCGGUAUUCCAUGUGUCGAUGUUGAAAAGAUACAAUGGGGAUGGAAACUACAUUAUCCAUUGGGAUUCAGUUUUGCUUGAUGAGAACUUGUCUUAUGAGGAGGAAUCUGUUGCCAUUCUAGAUAGAGAAAUUCGCAAGUUGAGAUCAAGGGAGAUCGCAUCCAACAAAGUUCAAUGGAAGAAUCGACCCGUUGAAGAAGCCACUUGGGAGAAGGAGGCAGAUAUGCGAGAAAAAUACCCACAUCUGUUUACAGAUUCAGGUACUCUUUUUCGCCCUUGUUUUCCUUCUUGUGAUCGUUCGGGGACGAAUGAUGGGUAAAUUGGUAUCUAUUGUAACGACCUAUUUAGUCAUUUUGAACAACAGAUUUUAUUUCUGGAAAAACAGGCUGAGGCGACGGACCCCCACGACGGACCGUCAUGGGCACGACGGACCGUCGCAGGGUCUCGUUGCAAAACACUUAGAAAAUCUGAAAUUGGUACUGAAAAUCGACUCUCUGAACUUCGUAACGAAAUGGCAGGACGGAUCGUCACAUGUGUGACGGACCGUCACAGACUCUGGUGGAAAUUGAGUCUCUGAAUCUUGCGACGACCUGCAGAACGGACCAUCGCAGGCACGACAGGCCGUCGCAGGUUGCGUAAUCCCAGUCUGGGUCGGAUUUCUUUACACGUUUUAAGGGACGUUUUGGACUAUUCCUACUUUAAUUAUAAAGUUAGAGGGUUAAGGUUAAUAAGUCUAAUUACUUGGGGGUUAAAAGAGGUAACCUUAAGUUAAUUAGGUGGUUAUUAUUGCCAUCUUUCGUUCUUAAUUAUAUACUAAUUAGGGUAAAAGAAAGAGGGUUUGAAUAAGAAAAUAGAAAGAACAAAGAGAAAGAGGGAGAAUCAAACGAGAGGAGGAAAACACAAGGCUUUGGGAAAUUCUUGCUUGAUCACUAGUCUUCGAUGGAGGUAGGUUAUGGUUUCUCUUACAAUAUUCGUAGUAAACUCUUAAUAGCGAAUGAUAUGUAUUGAUAAUAUUGUAAACCCUGCUAUGUGCUUAAUUGUAUGCUUGCAUGGAUGUAAUUAUAUAAUUGUGAUUAUAUAAGCAUGAUGAAGUUAUUGAAUCCCAAAUUUCGCAAAACCCUAAUCUCUUUGUUAAUGAUGAGGCCUUGGUAUAAAAGAAGGCGUGAUGAACUAAAUAAUGAGAAUGAUGAUGCCUUGGUAAGAAAGAAGGCUUGAUGAAUCGAUAGAAGGAGAUCUAGGGAAUCGGGUGUCACGAACUGAUACGUAGAUUUAGGGGAUCGAGUGUCACGAACCGACACGUAGAUUUAGGAGAUCGGAUGUCACGAACCGACACGUAGAUUUAGGGAAUCGGGUGUCACGAACCGACACAUAGAUUUAGGGGAUUGGGUGUCACGCACCGACACGUAGAUUUAGGAGAUCGAAGUGUCACGUUCCGACACAUAAUAGUAGGGGAUCGGAGUGUCACGUACCGACACAAGAGAAAUAAAGAUAAUGAAUCUUGAAAGAUGUUAAUAUACUCAAUCUAAUGAACAUAAUUCCCAAAUAUGUAUGGUAUUGAGGCUUGAGUCCUCAUGUGUGAACUUGACGGUAAUUGUUAAUGAUAUAGUACUUGCUGUUGCUACAUGUUGAGUAUCAUAGUUGAUUUUAUGAUAUUACUUGGUAUAUAUUGAUUUCUAUUUUGAGUUGGCCGAUGAUAUCUACUCAGUACCCGUGUUUUGUACUGACUCCUACUUUUAUGUUUUCUUCUUGUUAUUUGUGGAGUGCAGCAAACGUGCCGUCAUCUUCGACUCAACAGUAACUCUAGCCAGUCUUCAUUACUCCGGAUAUCAGGGUGAGCUAAUGCUUCUAGCUUGGACUGGAUCUUCCUCUUCAUGUCUUGAUGCCUUGAUGUUCCGGCAUGGACUAGAUUUUAUGUAUUUUUAGCUUCUUAGAAACUCUUAGAUUUAGUAACUUGAAGUAGAUGUUCUUGUGAUGAUGACUUCCAGAUUUUGGGAAAUAAUAAUUAUUGAAUUGGUUUUUAUUAAUGAGUUUAAGUCUUCCGCAUUACUUUAUGUUGAUAUUACAUUGAAAUGUUAAGGUUUAUAUUGGUUGGUUCGCUCACAUAGGAUGGUAAGUGUGGGUGCCAGUCGCGACCCGAUUUGGGUCGUGACACCAAUCAACUCUUAUUAAAUCGUAGGUUUAACCGGAGAACUAUACACAAUCCUUACUUUAAUACCAACAAACAUACACAAAAAAAUAGUUAAUUACUCAAGCAAAAAUAUUUAAAAUAUUUAGUUAUAUAUGAUUUGAAGGGAAAAGAAGGAUCACGUUCUCAACAUAACAUAAUUACAAUCCUUACAAUAAUAACAACAAAAAGAUAUAAAACUAUAGUUAACUAAUCAAGCAAAAAUAUUUAAAUAUUUAGUUAUGUAUGAUUUGAAGAGGAAAGAAGAAUCAUGUUCUCAACAUAACAUGAUUCAAUUCUUCAAAUUUACAAAGUGAAUAAAGACAAUCUGUGUUGGUAGAAACUAUAAGAAUAAGAAAAAAAAUCUCAAAAAACUACAAAGAGAAGCAAAAAAGAAAAUGAACAAAUUAUUUUUUUUAUAAAAGAAUCAUGAUUAGUAUCAUCAACAAUCCAAUCUAAUAGUAUCAAAUAUAAAAUUACAAUAGAACAAAAGUGAUGAUGAUAAUUAGACAUGUCAAGUCAUUUUACCUCACAAAAUCAAAAUAUGCAAAAUAUAUAACAUUUUUCAUUAUACAUCCCUCUCCUGCAAAAGUUAUAUCAAAGAAGACAAAAAAAAAAAAAAUAACAAAUCAAAGAAACAAAAAAUGAAGAAAAAAGAAAAUAAAAAUAAAAUGACCAUCAUGUAAUGUCUCAAAGUGGAUUUUUUUAAUAGGUGUAAUAUUUAGUAGUUAUAAUUUUUAUAUUAAAUAUUUUGAAGGUUAUGAAUUUGAAAAGUUAGGAGUUAUAUUAUUAGGUUACGUGCUAUAUAUAUUAUUAAAAGGUUUGAAGGUGUAAUGCUCAUUAAGUAACUUAUUAAUAACAAUAUAUAUACAUACAUAAUAUUAUUGUGUAAAAAUAAUAAUCUAAAAAGAUAUAUAUAUAUAUAUAUAUAUAUAUAUAUAUAUAUUGAUUAUUGAGUUUUGCAAUAUUUUUAUUUAUUAUUGUUUUUAGCAAUACAUAGUAAUAUUAUAAUAAACAUGUAAUAUAUAUUAAAAGUGAAUAUGUAUGCAAUAUAUAUAUGUAUUUUAAUUGUUUUAAAAUAUGUUAAGCUUAUUUGGUACGAAAUUAACAUAUUAUAUUAGAAUGCGCGAUAAAAUAUGUGAUAAAUUUAUUAUCCAUAAAUAAAACUUAUAUUGUCUGUGCUUUAUAAAUUAUUUUCUGUAAUAUGUAUUUAAACUGCAUUGUAAAUGUAUUAAAAUUGAUCAAGUGAAGAAAAUGUUAUUGCUAUAAAUAAAAAAUAUUUUCUUAAAUGUAACGAAUGAUGUGGCAUGCCAAGUCAAACAAUAAGCUAAUAUGAUCAUGACAUCCGUCAAAAAAAGAUAAGUUCGCUUGGCAGUUCUGUUGCCCACAUCCUCUCUCUAUAUUUAUUCUGUUAUUUUUGUAUUCAGGCAGAAUAUUCUUUGCAAACCCUCUUUUUAUUUUAUCUAAGCAACUUUUUUUUACAAAAGUUUCUCUAACUUAUUUUGGUAGUCUUACGAUUUCUCAGUGCAAAAAAUGUAUUGAUAUUACUAUUAUUUUGUGCUUUCAUAAAUUUACUUGAUUGACUCUUUUUUCCUAUUGAUUUUCGUAUCCACUCCUAAAAAAUGUAUCUAUAAAAUUUUCAUUUGAAUAUUAAAUAUUAAAAAAAUCAACAAGAAAAUCUUGAACAAGAAAUACAAAAUUAAUAUUAGCAAAUAUUAGCAAUAAUUUUUUGAUUGAUGCCAAGCAAGUAGAGUGUGUGUGUGUGUGUGUAUAUAUAUAUAUAUAUAUAUAUAUAUAUAUAAUUGAGUGCUCCAUAUUAUAAAAUAUCUUGUUAUAAAUAUUAAGUAUUCAGAAACAUUAAAUUGUUACAAAAUAAACAAAAACAUAUUUAACAAGUAAGAAUUGUGUGAUUAAAAAUGAAACCCUAAAAAAUAAAUUAAUGACUACUUAAAAUUAAAUUAUAUAUUUAAGUAUAAUCAAUAAGAUCAAUUGAAUUUUAAUAGGUCAAUUGAUUGAUUAUAUAAUUUUUUACUUUAUUAAUGGAGGUUUGAUUAUAAUUUUUUUUAUUUCACUAUCUUUAAUUUCUUCAAAUCAAUCCAAAAAAUUGAAUUAUAAAUUUUCCUAACACAUUACUGUAAUUUUUCCUCUAAUAAUGACACAGAGAUAAAUUAGACAUAUUAGAUACAACUGGCAAUUUCCGUAGUUUGUUUAUGAUUCUUUUUAAAAAAAAAUUAUGCUGAGAGUUAAUUAACAGAAUAAAAGUACAAGUAAAUAAUGGCACCAAAAAAGGUCCUCGUACUACACGUUCUUUUUACUAUUUACUUUUAUAGAUAGUCUAUCUCAUUUUAUAUUAUAUCGUAUAAUAUAAUAUUAUAUUUUAAAAAAAUUAAAUUUAAAAUUUAUGAUUUGAUAAAUUUUCAAUAGUUAUAUAGAGAUAAAUUAUAUAAUUAAAAGUAAAAUAAUAAUAUAAAAAAUAGAUUAUUUUUAAUGAUAAUACUAUGAUAUUUUCUUUGGAACGAUCUCAAAGUAAAGUACAGCCCCAUCACAAUCUUUUAAAGAGACUGACGAUUUGUUUGUAUAUGCUUGGCAAGGAUAUCUCGACUCAGUUUUAUUUUACUCUCCAUUCUUUAUAUUUAGACAGUAAAAUAGAGAAUAGACAAUUCGUUCGAAAAAAAUUUAUUCGUACUGAAUAUUUACAUCAAAUAAAUAUAAUUUUCAUUAUUAUGUAAUUUAAUAAUGACACCCAAAAAGGUCCUCGUACUACACAUUCUUUUUACUAUUUACUUUUAUAGAUAGUCUAUCUCAUUAUAUCGUAUAAUAUAAUAUUAUAUUUUUUAAAAAUUAAAUUCAAAAUUUAUGAUUUGAUAAAUCUUCAAUAGUUAUAUAGAUAUAAAUUAAUAAUUAAAAGUAAAAUAAUAAUAUAAAAAUUAGAUUAUUUUUAAUGAUAAUACUAUGAUAUUUUCUUUUGAAUGAUCUCAAAGUAAAGUACAGCCCCAUCACAAUCUUUUAAAGAGACUGACGAUUUGUUUGUAUAUGCUUGGCAAGGAUAUCUCCGACUCAGUUUUAUUUUACUCUCCAUUUUUUAUAUUUGGAGAGUAAAUUAGAGAAUAGAUAAUUCGUUCAGAAAAAAAUUAUUCGUACUAAAUAUUUACCCCAAACAAAUGUGAUUUUCAUUAUUAUGAGAUUUAAUAAAAUAAAACACAUAAUAAUUAAUUAAGAUUAAGUAAAAUAAAUAAUAAAUUUAAACACAUGGCGAGCAUGUAAUGGACUGGUGUAAACACAUAUAUUUGUUAAAUUUAUCAAUGGUAAAGAUAAAAAUAACUUACUUUUAAUUGCAGGUGUAAAAUUAACCAACAAAAUAAAGUUGAAAGGGAUAUUUUGGACCCUUUUUCCUGUUUUUAAUUAUAAUACUAUGAUAUUUACCUUUGAACGAACUCAAAGUUAAAGGACAAACCCUCCCCCCACCCCCUCCAAAAAAAAAAAAACAAUCUUAUAAAGAGACUGGCGAUUUGUUCGUAUAUUCUUGCUUAGUACAAGUUAUUUCACUUAAAUUUAUUAUGUUGAUUAUUAUUUUCUUAAUAUAUACGUCAAAUAAAAAAAGAACAAAUAAAUAGAAAUAAAGAAAAUAAAAAUUAAAUUCAUACUGUACGUUUUUUCUGAAAGAUAAAAAAGUACUAUUUAUUCAAACUUUUACGCCAUCAUUUAAUUUGAAUUUUAUUUUGAAAACAUAGAUUAAAAUGUGGUCUAAAUUAUUUUUAUGUGGUUAUAAAUUAUAACAUGCGGCACACCACUAGGCCGUACUGCACGUGUUUUUUUUUUUGAUUUUGAAAGAUGAUAAAGUACUAUUUGUUUAUAUCUAUUCCAUUUCAUUUUAUAGCAGUUGAUUUGAUGUUGUAUUUCAAAACAAUUAAAUUUAAAAUUUACUGUCGAAAUUUUUUCAAUAUUUAUAACGAAAUAAAUUAUUUAGUUAAAAGAAAAAGAAAAAUAUAAAAUUGAUAUAUAUUUUAAGGAAAAAGGGACAAAAUAUUUUUCAAUUAUGUAAAAAAAUAAAAAUGUUUUCAAUUUAUAGUUUGGCUCAAAAAUAUCUUUACCAUCAAUAUUUUGGCUUAAAAAUGCCCUUGCAGCCAAUACAUUGGUUCAUAAAUGCUUCUAUAAAUACAAAACGAGUCAACUAUGCCUUUUUUCAAUAAAUAUAAUAUUUUUUUCUUUUUAAUCACAUCUUUUUAUUAAUUAAAAUAUUAUUAAAAAACACUAUUUUUAUUUUCUUUCUUCUAAAAUCACUUUAACAAAUAAAAAAGUAGUAAAUAUUUUUUUCUUAAUCUCAUUUUAUCAAUUAAAAUAGAAUAAUUUCAUGUACCCUUUCGACAAAUGAUAUAUGUCAUAUAUAUAAGAUCAUAAUAUAUCCAUACAAUAAAAAAUAAUGAUGAUAAAAUAAAAAAUAUUUUAUUUUUUUAAUUUUUUUCUGAAUCGAAGUAAGAUAAACAUUGCAACUUUUUUUUAAAAAAAAAUUAAUUGAAAAAAACAUAUCGAAAAGAAAAUAAUAAUAUAUUUAUUUGAAAAAUAAACUUUUUUCACCAAUUAAAUAAUAAUAAAAGCAUUUUAGAUCAAAGUAUUAACGACAAGACUAUUUUGAACUAAACUAUAAAUGAAGGACAUUUAAUUCCUUUCACAUAAUUUAUGCACAUUUUUUAAAAUCAUUUUCCCCACAAUCAUUAAAGAGGCUGUAGAUUUGUUUGUUCAGCAUAAUGUCACGGACUUUUUGAUUCGGACAAUGUUCCGUGAGGCACUUGACGGUUUACUCACGACUCUUGCACGUUCUUGCAAACUCAAGUAAGCCUAAAACUCGGAUCGCUAAGAAAAUAAGAAGCAAGACAGAACUUUGGAAGAAGGAACUUCUAUUACUUGAAAAAUGAUUGGAUGCUUUACAAGUAAAAUGAUCUACUAUUUAUACUACUCUAAUACUGCCUAAGAGUUAAUAAAUAAACUAUACAAGUUCCUAAGUCUAUGCCUACAAGACAAGCUUCUAAGUCUUCCAAAAAGGACUCCUAGAUGCUCCUAGUCAGCCCCAUGAUCUGCUCAAGCCUCUCAAAGACUUGUAACUCCUGUAACUCCUAAAACAGCCGCCCCACUAACAAGUGUAACAGCUGUAAUGGCUGUAACUGUUGAAACUGUUGUAACUGCUGCCUCUUCAGCUGCUGUUGGCCCCCUUGGCUGCUGACCUGCGUGGUCAGCCUGCUCCCUUGCGCCUGCUGCGCCUACUGGCUGCCUCAUUGGGUGGCGUUCGGCCUGAAUGGAUGGCGGGACGUCACAAUCUCCCCCACCCCAUGAUGCGACGACCGCGACGCAUUGCUGCAAGAACUCCUGAAUUUUGUCUUUGAACUGCCACAAGUCUUCGUACUUCUCCCAUGUGGCUUCCUCCGGAGUUUGUCCCUUCCAAUGUACGAGAAACAUGGCGCUGGCCUGCUGUCCUCGUUUCCGCUUGGCUUGGUAAUCUAUGAUAGCUUCAAUUUCACGAUCAUGCGAGGCAGUAACGGUGAUAGGGGCUCGUUGUGAUUUGUUCCGGCUGGGAUCGUCCUUGUCCUCAUGAUAAGGCUUAAGGACGCUGGCAUGAAAGACCGGGUGGAUCUUGAAGUGUGAAGGUAACUCCAACCUGUAUGAAAUCUUACCCACCUUGGACACAAUUUUGAACGGACCCUCAUAUUUCCGCACCAGGUUGUGAUGCAUGCCUCUAAGCGCCUUAAACUGCCUCGAAUUAAACUUUACCAAAACCAUAUCACCUUCUUUGUAGUUGGUGGGACGUCGCUUGCGGUCAGCGAACUUCUUCAUCCUCCUUGCUGCCUUGCUCAAAUAAGAUUUGGCAAGGUCGAGUUGCUCUUCCCAACCCUUGGCAAGGUUGUAAGCGCCCAAACUCUUCCCCUCGAACAAUGUUGGCAAUGAGUGCGGAGUUUGGGGUUGCUGGCCCGUUGCUAACUCGAACGGUGUGCGCCCUGUAGAUUCACUCCUCUGCAAAUUGUAAGAAAAUUGCGCCAUGUCUAGGAGCUUAGCCCAAUCUUUCUGAUGUGCACUAACAUAGUGCCUAAGAUAGCAUUCCAACAAGGCGUUGACGCGUUCAGUUUGGCCAUCAGUUUGGGGGUGGAAACUGGUGGAGAAAUGAAGUUUUGAACCAAGAAUCUCGAAGAGUUCACUCCAAAAGUUCCCUGUGAAACGAGGAUCCCGAUCACUAAUGAUGAACCUCGGCAGCCCCCAAUACUUCACAACAUUUUUAAAGAACAAUUGUGCAGCUUCCUUAGCAGUACAACCGGCUGUGGCAGGCAUGAAUGUAGCAUAUUUGGAAAAUCUAUCCACUACAACCAUAAUAGUGCCAAACCCGUUUGACUUCGGCAAAGAAGUAAUGAAAUCCGUAGAAAUGCUCUCCCAUGGACGAUCAACUAUGGGUAAUGGCUCCAACAGCCCUCCUGGUUGCCUUUGCUCUACCUUGUCUUGCUGGCACACUAGACAAGUCUGCACGUACUGCUCAAUCUCUUCCCGCAUACGUGGCCAGAAAUAGAAGGCCUCCACUAACGCCCUCGUUCUCUUCUGUCCCGGAUGCCCAGCCCACGGAGUGUCGUGGCUUUCCUUGAUAAUACGCCGCCUGAUGAACCCGAACUUUGGGACAUAGAUCCUCCGGCCAGUGGUAAGCAAGAAUCCGUCUUCUACCCAAAACCGUUUGGUUUGGCCUUUAGCAGCCAGCUCCAUAACCUUCUUGGCUUCCGGAUUGCGUUGCAUACCGUCUUUGAUUGCGCCUUGGAAUUCACUACGGACUGAGGAGAUGGCCGCUAAUUCAGUCUUUCUGCUCAAUGCAUCGGCUACCACAUUGCCCCUUCCUGGUUUGUACUCCAAGUUGUAGUCAAAUUCCGCUAAGAAAUCCUGCCAACGAGCCAGCUUUGGUUUGAUCUUCUUCUGCGACUGAAAAUAGCUAGUGGCAACAUUGUCAGUUUUUACUACAAAUUUGGAGCCUAGUAGAUAAUGCCUCCAUGUGCGUAGACAAUGCACAAUGGCCGUCAUCUCCUUCUCCUGCACAGUGUACCGUCGUUCCGCUUCAUUCAGCUUCCGGCUUUCGAAUGCUAUGGGGUGCUUUUCCUGCAUCAAGACUCCCCCAAUGGCAAAAUCAGAAGCAUCCGUAUGGAUUUCGAAGGUCUUGGUGAAGUCAGGCAGCAUCAAGACUGGCUCUUUAGUAACCGCAGCCUUAAGACCCUCGAACGCUUCCUCGCACUCCUCGCUCCACAACCAAGGCCUAUUCUUCUUCAGCAGCUCGGUCAGUGGUGCAGCAAUAUCGGAGUACCCGCUGAUGAACCUGCGAUAAUAAUUAGCAAGUCCAAGAAAAGAACGUAGCUCGGUCAUUUUCGUAGGCGCUUCCCAAUCUUGGAUCGCCUUUAUCUUUGCCUCGUCCAUACGAAGCUCACCUUGGCUGAUCACAUGGCCCAAGAAAUGUAUCUUUGGUUGGGCGAACUCGCACUUCUCCCGCUUGACAUAGAGCUGAUUUUCCCGCAAGACUUUGAAGACCUUCUUCAAGUGCUCUACAUGCUCCUGCAAAGUGCUACUAUAGACGACUAUGUCAUCUAAGUACACCACUACGAACUGGUCCAAGUAGGGAUGCAAAAUCUAGUUCAUCAGCGUGCAAAAUGUGGCAGGUGCGUUGGUUAAGCCGAAGGGCAUCACCAACCAUUCGAAUGCUCCAUACCUGGUCACGCAUGCUGUCUUUGGCUCAUCCCCCUCUGCAAUGCGCACUUGAUAGUAGCCUUUCCGGAGAUCCAUCUUGGUGAAGUAUUUGGCCUCUCCAAGAUGAUCGAACAAAUCUGCGAUCAGCGGGAUUGGAUACUUGUUCCGGAUUGUGAUCUUGUUGAGCGCCCUGUAGUCAAUGCAUAGACGCAUCGACCCGUCUUUCUUCUUCUGAAACAGCACCGGCGCUCCAUAGGGUGCCUUGGAUGGACGAAUACGACCUGCUUCGAGGAGCUCUUUCAAUUGCUUCCUCAAUUCUUCUAAUUCAGGCGGAGCCGUGCGAUAAGGUGCAAGCGCAGGUGGCUUGGCUCCCGCCUCCAACUCAAUCAUAUGAUCUACCUCGCGCCUUGGAGGUAGUGUCUUCGGCAGCUCCUCCGGCAUCACAUCGCUGUUUUCCUGCAAAACAGAUUCUAUGAUAGGUGGCAGUGGCUGCAUAGCACCAUGGUCUUCACUCGAACUUGCGAUGGUGGCUAAAAAGGUUGGCGCUCCUUUCUUCAGGCCCUUCACAAUCUGCAUGGCCGACAGUUGGGCAUAUCCGUCUUUCUUCGGCACCCUAAUAAGAGGCACCAUACAAGACCCUUCCCCCUCCAUCACCAUGAGUUGUUAAAGGUAGGUAUCAAUCAUCGUGUGGCAACGUUGAAAGAAUUCCUGCCCAAGGAUGACAUCGGAUAUAUCCAAAGGAGCUACGGUAAAGUUUGUCUUACCUUUCCACCGUCCUAAAGUGAUGCUGACCCCAUGAGCAAUUCCACACACGGGAGUUGGUGGGGCGUUGACCGUUUUGAGGCGAUUGUUGCUUGGAACAAUUUUCAGUCCCAAUUUCUCUGUCGCUGCCUUGGUCAUGAUGUUAGCCUCAGCCCCGGAAUCUACCAUGGCCCGAACUGCUUUCCCAUUGAUGGAGAUAUCCACAUAUUGUGUGCUGAAAUCCCCCGGGUUAUCAGCCUGCUUCGCUAUGGCACCACAGAUUCCAACCAUGCCCAACUGAGUGGUGUCUGCCGGUUUCGCCUUGUCUUGUGCCUCCUUUUCCUUCCGCUCACGGAUGAUGGCACUAAGACUCUUCAUCUCUGGGAACCUGGCGUAACCGUGUCGUCCGCCACAUAUAUAGCACCUGUCUCCUCUGCUGGACUGCGUCCGCUUCUCCGAGAAUUUCCGACGUUCAAACCGUUUGCCAUCGGACUUGGGUGUGUCUUGCUGCUUGGGUUGUGCCGACGGUUCUCUGCCUCGGCCACGGUCUCCCCCGCCUUUAGCUUGACUGCUCUUUGCCUCCUUGCCCUUCGCCUUGUCCAAACGAUCAUGUUUGAAAUCUGUCAAGGUCUCGGCUUGAGUGAUGGCCUCAUCGAUGGUUUUUACCUGACGCCGCUCUAACUCGGUCCUCGCCCAAUUCUGCAGCCCGUCCAUGAAGGUGAACAACAUGUCAUCCUCCGUGAGUUGGGGAAUCUGGAGGGUCAAGAUUGUGAAAUCCUUCAUAUAGGCCCUAAUACUUCCCGUCUGCUUCAACUCCUGGAGUUUGCGCUUCAUCUCAUAAACAGCAUUGUUGGGGAAGAAAGCUUUCUUGAAUUCCUCAAGGAAUUGUUCCCAUGUGUCGAUGGUGCGUGUGCCCCUCUUGAUCUCGGCAUCUUUGCGUUUCCACUACAACAUGGCUACGUCGGAAAGAUACAACACGGCAGUGUUGAUCUUGCUUGUAUUGCUCCUGACCCGAUUACACCUGAAAUAAUUUUCCAAGUGCCAUAAGAAAUUGCCUACCUCUAGGGCGUCUCGGACACCCUUGAAUGUUGGUGGCUUGGGAACCUCGACUCUGGACUCCCUUUCCUGGCCAAGUGAUGUUGAUGCUCCAACCUCCCUCUCUUCUUCGAGGGCUACUACCUUGUUCUUCAGUGUCUGGAUCGUCGUAGUAGCGUCCAACAACCUGAACUCCAAGGAAGUAAUGGAUUUCUUCAACUCCAAUUCAUUCCGCUUGCGUAGAUCCAACUCCUUCCGAAUGGUGUUAACUUCCUCAAGGGAAUUUUCUUCAAGGUUUUUAACAUCGCUGCCCAAACCAUUCAAGCGCUGCCCCAAAAUCUCAACAGCAAGUCUUGCCCUCUCAACGCUGGCAACCCAUUCAUGUCCAACAGUAACGUCUAUAACGUCUUCGCUGACGUCGUCUUCACUUUCCUCCUCUGUAUUCUCCUGGAAAGAUGUUUGUCCGUCGCCUGGUGGAGGAUCAUUUGGUGGCAGAUCGCUUGAUGGUAAACUGCCUGAUGGCAGACCGCCUGGUGGAACACUGCCUUAUGGCAGGUCGCCCGAGGGGACAUUGUCUGAUGGCAGGUCGCCUGGUGGAAGACUGCCUGUUGGCAGGUCGCCUGGUGGAGGAUUGGGCAGACUGGGUUCGUUGCCCUUCUUGUUCUUUCCCUUUUUGUGCUUCUUUCCUCCCUGAACGUUCGGGGUGCUGCUACCGUUUCCUUCGUUCGUCAUUUCCUUACGAUGAACCUUUGCUCUGAUACCAACUGUCACGCACUUUUUGAUUCGGACAAUGUUCCGUGAGGCACUUGACGGUUUACUCACGACUCUUGCACGUUCUUGCAAACUCAAGUAAGCCUAAAACUCGGAUCGCUAAGAAAAUAAGAAGCAAGACAGAACUUUGGAAGAAGGAACUUCUAUUACUUGAAAAAUGAUUGGAUGCUUUACAAGUAAAAUGAUCUACUAUUUAUACUACUCUAAUACUGCCUAAGAGUUAGUAAAUAAACUAUACAAGUUCCUAAGUCUAUGCCUACAAGACAAGCUUCUAAGUCUUCCAAAAAGGACUCCUAGAUGCUCCUAGUCAGCCCCAUGAUCUGCACAAGCCUCUCAAAGACUUGUAACUCCUGUAACUUCUGAAAGAGCCGCCCCACUAACAAGUGUAACAACUGUAACGGCUGUAACUGCCGUAACAGCUGAAACUGUUGUAACUGCUGCCUCUUCAGCUGCUGCUGGCCCCCUUGGCUGCUGACCUGCGUUGUCAGCCUGCUCCCUUGCGCCUGCUGGCUGCCUCGUUGGGUGGCGUUCGGCCUGAAUGGAUGGCGGGACGUCACAAUAAGCUUACUAUAAAUUAUUAGAUAAUGAAACACCGUUUACGGGCUCAUUAUUAUAAUUUUAUAAUAGAGAUUUAAUUUAGUUUUUGAAAAGGAAAAUUAUUAUGAUAUUGUCAAAUAAAUAUGAUAGAAAUAAUAAUAAAAUAUAAUAGAUUUUAACAAAUAAAAAUAAUAACCUGCUUUGAUGAAAAUUAGAAUGAAUCAUCCUAUUCUUUACAAAGUGAUAAAAGGAUGAAAAAAGUUGUGACUUUGUGUCUUAAUAUUUAGGGAAAAUGCACAAGUACCCCCUCAACCUAUGCCUGAAAUUCCAGAGACACACUUAUACUAUACUAGGGUCCUAUUACCCCCCUGAACUUAUUUUAUAAGUAAUUUUCUACCCCUUUUUAGCUUACGUGGCACUAGUUUGAAAAAAAAUGUCAACCAUCGUUGGUGUAACGACCUGUUUAGUCGUUUUGAGCAGCAGACUUUGAUUCUGGAAAAACUGGCAAACACAACAGGCCCCACGACGGACCGUCGAGGGUAUCUCGUUCUAAAAUACUUAGAAUUCUGAAAAAUUGGGUACUGAAAUCGACUCUCUGAACUUCGUAACGGAAUGGCAGGACAGACCGUCACAGGUGUGACGGACCGUCACAGACUCUUCAGAGAAAUUGAGUCUCUGAACUCUGUGAUGGAGCAGCAGGACGGACCGUCGCAGGCGCGACGGGCCGUCACAGGCUGCGUAAUCCCAGACUGGGUCGGAUUUCUGUAAUUAUUUUAAGGGGCGUUUUGGACUAUUCCUGCUUUAAUUAUAAAGUUAGUGGGUUAAUUCUAAUAAGUCUAAUUACUUGGGGGUUAAAAGAGGUAACCUUAAGUUAAUUAGUGGGUUAUUAUUGCCAUCUUUUAUUCUUAAUUAUAUGCUAAUUAGGGUAAAAGAAAGAGGGUUUGAAUAAGAAAAAGAAAAAGAACAGAGAGAGAGAGGGAGAAACGAUCGAGCGAGAGAGAGAGAAGAACACAACUUUGGGAACUUGCUUGCUUGAUUUCUAAUCUUCGGUGGAGGUAGGUUAUGGUUUCUAUACUAUUCGUAGUUAACUCUUAAUAGCGAAUGAUAUGUAUUGGGUGUAUUGUAAGUCUCUAUAUGCUUAAUUGUAUGCUUGCAUGAAUGUGAUUAUAUAAUUGUGAUGAAAUAAACAUGAUGAAGCUAUUGAAUCCCAAAUCUUGAAAACCCCUUGUUAAUGAUGAUGCUUGGGUAUAAAAGAAGGCUUGACGAACCGACACGUAGAAUUAGGGGAUCGGGUGUCACGAACCGACACGUAGAAUUAGGGGAUCGGGUGUCACGAACCGACACGUAGAACUAGGGGAUCGGAGUGUCACGUUCCAACACAUAGUAGUAAGGGAGCGGAGUGUGACGUACCGACACAAGAAUAAAGGUGAUGAAUCUUGAAAGAUGUUAAUAUACUCAAUCUAAUGAACCUAAUUCCCAAAUGAGUAUGAUAUGGAGGCUUGAGUCCUCAUGAGUGUAUUUGACGUUAUUUAUCAAAGAUUUUUGUACAUGUUGUUGCUACAGAUUGAGUAUUGUAGUUGAUUUAUGAUAUUACUUGAUAUAUAUUGUUUUCUAUUUGGAGUUGGCCGAUGAUACCUACUCAGUACUUGUGUUUGUACUGACCCCCUACUUUUAUGUUUUCUUCUUUUUUAUUUGUGGAGUGCAGCAAACGUGCCGUCGUCUUCAACUCAACCGUAAUUCUAGCCAGUCUUCAAUCACACUGGAUUUAAGGGUGAGCUAAUGCUUCUAGCUUGGACUGGGUCUUCCUCGUCAUGUCUUGAUGCCUUGAAGUUCCGGCAUGGACUAGCUUUUACUUGUUUUAGCUUUUUAUAAUACUCUUAGUUUAGUAAUUUGAUCAUAGAUGUUCUUGUGGUGAUGACUUCCAGAUUUUGGGGAUAAAAAUAGUUAUUGAUUUUAUUAAUGAGUUUAAGUCUUCCGCAUUACUUUCUGUUGAUAUUAUAUUGAAAUGUUAAGGUUUAGAUUGGUUGGUUCGCUCACAUAGGAGGGUAAGUGUGGGUGCCAGUCGCGGCCCGGUUUUGGGUCGUGACAAACUUGGUAUCAGAGCAUUAGGUUCGUUGGUCUCAUCACACAAGAACGAGUCUAGUAGAGUCUUAAGGAACGGUAGAGGGACGCCUUUACUCUUCUUUGAGAGGCUAUAAGACUUUAGGAAAAUUCCAUUCUCUCUUUCUUUCUUUCGCGCUAUUACUUGGGUCCAAUUGGUAUCUAGGUGAUAUAAAUUGGUAUCUGACCAUCUUCACUCUAUUUCGCAGAUGGUUAGAACUAAAGCAACAACCGCACCAACACCAGCACUGGCGGGACAGGGUGCGUCUGAGCCAGCCACUGGGGCUAUAGCUCGAGGAAGAGCAGCGGCAAGAGGCCGUGGUAGAGGUCGUGGGAGGACGUCCUCUAGGGGAAGAGGACGAGCACCUAGCCCAUCUGAUACUAGGGCAGUGACUCCUCCACUGACUGAGGAAGUAAUAAGAGAAGGAGAGGAUGGGGAAAAUGAACAAGUGCAGAAUGAGAGAUUGCCACCCCAGCCUACCCCAGAGAUGAUAAAUCAGGUGUUUACUUAUCUUAGUGGGUUAUCUGAUCAAGGUCAAACACCUCCAGUGUUUUCUGCACCAGCACCUCAGGCUCCGGAGGUACAACAUGCGGCUACUGUGGCUCCCCGCAUGGAUGCCUCAUUGGAAAUAGGCACAUUUCCUCGUCUUACUGCAGGGCCUGUAAUGACAAAUGAUCAGCAUGAACUUUUCAGUAAGUUCUUGAAAUUGAAACCUCCAGUCUUCAAAGGUGUUGAAUCGGAGGAUGCUUACGAUUUUCUGGUUGACUGUCAUGAGCUACUACACAAGAUGGGUAUAGUAGAACGGUUUGGUGUUCAGUUUGUGACUUAUCAGUUUCAAGGGAACGCCAAAAUGUGGUGGCGGUCACAUGUUGAGUGUCAACCAACAGAGGCACCAUCUAUGACUUGGGCAUCAUUCUCUAGCUUGUUUAUGGAGAAGUAUAUCCCCCGAACUUUGAGGGAUAGGAAAAGAGAUGAAUUUUUGAGCCUAGAGCAAGGUAGGAUGUCGGUUACUGCAUAUGAGGCUAAGUUUCGUGCAUUAUCCCGGUAUGCCAUCCAACUUUGUUUCAGUCCACAAGAGCGGAUUCGCCGUUUUGUGAAGGGGUUGAGGUCAGAACUGCAGAUUUCAGCCUUACAGGUAGCGGCUACGGCAAAAUCCUUUCAAGAAGUGGUAGACUUCGUGAUAGAGGUGGAAGGAGUGAAGCUAGAUGACUUCACCAUGUCAUCGACAUAAAAAAGGUUUCAAAAUGGAGGUGAUUUUAAUGGAUCUUACUCUACAGGACAAGGUUCAGGAGGUUACUCAGUCCGACCAAUUCAGUCUUCACUACAGACUGCAGUUGGGGGUCCACCUCAGACCGGUCAACACUUCUCUGAGAGACCCAUGCUUGACUCCAGAGAGUGUUAUGGAUGUGGGGAGACUGGACACAUUAGGAGGAAUUGUCCAAAACAGAGUUAUAGACCCCCAAUAGCUAGAGGUAGAGGUGGUCAUGGUAGAGGCUGUUAUUCUGGAGAACGUGGUGGCCGAGGUAAUGGUGGUCAUCAAAACGGCCGGGGUGACGGACAAAUGGGAACUACUGCAGCGCAACAUGGUAGGGGCAACGGGCAAGCAGGUGAUAGGGUCCAUUUUUACGCUUUCCCUGGGCGGUCGGAAGUGGAGACAUCAGACGCUGUUAUCACAAGUAAUCUUUUGGUUUGUGAUUGUAUGGCUUCUGUAUUAUUUGACCCUGGCUCUACAUUUUCAUAUGUAUCUUCCGCAUUUGCUAAUGGUCUUAAUUUACAUUGUGAAUUGCUUGACAUACCUAUUCGUGUGUCUACUCCGGUGGGUGAGUCUGUGAUAGUUGAAAAAGUAUAUAGGUCGUGUUUGAUAACUUUUGUGGGGAGAAAUACUUAUGUAGACUUGGUUAUCUUAGAAAUGGUUGAUUUUGAUGUAAUUCUGGGUAUGACUUGGCUUUCUCCGAAUUUUGCGAUCUUGGAUUGUAAUGCUAAAACUGUGACAUUAGCCAAGCCUGGGACAGAUCCGUUAGUGUGGGAGGGUGACUACACUUCCAAUCCGGUGCGUAUCAUCUCCUUUCUUCGUGCUAAGAAAAUGGUUAGUAAGGGUUGUUUAGCGUUCUUGGCACAUCUCAGGGAUGCUACUACCCAAGUACCUCCAAUUGAGUCGGUCUCGAUAGUUCGUAAGUUUUUAGAUGUGUUUCCCACAGACCUUCCUGGCAUGCCACCGGAUAGAGAUAUUGAAUUCUGCAUCGAUCUUGAACCGUGUACUCGCCCCAUUUCUAUACCCCCUUAUAGAAUGGCUCCCGCGGAGUUAAGAGAGUUAAAGGCACAACUUCAAGAGUUGCUAAGCAAAGGCUUUAUUAGACCAAGUGCAUCUCCUUGGGGUGCUCCGGUAUUAUUUGUGAAGAAAAAGGAUGGGAGUUUUAGGAUGUGCAUAGACUAUCGGCAGUUGAAAAAGGUAACUAUUAAGAACAAGUAUCCCAUUCCUCGCAUAGAUGACUUGUUCGAUCAGUUACAAGGUGCUUGUGUCUUCUCUAAGAUUGACUUGAGAUCCGGUUAUCAUCAAUUGAAAAUAAGGGCAACGGAUGUGCCAAAGACUGCUUUUCGAACUAGGUAUGGGCAUUACAAAUUUGUGGUAAUGUCUUUUGGUCUUACGAAUGCCCCUGCUGCUUUCAUGAGCUUGAUGAACGAGAUUUUUAAGCCAUAUCUGGAUCUCUUUGUGAUCGUAUUCAUUGAUGAUAUAUUGGUAUACUCAAAGAGCAAGAAGGAACAUGAAGAGCAUCUGAGAAUGGUAUUGGAAAUGUUGAGGGAGAAAAAGCUUUAUGCCAAAUUCUCCAAGUGUGAGUUUUGGCUAGAUGCAGUGUCCUUCUUGGGGCAUGUGGUUUCUAAGGAUGGGGUGAUGGUGGAUCCUUCUAAUAUUGAGACAGUGAAGAAUCGGGCAAGACCUACUAAUGUGUCAGAAAUAAGGAGCUUUGUCGGGUUAGUUAGCUACUACCGUCGAUUUGUCAAGGGGUUCUCUUCCAUUGCUUCCCAAUUGACGAACUUGACUAAGCAGAAUGUUCCAUUUGUAUGGUCGGAUGAAUGUGAAGAAAGCUUUCAAAAGCUCAAGACCUUGUUGACUACUGCACCAAUCCUUACCCUGCCAGUGGAAGGUAAGAAUUUCAUUGUCUAUUGUGAUGCAUCCUAUUCGGGUUUGGGUGCAGUGCUAAUGCAAGAGAAGAACGUAAUUGCUUAUGCUUCAAGGCAAUUAAAAGUGCAUGAACGUAAUUAUCCGACCCAUGAUUUGGAAUUGGCUGCGGUAGUGUUUGCCUUAAAGCAAUGGAGACACUAUCUAUACGGAGUUAAGUGUGAAGUAUACACGGAUCAUCGUAGCCUACAGUAUGUCUUUACUCAAAAAGAUUUGAACUUGAGACAGAGGAGAUGGAUGGAACUACUGAAGGACUAUGACAUCACUAUCUUGUAUCAUCCGGGAAAGGCUAAUGUUGUGGCAGACGCCUUAAGUAGAAAGGCAGGGAGCAUGGGAAGUCUAUCUCACUUGCAAGUUUCUAGACGUCCAUUGGCUAGAGAGGUUCAGACUCUGGCUAACGACUUGAUGAGGUUAGAAGUAAAUGAGAAGGGAGGAUUGUUGGCUUGUGUGGAGGCAAGAUCUUCUUUUCUUGACAAGAUUAAGGGAAAACAGUUUGAGGAUGAGAAACUAAGCAGAAUCCAAGAUAAAGUAUUGCGAGGAGAGGCUAAGGAAGCACAAAUCGAUGAAGAAGGUGUUUUGAGAAUCAAGGGAAGGGUAUGUGUACCCGAGUUGACGAUUUGAUCAACACUAUUCUAACAGAGGCUCAUAGUUCAAGGUAUUCUAUACAUCCUGGUGCAACCAAGAUGUAUCGUGACCUAAAGCAACACUUUUGGUGGAGUAGAAUGAAGCUGGAUAUUGUUGAUUUUAUUGCCAAAUGUCCAAACUGUCAGCAAGUAAUGUAUGAACACCAGAGGCCCGAAGGAACACUUCAGAGAAUGCCCAUUCCUGAAUGGAAGUGGGAGAGAAUUGCAAUGGAUUUCGUGGUUGGUCUUCCAAGGACAAUGGGUAAGUAUGACUCUAUUUGGGUGAUUUUUGAUAGAUUAAUUAAGUCUGCUCAUUUCAUUCCGGUCAAGGUGACUUACAAUGCAGAGAAGUUAGCCAAAAUCUAUGUCUCAGAAAUCGUUCGAUUGCAUGGAGUUCCACUCUCCAUCAUAUCAGAUAGAGGUACGCAGUUUACUUCUAAGUUUUGGAAAACAUUGCAUGCGGAAUUGGGUACUAGGUUGGACCUUAGUACUGCGUUCCAUCCUCAGACCGAUGGUCAGUCUGAGCGAACGAUUCAAGUGUUGGAGGAUAUGCUUCGUGCAUGUGUGAUAGAAUUUGGUGGUCAUUGGGAUAGCUUCUUACCCUUAGCAGAGUUCUCCUACAACAAUAGCUAUCACUCAAGCAUUGAUAUGGCCCCAUUUGAGGCACUAUAUGCGAGAAGAUGUAGGUCUCCUAUUGGGUGGUUUGAUGCAUUCGAAGUUAGACCUUGGGGUACUGACCUUUUGAGUGAUUCAUUAGAGAAAGUUAAAACUAUUCAAGAAAAGCUGUUAGCGGCGCAAAGUAGGCAAAAGGAAUAUGCAGAUAGAAAAGUUAGAGACUUGGAGUUCAUUGAGGGUGAACAAGUCUUGCUGAAGGUUUCGCCCAUGAAAGGGGUGAUGCGGUUUGGUAAGCGAGGUAAACUUAGCCCAAGGUAUAUUGGUCCAUUUGAAGUACUCAAGCGAGUAGGGGAGGUGGCUUAUGAGUUAGCCUUGCCUCCAGGGCUGUCCGGAGUGCAUCCGGUAUUUCAUGUGUCUAUGUUGAAAAGAUACCAUGGGGAUAGAAACUACAUUAUCCGUUGGGAUUCAGUUCUGCUUGAUGAGAAUUUGUCUUAUGAGGAGGAGCUUGUUGCUAUUUUACAUAGAGAAGUUCGCAAGUUGAGGUCAAGGGAGAUUGCAUCCAUCAAAGUUCACUGGAAGAAUCGACCAGUCGAAGAAGCCACUUGGGAGAAAGAGGCUGAUAUGCAAGAAAGAUAUCCACACCUGUUUACAGACUCAGGUACUUCUUUUCGCCCUUGUUUUUCUUCUUAUGAUCGUUCGAGGAUGAACGAUGGGUAAAUUGGUAUCUAUUGUAACGACCUGUUUAGUCGUUUUGAGCAACAGACUUUGAUUUUGGAAAAACUGGCAAAGACAACGGGCCCCACGACGGACCGUCGAGGGUAUCUCGUUCCAAAAUACUUAGAAUUAUGAAAAAUUGGGUACUGAAAUCGACUCUCUGAACCUCGUAACGGAAUGGCAGGACGGACCGUAACAUGUGUGACGGACCGUCACAGACUCUUCAGAGAAAUUGAGUUUCGGAACUCUGUGACGGAGCAGCAGGACAGACCGUCGCAGGCGCGACGGGCCGUCACAGGCUGCGUAAUCCCAGACUGGGUCGGAUUUCUGUAAUUAUUUUAAGGGGCGUUUUGGACUAUUCCUGCUUUAAUUAUAAAGUUAGUGGGUUGAUUCUAAUAAGUCUAAUUACUUGGGGGUUAAAAGAGGUAACCUUAAGUUAAUUAGUGGGUUAUUAUUGCCAUCUUUUAUUCUUAAUUAUAUGCUAAUUAGGGUAAAAGAAAGAGGGUUUGAAUAAGAAAAAGAAAAAGAACACAGAGAGAGAGGGAGAAACGAUCGAGCGAGAGAGAGAAAAGAACGCAGCUUUGGGAACUUGCUUGCUUGAUUUCUAAUCUUCGGUGGAGGUAGGUUAUGGUUUCUAUACUAUUUGUAGUUAACUCUUAAUAGCGAAUGAUAUGUGUUGGGUGUAUUGUAAGUCUCUAUAUGCUUAAUUGUAUGCUUGCAUGAAUGUGAUUAUAUAAUUGUGAUGAAAUAAGCAUGAUGAAGCUAUUGAAUCCCAAAUCUUGAAAACCCCUUGUUAAUGAUGAUGUCUGGGUAUAAAAGAAAGCUUGACGAACCGACACGUAAAAUUAGGGGAUCGGGUGUCACAAACCGACACGUAGAAUUAGGGGAUCGGGUGUCACGAACCGACACGUAGAAUUAGGGGAUCGGGUGUCACGAACCGACACGUAGAAUUAGGGGAUCGGGUGUCACAAACCGACACGUAGAAUUAGGGGAUCGGGUGUCACGAACCGACACGUAGAACUAGGGGAUCGGAGUGUCACGUUCCGACACAUAGUAGUAAGGAUGCGGAGUGUCACGUACCGACACAAGAAUAAAGGUGAUGAAUCUUGAAAGAUGUUAAUAUACUCAAUCUAAUGAACCUAAUUCCCAAAUGAGUAUGAUAUGGAGGCUUGAGUCCUCAUGAGUGUAUUUGACGUUAUUUAUCAAAGAUUCUUGUACAUGUUGUUGCUACAGAUUGAGUAUUGUAGUUGAUUUAUGAUAUUACUUGAUAUAUAUUGUUUUCUAUUUGGAGUUGGCCGAUGAUACCUACUCAGUACUUGUGUUUGUACUGACCCCCUACUUUUAUGUUUUCUUCUUUGUUAUUUGUGGAGUGCAGCAAACGUGCCGUCGUCUUCAACUCAACCGUAAUUCUAGCCAGUCUUCAAUCACACCGAAUUUCAGGGUAAGCUAAUGCUUCUAGCUUGGACUGGGUCUUCCUCGUCAUGUCUUGAUGCCUUGAAGUUCCGGCAUGGACUAGCUUUUAGUUGUUUUAGCUUUUUAGAAUACUCUUAGUUUAGUAAUUUGAUCAUAGAUGUUCUUGUGGUGAUGACUUCCAGAUUUUGGGGAUAAAAAUAGUUAUUGAUUUUAUUAAUGAGUUUAAGUCUUUCGCAUUACUUUCUGUUGAUAUUAUAUUGAAAUGUUAAGGUUUAGAUUGGUUGGUUCGCUCACAUAGGAGGGUAAGUGUGGGUGCCAGUCGCCGCCCGGUUUUGGGUCGUGACAGUUGGGCCCACAGGAUAGUUCCACGUAGGCUAAAAAGGGGUAAAAAUAUUAAUUAAAUAAGUUCGGGGGGUAAUAGAACCUUAGUAUAGUAUAAGUGUGUCUCUGAGAUUUCGGGCAUAGGUUGAGGGGGUACUUGGGCAUUAUCCCUAAUAUUUAUAAAAUUAGGAGAAUAAUUUUGUAUAGUAAUUUUUUUUCCUUUUUACAAAUAUAAUCAAUAUACAUGAUGAAAAAUGGUUUACCGCAAAUAAAUAAAUUUAUAAAUAUCAGCGAAAGUUGAUAAAAUAUGUACAUCAGUAAUUUAACACGAGGUUGUUAAUUAUAAAAUAACUCAUAUUAUUUGCUUAAAAUGAUAUUAACUCUGAGAAAAUAAUAGUAACAAAUAAAUAUAUGUUUUUCAUUAAAUUAUAUAAUAACAUAUAUGAUACAUGAAGUUUUAACAUUAUACAUAAAAAGAAAAAUCAAGUAAAUCAAAUACUUCAAAAAUUAUCUUUACAAUCCCCCCAAAAAAAGACCAUAAAAUUGAAAUGUCUGAAGAGAACCAAAGGAAAGGACGUAACAUGCUUGAAAUUGUUGGAAAGUUUAUUCUUGAAGAGCUUGCUCACAGAUUGCAUUCCUUUUGAAUUAGGCAUUUUGAGAAAAACAUUUGUGAUUGAUGUUGAAUUAAACAUGUUAACUGAUUCAUUAAGGUGUUUGAAAGGUGUGAAUCACUUAAAUUUUACUAAAAAUUGGCUAUAUGGGCAAGUCUCAGAAAUGAUGUGUCCACUAAGAAAUAGUGAAUUUUACUUUUGUCUUAUAAUUAUUUUACAAAAGUAGGGUCGUUAUAUCAAGAACUGAUAAAAAAUGUAGUUCUUAUUGUUGAAAAAAAUUUGCAUUAGGUUUUUCCUAAUAAGAGAUCUAUACGGGAGGUAUACUAUUUAGGACGCAAAUAAGAAAUACAAAAUGGUCAGGUGGACCUUUGUUGUCACAACCCAAAAACAGGUGUGAUGACACUCAUCUUAUUCCACCAAUACAAGUUAGCCUAAGACCCAAUAUCUAACAAAGCAAUCUAACAAUAAUUUCUAUUAUGAAAAUAAGUCGACUUAAUUUAAUCCCCAAAAUCAGAUUGUCACGUGCACAAGCCUCUAAUGUAAAUAUUAGAAUUGAAAUAAAAUACAAGUCUAAAAAUGAAGUUGUCUUUCAAGUAAAAACAAAAUCAUAAACUGGAGUAGGAAAGUUCGCUGACAUGACAAGCAGCUAUGUCACAAUUCUCCACAAGAUGCCUCAGAAACGAAGAGAAUGGAAGGUAUCACGAAAAUUCGGGCUCAGAACCUACAAAAAUUUGUAGAAGAAAGGGGUGAGUACCAAACCACGCGGGUACCCAACAAGCAAACCUCUAAGCACAAGUUAAGGGAACAAAAUACGGGUACUCCAUACACCCAAUCUGAACCUCCACACUACAAACAACUCACAGUUUACCAAACACACAACUCAAUAACCACACUCUAUUAGUUACAUAUUCUCAAUAACAACUCCACAUUCAACAGUCAUAAUUUUCACAGUGAAACACUAAAAAGAUCAGCAACACACGUAUUCAAGUUCAUCAAUAAUAAAAAUGUGUAAUGUCAUGAGAUGCAAUGUCAAGUAUAGUGAUGUGUGUCUUCCCUAACGAUACAUACCCGCUGUCACUCAGUUUGGAACCAUGGGGGACAUAUCUGUCCAUGCAUCUUUCGCGGCGCACGACACGACAUUCGAUAAUAGUAACCAUCGCGGCACGCGAUACGUCGGCGCACGAUACGACACUCGAAAUGGUACAUUCUCUUAUCACAUAACACUUAUUACAAUCAUGUCUCGGAUGCAAAAUGACAUGCUCAAAUGAAAAUGAGGAGAUAACCAUUUUGAUAUCAACACACACUUUACAAUAAGGAAUACAGCACCAACAAAUAAACAAAAAGUCUCCAAAUCAUUCUCAACACCAUACAAGGAAAUACACGAAUUUUAUACGCUUAACAAAAGUUUAGAAAUUCACUUGCCUUAGUCAAUCGAAUAAUUACUCUUGGACUUGAGCCUUCCCUUUCCAUUGAGCUUCCGAAACAAUGAAAUCUAUUCAAGUAUAUAUUCAAAAUAAGUUUCAGAACUAACAACACUCACACUUUUAUGUGUUUAAUCUUAACCUUAAAAAUUCACCAAAAUUUAUAAUCAGGUUCUUAAGUUUCAAGCUUAUGGUUAUGUUUCAAUUCUUUUUUUUUUCAAUAUCAUAAUUCGAAUUUGUAUGAGUCAAUAGAUAUAAUAUUUAAUCACCUAUUCUACAUACCCAAACUUUACACAUAAUGUGAUAAUAAUAAAGUUUUACCAAAUAACUAAUCACUCACGGAACUAACACAACCUUAAAAUCCCAAAAAAUUAUUUGCACCCACCAUAUCCACUCUUCCUAAUUACUAUCCACACAUGCACAUCAGUCAACAAAGAUUUUCAGAGUAGCCUAUUUCCUUUCAAUCCAUUUAUGACCAACAUUUAUUAUUAUUAUUUUUUGUUUUCCCAAUGAUCCAAUAAUACACAUAACAUUAAUAAUAAACAAAUCAUUAAAUUUCCAAUUUAAUAAUGUGUCAAUUAGAAAUCAACAAAAAAAAAAUUUAAUCACCUACAAUAUUUUCCAUUUACAUUAGUUCAUAUUCCCAGACAAUCACCACCCAUGAUUAAUUUUUCUUUUAACAACAACCACAUAAUUACAAAAUAAAUAACUAAUAAUUCUAAAAUAGGUAAUUAAGUCUUCUUUAUCUUUCUACCCAUCAUAUACCAACAUUGCUAUAUAUAAAAUUAUAAUAUUGUGUAUUCACGAAGGCAAUUCAUCCAAAAUUUCCAAUUAUUAAAAGUGCAUACCUGCACUUGUGAUCGACGCCGCCACCGGUCAGUUUUCGUUCCGUUUCUCCUUAUUUUCUUUCAACAGCCGCACACUCUCUUUCUCUUUUCUAAAUUAAUAGUUUAUUAAAACUGAUAAAAUCCACUAACUUCUUCUUUUAAUACCUGACCAUAAUAGUAUAGAGUUUUAAAUAAAUGGACACUUUAGCCCACUAACUAUGAAUUAAUUCAAUUAUCUACAAUUAUUCUUCAAUUAAAUAACUUCGGUUACACAACUAAUUUAAAUAUUCAAAUAAAAAAUGGCUUACGGGUCAUUACAUUUGUACUUGUACUCUUUUGUACUAUGAACCCUUCUACUUACACCUUUGUCAUCUGAACCCCCAAACUCAUUUAAACACAACCUGUUUAACCCUUUCAAUUCAUCGUGACUCUCAAUAGCACUGAUAUCACAUUCCAUGUCAGAUAAAAAUUUUCACAGCAUUUUUUAUUUUUAUAAUAAUUUCUUUAUGGUCAAAAACUUAUAAAGAUUUUAUGCAAAUUUACAAAAUAAAAUUUAAUUAUUCUUUUAAAUUAAAAUAUUGGGUCUCCCUACGUCAUCUGCCAUUUUCAUUUUGAAAUUGUCCAAUCGCCAUAGAAAGUUGUCAUUGCCACCACUCUUCUUUCCAGCGAGACUACAAAUACUCUCUCCUUUACCUGUCUCUAUUUUCGUUGCACACUUUUACCAUUUUCUUACCUUCUCCUUCUCCAACCUCCACAAAUUCAAAAAUCAUAAGCCGUCGCGCCAACUUCUUUCCCCUCACCAGCCUCUUUCCUUUCUCCGCUGCCUUUCUUUUUCCAUACUAUCGACGACUCUUGCGAACCAACAAGUACUCUCUAUUCUAUUCAUCCUUACCAACGUACUAGAAGGCCAUAAAGUUCCUUGCUUCCUUCGGUAUAUUUGCAUGCUCCUCGCCGCCUCUGGUCUACCAGACUAUCAUUAAUGAGGAAAGCGACUGAUAUGCCCAUAUUAACACAACUACAACUAUUUAAAAAUGGAAAAACCAAAAAUCAGAUUUAGACAAGGGAAUAAAAGGCAACAAGCACAGAGAGUAAAUCAACAACAAGCGCAACAAUCAACAUUUACCAAAACAACAUCUUCGAGAUGACUCACACACGCGCAACAAAGAAAAGAAAAAGAGGAAGAGUAGCUCACCUAUUAGCAAUGGAUGAUGAGCGAUAAAUUUACAGACGAACAAAAUACAUGUAUCUAACAAUACAUAUUCAUCAUAACGACAAGAGGCAUUAUAUGAGCAAAGAAAGCAAUCGUAGCAUAGAUUAGCAAAUCUCAAAAUGGAACAAAUUUUAGAAAAAAAAACUAAAGAAGAUAAAAAGAAAGAAAAAAUUAGGGUUGGACAAAAACAGAAAUGACUGAAAAAGUAGAUUGUUGGGUGAAGAAGAAGGUUUUUUUUUAAGUUCACUAUUUUACUUUUUUAAACUAAAUAUUUUUAAAAUUUAAAUAUGAUGUUCACUUGCCUUAGUAGGAUGUGGUCUUACUCUCUUGCCAACUCAACCAUAUUCACAUAAGCAUGGUCAAUGGUCAGAGGGACUUAAUGUACUGUGUUUUAUUAAAUAUAAGGGUUUAGUUGGCAAAUUGUUCAGUAAAAGGAUCCAUAAUACAAACUAAUACAAGUACAAGGGUCCAUCAGACUAUUUUUCCAAUAAGAAAUAAAGGGCGAGAAAUUUAUUGGUAUAAGACUGAGAGGGGAGAGAAUUGAGGAGUGGAUGAAAUGAAGAACGAAUUAAUGUCUAUUUAUUUGUUUCAUAGACUUAGUUCUAGAAAUUUUUUAUAAUUUAUAGUUUCUAGAAAAGUCAUGUAAUUUGUGGAGGAAAUUUACCCGAGAUUUUGACUAUGAACAUCCUUGAAUUAUACUCUAAACUUAAAGCACAUCCUUGUAACACCAUAUUAGCAAAACAUCCUUCAAAUAUCUAAGGAUUAAUAAAUUCCAUCUAUUAGUGAAAGACCGUUAAAAAUCUAUCAGAGUGGGUGAAAUUCACUAAAUACUCCGCAAAUUUGAACACUUUGUAUUCUCUCAUUUCUCAGAAAUAUGAAUUUUAACUUUCAUUUGUUGAAAUAUGCUUCAUUUCCUAUAACCCCCCCCCCCCCCUCCCCAGUCAUUUUUGAAACUGUGAUGCAAUAGUGCAAAGUCAAAUCAUGCAAAGGCACAUAUACUGAAACCUAGUACCCCUCAAGAACAUGAAGAAUGAUUGCUUUCAUACGCGAUACAUGUGUUCUGCACAUUGUCUUUACUUAUAAUUAGAAAAAGGUAAAUUAAAGGAAAUAUUUGUAAGAAUUAAUAAUAAUAAUAAUUAAUUAUUUCUUACUUAUAUGACCCAAGUUUACUUGAAAUUCAAGUAAUACCAUAAAUAGUAUUUAAUAAGGAAUAUAUCUCGUCAGUACAUUGGUUACUUCUUGGACGUAGCAAACGAAGUCAUAACCUCUAUAAAUUGGUCCUCCCUCUACCCAUUAGGGUUAACCCCAUAUUCUCUACAAUAGUUCCAUCGCCGACGAUUGUGGUAACUUAAAGUUAGGGUAAGGAGGUAAAAACCAAUUUACGUUUAACGCUUCUAUUUUUCUUUGUGUUGAUAUCUUACUCGUCAGGUAUGUAUCCCUAAUGAUCUCUAUGUAAGAUUAUUGUGUUCAAGAUUCUGAUAUUUUGUGUUCAAGUAUUUAAUCUUACAUGUGGCAUCUAAUCUUGAAUUAUUUGAACAAACAAUCUUCAUAAAUUAUAUAACUGCAUCAGCGUUGAUAGGAUAAUAAAGAAUAAUUACCGCUCACCAUCCCUAAAUAAAUAACUAAUUAUGUUUUGUUUUAGAUUGCACAAAUUCUGAAAAUUUUAAUCCUCCCAUGAUAUAUGCAUUAUGUUUUCUUUUAUAUUAUGUUUUUAUAGUUUGUUAGUCACCAAAGUGGUCAAACUAGAUAAAAUUAACGUCUACACAUAUCAUGUUUAUGUUCGCUGAUGCAUGUAUUAUGUUGGACCAAGUUUACUUGAAAUCCAUGUAAUACCAUAAAUAGUAUUUAAUAAGGAAUAGAUCUCGUUCGUACAUUGGUUACUUGAUGGACGUACCAGAUUAAGUCAUAAGCUCUAUAAAUGGGUCCUCCCUCCACCCAUUAGGGUUAACCACAUAUUCUUUACAAUAAUUUCAUAGCUGAUUGUUGUGGUAACAUAAAGUUAGGGCAAGGAGGUAAAAACCAAUUUAUGAAUAACGCUUUCGUUUUUCUCUGAUGAUGUCUUCCACAUCAGGUAUGUAUCCCUAACGAUCUCUAUGUAAGAUUAUUGUGUUUGAGAUCCUGAUAUUAUGUAUUCAAGUAUUUUAUUUUACAAUAUCAAGCAGAACUAACUUUUUUCGGUAUUGGUCCAAAAUCAAUGAAGGUAACAGUGUCAAUAUUCUCCAAAAAAACAUUGAAAUAUUUUCCCAAUCUCAAUUUGGUUCUUUGUUUUUAGCAAUCAAAACUUAGCUAAGAGCUAAAAAGUUAUUGUUAUUAUAUUACCCUAGAUCAUAGAAGUGUCAGAAAUGUCAAUCUAAUUACAUCUCGUGUGCUAUUUCAUCUAGUAACAGGAGUUUCAAAAUGCUCUGUUAGAUUUCAAGUAGUUCUUGACAGAAGGAUGAAAUUUGUUAGAUUUUCAAUAGUUGAAGAAUGUUUCUUGUUUACUAUGAUGUACUUUAAGUUUAGUCUAUAGUUGAAGAUGUUUUUUAUCCAAAAAAAUUCAAAUUUGCUCAUUUGAAAAAAAAUAUUUUAAUGAAGUUCAAAAAACACAAUUUAUAGAUUUUUAAAAUGAAAUAUAUACAAAAUGAUCAUAUUACCCUAGAUCGUCCUCAACUUCAUAUUUUCAUAUACUAGAAAAAUACCAAAUUUUGGUCUGACAACUUCAAAUUUAAAUCAAGCUUACAUCAGUUCACAUUUUUAGAUUAAUAUGUAAAAUCAAGUAAAAGUACAAAUUUGAUUAUAUAUUUUAAUAAAAAGUACUUUUUUAUAAUCUAGUAAACAUUUUAGUUACUUUAAAUACAAGUAUAUCAUCCUAUUCAUAAAGUUACUUUUCAACAUCUUUUAAAUUCUAGUAUAUUUUUAAAAAUAUUGAAUUUAAUUUUAUUUAGUCUUUUAUUUCAAUCUAAUAUAUAUUAUUAACUUUAUAAUACUUUUUUCUUUUCGUGUAUAUUAAUUAGAACCAAAUAAAGAUGAAAAUAAUUAACUAUAUUUUUAAGUAAUGAAUUUUUAGGUUAAAGUAGGCAUUUUUAGUAAGCAUAAUAAAUAUAAAGAUAUUAGGAAUUAAUUAAAGUAAUAGUUAAAUAGAUAAAUGAAUAAAUAUCACAAUAAUUCAUAAAAAAGGCGAAGUGAUAACAAAAUGAGUUGAUAGAAAUAACAUUAACCAAAGAUGUUUGUAGAACUAUUUAGUUUUCUUGUUAUUAUUAUGGUAGAAUUUUGUUAGUGUGAAAUUAGAUUUUUACCCUUGAUCGUCAUCUUCAUAUACAAAGAGAUGUUUCUAAAAUUAUUUGUUUCUCUUGCCAUCUUUUCUUUAUAGAUUUUGUUAGUUAAAAAUUACAUUAUUACCCUCAGUCGUCCUACCACUCUACUCUUCUAUAUAAUAGAAACUAGAUAUUAGGUGUUGCGUUAGCGCAGGCCCAACGUAUAUUAGUUUUUUUUCCUUUAAUUUAUGUGACACAAAUGAAAUUUGAAAAAGUGAACUAAAAUUUUUAUGUGUUUUUUAAAAAAAUAUUUUAAAUUAUUAAUUUAUGUACCCUUUAUGUCAUUUUCGAAUAAUAUAUGUUACUACAUCUGUUUUAUUUUAUGUGAUGCAAGUGAUUUUAGAAAAGUCAACAAAAUUUCUUAUAUGAUUCUCACAUAUUUUUAGUUGUCAUUUUACUGUGAUUUAUAGUACCUUUUAGUUCUUACGUUAUUUUCAAACAUAUAACUUUUUUUUCGUUUCAAUAAAAAUAAGGAAGUCAAACAAAUUUUAUUAUGUUUUUUUAACUAUAUUUUUCUAAAUAUAUCUUAAAUUUUUGCGUAGCAUUUUAAGCCUUUUUUAUAUAAUUUUCAAAUAUGUAACAAAUUAGAAAUUAAAACGAAGAAUUAAAGUUUUCAAAUCAUUAUAUUUCUAUAUUAAAAUGCACAAAUCUUUAAAUCAAACGUUUUUUUAAAAAAAAUAUAUGAAAGCUCAUUUUAAAAAUAACACAUAUAUAUUUCAUUUUUAACAUAUGAAUCCCUCCCUUUUGAUUUAUAUGAUCUUAUCUUUUUAUUUUAUUUCAAAAAGAAUAUAACUUUUGAAUUUUAAUUUUUUUUAUAUAGCAUUUUAAGAUCACAAAAUUAAAAAAUAUUUCAAUGCACAAAAUUUUAAUAUACAUAUAAAUUUUAAUUUUACUUUUGAUAGAUUCCGCCUAAUAUUAUACUUGAUAUAUAAUUAUUAAGAGCUAAGCGUAAUCAUUAAAUAUAUAUCACAAUAACUCAUAAAAAUGAAGAAAUAACAAAAAUGAGGUAAAACUAAUAAGAAUAACUAAAGAUGUUUCUAAAACUAUUUAAUUUUCUUAUUAUCAUUCGUUCUAGAUUUUUGCCUGCGUGAAAUUACAUUUUUACCUUUGAUCAUCAUUCACUUCAUAUAUAUAAAGAUAUUUCUAGAAUUAUUUAUUCUGGAUAGAUUUUUAUUAAAAUGAAGUUACAUUUUUAUUCUUAGUCGUCUUUAAUACAAAUAUGUCAUCCUAUUCAUUUUUAUUUGUAAAGUUACUUUUUAACAUAUUUUUCUUUAAUUUCAAUAUAAUAUAUAUUAUUACUUUUAUCACACAUAUUUAUUUUCAAGUAUAUUAUUAGAGCCAAAAUAAAGAUGAAAAUAAUUAAUUCAUGAUAAAUUUUUAUAUAAAAGGUAGGCAUUUUUUAUAAGCAUAAUGAAUAGAAAAAAGUAUUAAGAAUUAAAUUAAAGUAAUAGUAAAAUAGAGUACAAAUAAAAUAGAUUUCACAAUAACUCACAAAAAAGAAAAGAAAUGAAGUAAUAACAAAAUAAUAAGUUAAUGGUAAUAACAAUAACUUAAGAUGUUUCUAGAACCAUUUUUUUUGUUAUCAUUCUUAAUAGAUUUUUGUUAGCGUUAAAUUACAUUUUUGCCCUUGAUCAUUGUUCACUUCAUAUAUAGAAAGAUGUUCCCAAAAUUAUUAAUUAUCUUUCUUAAUAGAUUUUUGUUAGCGUGAAAUUAUAUUUUUGCCCUUGAUCGUCCUCCCAUUUCACUCUUCUAUAUAACUAGAUAUUUUAAGGCCCGGAAUACGGGCCCAAUAUAAUUUCACAUUUUUUAUUGAAAAAAUUACAUAAAUUCACAACAUAAUUAUAAUCCUCUCUCGGAUACAUCCCUAUUUUCUCUCGGAUACAUAUCUAUUCCAUCUCGAAUACAUAUCUAUUCCAUCUCGAAUACAUCCCUUCCCCGAAGUAAUAUGUCGUUUGCAAUAUAUUGGACAACCAAAGGAAUGUAUUCGAGAGGAAUGAAAAAUUUGAGAUUUCUGUAAUUGAGAAAACUUUUCGGAUAUAAUGUAAUUAGCCUCCAAAGAUAAGAGAUUUCUGUACUUUAUACUAUUUUUUUUAGUAAACAACUUCAAUAUAUUACUUUAUAAUCUAUUUCAAAUGGUCAUAUGACAUAAAUGUGUCGUUUACAACCUAAAUUGAGAAAGUUUAAUUCUAAAAAAUUAUUUGUAGCAAGAAAAUAGAGAAUUGCAUUUGAUUAGGAGUUAAAACACUUUGUGUUCAAGGAAUUAUAAAAUGAUAUCUUCGAAAAAGUUCAUCGAUCUUCAUAUAUAUUCGCAAGUAGUAUCUAUUUCUCACAAUGUUAUUAUCUUUGUUUUGUGACAUAUUGUAACGACUCUUUUGGUCGUUUUGAGUACUAGAACUGUUUAUUUCAUAAAUAUUUUUCGGGUAGAUUCUAAAUGGAUAUUUUAGACUAUUCGUAACUACAAUUAUACAUUUAGUGGGGUGAUUUUAAUUGUUUUACUAGUUGGUAAUUAAUGAACUAAAUCCAUAAAUAUUUAAUUAAAUUACCAUAUGGCCCAUGAAUUAGAAUAAAUUAGAGGGUUUAGUAAUUAUUUAAUUAUUAGUUGAUAAUUUUCUUACCCUAAAUAAUUAAAAGGCUAAACAAGAAGAUUACGGUAGAGAAACCUUACCUGGGGCUGCGGCAUCUACCAGUGAAGACGAUACUCAGGUGACUUCAUUCUCCAACUUUGAUGGCUUAAAGAUACCAAUAGGAGGUUGCAUGUGAUGCAAUAUCAAAUAUUUAGGGAUGCAUGUAGUGUAAGUUGAGUGAUUGUAGAUGUGGUUAUUGCGGAUUAAUAUUAUUACGAUUGUGUAUAGGAAAAUAUAUACACUUAGUAUGUGUAGUUCAGGAAGGAAACAAGAAUAUAUACAUUUGUUUUGUGAACAAGACGAUCUACGAUAUUUAUUACUGUCAAUGCCAGCUCUUCAUAGUCUUUCUGUAAAAAAGAAAGUCAAUAAAGCUUAUUCCACAAGUUGAAAAAAGUGAGGAAGCAUAUGCCAUCGGAAAUAAUAAGAAAUGGAACCAUGCUUUGUCAUCGUCAGAUUUUCCGGUGUCUGCUCUAGCUGCAACACUUAUCCAAAAGCUCCCGUCGAAAGCGAGAACAUCCUCCACAACUAUCUGUGGCAGCUGCAACCAUAAUAGAAAGAUAAAGGUUAAUUUUCAUCCGUGUAGAUCAAAGCUCGAAUAGAGAAAUGCUCCCACUUUGACAACUAGUAUAACAUUCUAUUGCAUAGCUCUUUAAGGGUAUCAAUGCAUGUUCAGGUGCACAAUAAUACAGAGCUUAUCAGGACAAUCAAACCUAUAAUCCACCAGAGAGAAUUAAGGAUACUACAUUAGCCUUAAAAUGACCAUUAAUGCUUAGUGCUCAUUAAAUUGAGUUUUAUAUAUAUACAUAUAUAGGAAUAGGAUUACAGUGGGUUGAGCCUACUACUGGUUUUUAUCACCAGUAGUAUAGGAAUUAAGGUUAUUAAAUUCGAAUCAUGUUAUAAAGUUAGUUUUUAAUAUAUUGAUAUAGAUAGGUAAUUAAAUAUUAGGUUUAUUGAAUUAUUUAAAUUUUAUUAAGUUGUGUUAAAUAAAGGAAUUAAGACUUACCCUUAGGUUGGAAUUUUAAGAAAAUGAUUACAUAAUUAGGUGAAUUGAUGGGUAUAGGUUAGACACAAAAUAAUCUGAGUGUUUAUGGGAUUGUCAACUUACACCUUAUGCAUAUAUAUACUUGAUAGAUUGGAAGGGCUCGGAGGCAUGAGGAAAGGAAAGACAUUGGAGAAGUAGUUGCUUGACUUCGAUUCUUCGGUGGAGGUAGGUUAUGGUUUAUUUCUAUUUGAUAGAUAAACUCUAAAUAGCGAUUGAUAUGUAUUGAGUGAUAAUGUAAAGUCUCCUAUGUACUUGAUUGUGUGGUUGUAUGUUUUGAUUGUGUGGUUUGUGGUUGACCUAAAAUUAUGAGAGCGUUGAAUUUCUAAUCUUGAACUCUCUCUAUUAAAAUGACGCCUUGAAUAAAGAAGGCUUACUGAAAUAAAAUAAUGAGAUAAUUGGAUCGGAGUGUCACGUUCUGACAUGAUAUUAUGGGAUCGGAGUGUCACGUUCCGACACGGUAUAUGGUAUCAGAGUGUCACGUUCUGACACGAUAACAUUAAAGGAAAGGAAUCUUGAAUUAACUUAAUAUACUCAAACUCAAAGAACCUAUUUCCCAAAUGAGUAUGGUGUGGAGGCAUGAGUCCUCAUAGGUGUGCUUGAUGUUGUGAUUGAUGGUGUACCUAUUAUGGUAUUAUUGUCAAUGGUUCAUGUGUUUGUUGUUGCCACUUGUUAAGUAUUGUAGUUGAUUUUAUAUUAUUAUUCAAUGUAUAUUGGUUUCUAUUUUGAGUUGGUCGAUUAUACCUACUCAGUACGUGUUCCUUGUACUGACCCCUAUUUGUAUUUUCUUCUCUGUUCUUUUGUGGAGUGCAACAAGUGUACCGUCGAAUUCGACUCGCCCUCAGCUCUAAUCAGUCUCCAGCACAUCAGAGUUCAGGGUGAGCUAUUAUUUCUAGCUCGUGCUGGAUUCUCUCAUUCACGUCUUGAUGUCUUUGAAUUUCGGACAUGGGCCAUCUUUUUGCUUAUUUUGGCUUCUUAAACACUUUUAGAGUUGGUAAUUUGGAAAUAGAUGUCCUUGAUGUGAUGACUAUCAGAUUUUGGGAUAAUAAGUAUUAAACUUUAGAAACUUAAUUGAAUUGGUUACAUUAAUAAGUUUUGGAUCUUCCGCAUUAUUUUUGUUAUUCAUAGUUAAACUAUUGGUAAAUGUUGGGGUUUAGAUUUGUUGGUUCGCUCACCUAGUAGGUUAAGUGUGGGUGUCACUCACGACUCGUUUUGGAUCGUGACACAUAUGCACCAUAAGUUUUGCAUAUGAUAGAAUACUAAUCCUUGAUCAAUUAAUUCGUAAAGAUCGAUUUAAAGUCUUUCAAAUCUCUAUUGCUUCAACUUAAGUAUAAUGUGUUUGUAUUUGACUUUGUAGAUGAAUUUUGUGAUACAUUUUCUUAUUGUCUUCGAUAAAUACAAAUACUUAAAAAAUAAUUUCUAACUUCACAACAAUAAAAACAAUCAAGAAAGCAACUUUAUUUCUAUAUACAAUGACAAUUAUCUUAGUGUUAUAUUCUAAAUAUUAAAAGUAUUUAUUAAAAAAAAUAAAUUUUGCCUCCACAACAAUAAAAACAAUCAUAAAAGAAAAUUUAUUUCUAUAUACAGUAACAAUUAUCAUAAUGUUAUAAUUCUAAAUUACAUUAAUUAAUUUUUUUGAUACUACACUUAAUAUCAUGCUUUAAAGAAAACUCUAAAGCUUACCCCCAUAAAUAACCAAUAUACUUUUUUCAGGGUAUUUUUUUCUAAUUUAUUUAUUUUUUAGUUUUUUUCUUCCUCUAUAAUCUAAACAAAGUCUUUUUCUAUUGACAUUUUCUUUUGUUGUUCUUCUUUAUUUUUUUGACUAUUCAUUUCUUUAGUUUGAAUUUUAAUAUUCAUUAGAAUUUGAAUGUUAAACGUUCUCCUUGUCAAAUUUACUAUGUUAAAUAGUUUAUCAUAUUUGAUAUUAAGAAAAUAUAAAAAUGAAAGUUUUAUAUUUUUAAUCUUUCGAUGAAUACAUUAUCAAAUUAUUGAUUUCUUGAUAGUCAAACAUUGCUCAUACUUUUAGUCAUGAAAUUUAAUAUUUUCUUCAAAUUAAUUAAAAACUACUCUUACGUCAUUUUAAAACUAUUUUAAUAAUCAGAAUACGAAUUUAGUGGUCAUAUUAUGUAACAUAAUAUUAAAAAUAUGUUUACCCAUUAUUCCUUUCAAGUAUUUCGAGGAACAAAAUAUUAACUAUUCAAACAUAUUUUAUUUUAAUUAGUUCAAAUUUUCUUUCUAAAAUAUGUCAAAACAAGCUUAGCAUUUGUUAUUGUUUAUAAUAAGUUAAGUAAUAGAAACUCUUCAUUUAAACAAAAUUACAAUAAUAUUCUUAUGGGCCCAUAACAUAAGUUAAGACAUGUAUGAAUUUUCCUAAAUUUUCAUUUUGACCAUUAAUUAUACAAUUAUUAUUUUAUCCUUAAGUGAUGAAAUUAUUAAAAUUCCAUUACGCAAUCUAAUAUUCAUUUUAACAUCAUGUUAGACAUUAACAAAUUAAAUGACAAUAUAUGUUGGAUAUAAAAUAUGUCAUCUUCUUUAAUUUUAUGUAUCCGACUCAUAUAAAAACGGGUAGACCUCAGAAAUGUUCAGAUUUGGUGGAUGUAGAUAUAAUUAAGUGAGAUGACAUGUUAUGUGGUUAACAUAAUUAUUUAAUAAGCAUUUAUAAUCACACACACAUAGUUUUCUUCUACGAAAAAUUUGAACUAAAACUGUGUGAAGUGUUUAGGUGUUCCAUCGAAACAGUCGUAAUUUAAAUAUCAAAAUAAAAUUUAGUGGCAAUUUUAAUGGACUAUUGAUAUAUAAAGUCAAAUCAUAAAUUUAUAUUAAAAAAUAUUAAAAACUCUAUAUCUAACUUUGCACAACUAUAGUUCCAUUGAAUUUUCUUUAAGCAAAAUAACACAAAUUCGGUUUUAAUAACAUUUGUUUUGUCUAUCUUAAAGAUGAAAAUAUUUUUUCUAAUAAUAAUUUUACCAUUUAAGUAUGAAAAAAGUUUGUUUACUUUUUUUUUUUUUUUAUCAAGGUGAGAUGAUUCAUACUUUAAAAUGUUGUAGUCAUUUAUGUCUCAACUGAAAAAUAUUACAUGACUUAUACUUUGAAAUUACAUGUAAUUUCAAAGUAUAAGUUAUGUUUGUAAGUUUUCUGUCUAAAUUUAAUUGAUAAAUCUUUUAAUAAUUUUCUUCUUUUUUUGAAUUACCGCUACAUAUAAAUUAAUUUUGAAAUUUAAAAUUUUCAUAUGAUAUGUUAAUUUAAUUUAUUAAUAUUUCGAAAAGAAGAUAAUUUACUUUUAAAAAAUUCUAUCCCAGAUUCUUAUUUGAGACAAGAUGAUAGUAGUAUUGGGAAUUAAUUGAGAAUUAAUCAAAAUUUGCAUUCUACUGUUUAAAUUUUGUUUUAUUUUAACAUUUGAGUUCUAACAAAAAGAUGAGUUCUAUCGUUAAAAAACAUUUUUAAAAUUGUAUUGUUGAAAAAGCUAACUUGAUUUUACAUUUUGAAGACUAAAUAUAAGGCAUGUAAAAAAUAUAUUGAAGAUUAAAAAAUAAAUGGGGUGCAUAAAUAUGAAUGAAGUUGAUAAUUGUUGACCAUUUAAAAUUAAUAAUAGAUAGUAGAUUUGUAAUGAUAUAAAGAGAAUGGACCCACAUUGUUAUACAUGUUUAAAGGCUUUUAGUGAGAGAAUAAGACAAGGCUAAUUACAUAGUACAAUUUGUAUUGCUCAUCGUACAACUCUUCAUAGACAUGGUCGUUCUUCCAUGACUCUUCUAUAUAACUAGAUAUUUUAAGACCCAUAAUAUGGGUCCAAAAUAAAUUCAUAUAUUUUGUUGAAAAAAUUAAAUAAAAUCACAACUUAAGAUAUUUAAUUACUCUCUUGGAUGCAUUCUAUUUCCUCUUGGAUUCAUCUAUUUUCUCUUGGAUACAUAUCUAUUCCUUCUAAUAUGUCAUUUGCAAUGUAUUGGACAACCAAACAAUAUAUUUGAAAGGAAUAAAAAUUCAAGAUUUUUGUAAUUGAGAAAACUUCUCGGAUAUGAUGUAAUUAGCCUCCAAAGAUAUGAAAUAUAUAUACUUUAUACUAUUUUGUUCUUUAGUAAAAAAUUUCAAUAUAUUACUUUAUAAUUUAUAGGGAAAAGGGUCUGAUAUACCUCUCAACUUUGUCAUUUGGAGCUGAUAUACCCCUCGUUAUAAAAGUGGCUCAUAUAUGCCCUUACCGUUAUACAAACGGCUCACAUAUAUCCCUGUCGUUACAAAAUGACUCACAUAUACCCUUCAUUUAACGGAAGUUAAAAAAUUAGUUUUAAAUUUAUAUUUAUUACUUCUAUUUUUUUUGAAAAAAUUAUUUAGUGGUAUAUAUGAUUCUUCUAUCAAAGAUCAAGGUAUAUUUUAAUUUUUUUCAUACAUAAAUUAUUUUUUGACUUCUUUUAUUAUAAUUAUUUGAGUUUCUUAUGCUUAUUUUGUUUUUUUUCUUUCAUUCCUUAGUUUAAAGAAAAAAAUUAAAUUAUCUUUUUGUGUGUAUUGUAAUUUAAUUGUGUCACGAUCCAAAACGUGUCGUGAGUGGCACCCACAUUUAUCCUCCUAUGUGAGCGAACCAACCAAUCUAAACCCCAAUCAUUUACCAAUAAUAAACAGAAAAUAAUGCGGAAGACUUAAAAACUCAUUAACGAAAUCAAUUGAUAACUUCUAAAAUUCAAUACUUAUCAUCCCCAAAAUCUGGAAGUCAUCAUCACAAGAACAUCUAUCCUCAAAUUACUAAAUCUAAGAAUGUCUAGGAAACUAAAACAAAUACAAAAGAUAGUCCAUGUCCGAACUUCAAGGACAUCAAGACAUGAAUGAGAGAGAAUCCAGUCCGAGCUAGGAACAAUAGCUCACCCUGAAAUCUGACGUGGUAAAGACUGACUAGAGUUGCUGUUGAGUUGAAGACGACGGUACGUUUGCUGUACUCCACAAAUAACAAAGAAAGAAACAUACAAGUAGGGGUCAAUACAAACACACGUACUGAGUAGAUAUCAUCGGCCAACUCAAAAUAGAAAGCAGUAUAUAUCAGAUAAUAUCAUAAAAACAACUACAAUACUCAACAUGCGGCAUUUACAAUUAUCAUAACCCUUGGUCACGACACCAAGCACAUCAAUGAGGACUCACGCCUCCCCAUCAUACUCAUUUGGGAAUUAGGUUCAUUAAAUUGAAUAUAUUAACAUAUUUCAAGAUUCAUUCUCUUUUAUUCCUCUUGUGUCAGAACGUGACACUCCGAUCCCCUAAUACUACGUGUCGGUUCGUGACACCCGAUCCCCUAAUAUUACGUGUCGGUUCGUGACACCCGAUCCCCUAAUACUACGUGUCGGUUCGUGACACCCGAUCCAUAUUCUAUCCUGGUGUCGGAACGUGACACUCCGAUCCUCAUAUACUAUCCUGGUACCGGAAUGUGGCACCUGAUCCAUAUUCUAUCCUGGUACCGGAACGUGGCACCCGAUCCAUAUUCUAUCCUGGUACCAGAACGUGGCACCCGAUCCCCUAAUCUCACUACUUUCGUUCAUCAAGCCUUCUUUUAUACCAAGGCAUCAUCAUUAACAAAGUAGAUUAGGGUUUUUCAAGAUUUAGGAUUCAAUAGCUUCAUCAUGCUUAUUUUAUCACAAUUAUAUAAUCACAUUCAUGCAAGCAUACAAUUAAGCAUAUAGAAGGGUUUACAACACUACCCAAUACAUAUCAUUCGCUAUUAAGAGUUUACUACGAAUAGCUUAAACCAUAACCUACCUCCACCGAAGAAUUGCGACCAAGCAAUCUACUUUCCCAAAGCUUUGCUUUCCUCUUCGUUCUCUCCUCUUGAUCGAUCGUUUCUCCCUCUCUCGGUUCCUUCUAUUUUUCUUAUUCCAACCCUUUUUCUUUUACCCUAAUUAGCAUAUAAUUAAGUAUAAAAGAUGGUAAAAGUAACCCAAUAAUUAAUCUAAGGUUAUCUCCUUUAACCCCCAAGUAAUUGAAUUAUUAACAUUAAACCACUAACUUUAUAAUUAUAAGCAGGAAUAGUCCAAAACGCCCCUUAAAAAUAUUUAACAAAAAUCCGACCCAGUCAGGGUUACGCAGUCUGUGACGGACCGUCGUGCCUGUGACGGUCCGUCCUGCUGAGUUAUCACAGAGUUCAGAGACUCAAUUUCAUCAAAGGGUCUGUGACGGUCCGUCGUGCCACGACGGUCCGUCCUGCCCACGACGGUCCGUCCUGCCAUGUCGUUGCGAAGUUCAGAGAGUUGUCCUCAGUACCCAAUUUUUUCAGAAUUCUAAGUGUUUUGGAACGACACACCCUCGACGGUCCGUCGUGGGAUCCGUCGACCCAGACAGUUUUUAUUUGAAAUAAACUCUACUGCUCAAAACGACUAACAGGUCAUUACAAUAGAUAUCAAUUUACCCAUCGUUCGUCCCCGAACGAUCACAAGAAGAAAAGCAAGGGCGAAAAGGAGUACCUGAAUCUGUAAAUAGGUGUGGAUACCUUUCUUGCAUAUCGGCCUCCUUCUCCCAAGUGGACUCUUCGACUGGUAGAUUCUUCCAUUGAACUUUGAUAGAUGCAAUCUCCCUUGACCUCAACUUGCGGACUUCCCUAUCUAAGAUAGCAACAGGCUCCUCCUCAUGAGACAAAUUCUCAUCAAGAAGAACUGAAUCACAACGAAUGAUGUAGCUUCCAUCACUAUGGUAUCUUUUCAGCAUAGACACAUGAAAUACCGGGUCCACCCCUGAGAGUGCUGGGGGCAAGGCUAAUUCAUAAGCUACCUCCCCCACGCGCUUCAGAACUUCAAAUGGACCUAUGUACGUCGGACUAAGCUUACCUCGCUUACUAAACCGCAUCACUCCUUUCAUGGGUGAAACCUUCAACAAAACUUGCUCGCCCUCCAUAAACUCCAUGUCUCUAACCUUUCGAUCUGUAUAUUCCUUUUGCCUGCUUUGAGCCGCUAAAAGCUUCUCUUGAAUGGAUUUCACCUUCUCUAAUGAAUCCCUCAAAAGAUCAGUACCCCAAGGUCUAACCUCAAAUGCAUCAAACCACCCAAUGGGAGACCUACAUCUUCAAACUUUUUUUUUUUGACUUUUUGUUGUUUCAAUGACUAAUUUAUAAUUAUUAUUUUGAUGAUCAAAUUUAUUUAUGUUUCACUAAUAUUCUUGUAAAACUUAUUGUAGGUGACCAAAUUUUUUCUUCGAAUACGAAAUUUGUAACGACCUGUUAGUCGUUUUGAGCAGUAGAGUUUAUUUCACGUAAAAACUGUCUGGGUCGACGCAUCCCACGACGGAUUGUCGAGGGUGUGUCGUUUCAAAACACUUAGAAUUCUGAAAAAUUGGGUACUGAGAACAACUCUCUGAACUUCGCGACGACAUGGCAGGACGGACCGUCGUGGGCACGACGGACCGUCACAGACCCUUUGAUGAAAUUGAGUCUUUGAACUCUGUGACGACUCAGCAGGACGGACCGUCGCAGGCACGACAGCCCGUCACAGACUGCGUAACCCUGACUGGGUCGAAUUUCUGUUAAAUAUUUUUAAGGGGCGUUUUGGACUAUUCCUGCUUAUAAUUAUAAAGUCAGUGGUUUAAUGUUAAUAAUUCAAUUACUUGGGGGUUAAAGGAGAUAACCUUGGAUUAAUAAGUGGGUUACUUUUACCAUAUUUUAUACUUAAUUAUAUGCUAAUUAGGGUAAAAGAAAAAGGGUUGGAAUAAGAAAAAUAGAAGGAACCGAGACAGGGAGAAACGAUAGAUCAAGAGGAGAGAACGAAGAGGAAAGCAAAGCUUUGGGAAAGUAGAUUGCUUGAUCACAAUUCUUCGGUGGAGGUAGGUUAUGGUUCAAGCUAUUCGUAGUAAACUCUUAAUAGCGAAUGAUAUGUAUUGGGUAGUGUUGUAAACCCUUCUAUAUGCUUAAUUGUAUGCUUGCAUGAAUGUGAUUAUAUAAUUGUGAUAAAAUAAGCAUGAUGAAGCUAUUGAAUCCUAAAUAUUUAAAAACCCUAAUCUACUUUGUUAAUGAUGAUGUCUUGGUAUAAAAGAAGGCUUGAUGAACGAAAGUAGUGAGAUUAGGGGAUCGGGUGCCACGUUCCGGUACCAGGAUAGAAUAUGGAUCGGGUGCCACGUUUCGGUACCAGGAUAGAAUAUGGAUCGGGUGUCACGUUCCGGUACCAGGAUAGUAUAUGAGGAUCGGAGUGUCACGUUUCGACACUAGGAUAGAAUAUGGAUCGGGUGUCACGAACCGACACGUAGUAUUAGGGGAUCGGGUGUCACGAACCGACACUUAGUAUUAGGGGAUCGGGUGUCACGAAUCGACACGUAGUAUUAGGGGAUCGGGUGUCACGAACCGACACGUAGUAUUAGGGGAUCGGAGUGUCACGUUCCGACACAAGAGGAAUAAAAGAGAAUGAAUCUUGAAAUAUGUUAAUAUACUCAAUUUAAUGAACCUAAUUCCCAAAUGAGUAUGAUGGGGAGGCGUGAGUCCUCAUUGAUGUGCUUGGUGUUGUGACCAAGGGUUAUGGUAAUUGUAAAUGCCGCAUGUUGAGUAUUGUAGUUGAUUUUAUGAUAUUAUCUGAUAUAUACUGCUUUCUAUUUUGAGUUGGCCGAUGAUAUCUACUCAGUACGUGUAUUUGUACUGACCCCUACUUGUAUGUUUCUUUCUUUGUUAUUUGUGGAGUACAGCAAACGUACCGUCGUCUUCAACUCAACAGCAACUCUAGUCAGUCUUUACCACGUCAGAUUUCAGGGUGAGCUAUUGUUCCUAGCUCGGACUGGAUUCUCUCUCAUUCAUGUCUUGAUGUCCUUGAAGUUCGGACAUGGACUAUCUUUUGUAUUUGUUUUAGUUUCCUAGACAUUCUUAGAUUUAGUAAUUUGAGGAUAGAUGUUCUUGUGAUGAUGACUUCCAGAUUUUGGGGAUGAUAAGUAUUGAAUUUUAGAAGUUAUCAAUUGAUUUCGUUAAUGAGUUUUUAAGUCUUCCGCAUUAUUUUCUGUUUAUUAUUGGUAAAUGAUUGGGGUUUAGAUUGGUUGGUUUGCUCACAUAGGAGGAUAAAUGUGGGUGCCACUCACGACACAUUUUGGGUCGUGACAAAUUUGGUAUCAGAGCAUUAAGUUCUUUGGUCUCAUCACACUAGAACGAGUCUAGUAGAGUCUUAAGGAACGAUAGGGGGACGCCUUUACUUUUCUUUGAGAGGCUACAAGACUUUAGGAAAAUUCCAUUCGUUCUUCCUUCGUGCUAUUACUUGGAGCCAAUUGGUAUCUAGGUGAUACAAAUUGGUAUCUGACCAUCUUCACUCUAUUUCGCAAAUGGUUAGAAUUAGAGCAACAACUGUGCCAACACCAACACCAGCAAGACAAGAUGCGUCUAAGCCAGCCACUGGGGCUGUAGCUCGAAGAGGAGCAGUGGCAAGAGGAUGUGGUAGAGGUCGCGGGAGGACGUCCUCUAGAGGAAGAGGACAAGCACCUGUCCCAUUUAGUACUAGGGCGGUGACUCCUCCACCGACUGAGGAAGUAGUAAGAGAGGGUGAGGAAGGGGAAAGUGAGCAAGUGCAGAAUGAGGAAUUACCACCCCAACCUACCCCAAAGAUGACUAAUCAGGUUCUUGCUUAUCUUAGCGGGUUAACUAAUCAAGGCCAGACACCUCUAGUGUUUUCUGCACCAGCACCUCAGGUUCCAGAAGUACGACAGGCCGCUGCUGAGGCUCCCCGCAUGGAUGCCUCAUUGGAAAUAGGCACGUUUCCUCGUUUGACUACAGGGCCUAUAAUGACAAGCGAUCAGCAUGAACUUUUUAGUAAGUUCUUGAAAUUGAAACCUCCAGUCUUCAAGGGUGACUACACUUCCACACCAAUUCGUAUCAUCUCCUUUCUUCGUGCUAAGAGAAUGGUUAGUAAGGGGUGCUCCUGUUUUGUUUGUGAAGAAAAAGGAUGGGAGUUUUCGGAUGUGCAUUGACUACAGAAAACUGAAUAAGGUAACUGUUAAGAACAAGUAUCCUCUUCCUCGCAUCGAUGAUUUGUUUGAUCAGUUACAAGGUGCUUGUACCUUCUCAAAAAUCGAUUUGAGAUCUGGUUACCAUCAAUUGAAAAUACGGGCAACGGAUGUGCCUAAGACUGCUUUUCGGACCAGAUAUGGGCAUUAUGAGUUCUUAGUAAUGUCUUUUGGGCUUACGAAUGCCCCUGCUACUUUCAUGAGCUUGAUGAAUGGGAUUUUCAAGCCAUAUAUGGAUCUCUUUGUCAUUGUAUUCAUUGAUGACAUACUAGUAUACUCGAAGAGCAAGAAAUAACAUGAGGAGCACUUGAGAAUGGUAUUGGAAAUGUUGAGGGAGAAAAAGCUUUAUGCCAAAUUCUCUAAGUGUGAGUUUUGGCUAGAUUCAGUGUCCUUCUUGGGGCACGUAGUUUCUAAAGACGGAGUGAUGGUGGAUCCUUUCAAGAUUGAAGCAGUGAAGAAUUGGGUAAGACCUACUAAUGUUACAGAGGUAAGGAGCUUUGUUGGUUUAGCUAGCUACUACCGUCGAUUUGUCAAGGGAUUUUCUUCUGUUGCUUCCCAACUGACAAAUUUGACUAAGCAGAGUGUUCCAUUUGUAUGGUCGGACGAAUGUGAGAAAAGUUUUCAGAAACUCAAGACUUUGUUGACUACUGCACUAAUUCUCACCUUGCCAGUGGAAGGAAAGAACUUCGUUGUUUAUUGUGAUGCAUCCUAUUCUGGUUUGGGUGCAGUGCUGAUGCAAGAGAAGAGUGUAAUUGCUUAUGCUUCGAGGCCAUUAAAGGUGCAUGAACGUAAUUAUCCUACCCAUGAUUUGGAGUUGGCUGCGGUAGUGUUUGCAUUAAAGCAAUGGAGACAUUACCUAUAUGGGGUGAAGUAUGAAGUCUAUACAUAUCAUCGUAAUUUACAGUAUGUCUUUACUCAGAAAGAUUUGAACUUGAGACAGAGGAGAUGGAUGGAACUACUGAAGGAUUAUGAUGUUACCAUCUUGUAUCACCCAGGAAAGGCUAAUGUUGUGGCAGACGCCUUAAGUAGAAAAGCAGGGAGCAUGGGUAGUUUAGCCCACUUACAAGUUUCUAGACGCCCAUUGGCUAGAGAGGUUCAGACUCUGGCUAACGACUUUAUGAGGUUAGAAGUAAAUGAGAAGGGAGGAUUUUUGGCCAGUGUGGAGGCGAGAUCUUCUUUUCUUGACAAGAUCAAGGGAAAACAGUUUGAUGAUGAGAAACUAAGCCGAAUUCGGGAUAUGGUGUUGCGAGGAGAGGCUAAAGAAGCAAUAAUGGAUGAGGAAGGUGUUUUGAGAAUUAAGGGAAGGGUAUGUGUGCCCCGUGAUGAUGAUUUGAUCCACACUAUUCUUACAGAGGCUCAUAGCUCCAGAUAUUCUAUACAUCCUGGUGCAACCAAGAUGUACCGUGACCUAAAGCAACACUUUUGGUGGAGAUGUAUCUGAUAUUCUAUACAUUGUUGAUUUUGUUGCCAAAUGUCCAAAUUGUCAGCAAGUAAAGUAUGAACACCAGAGGCCUAGAGGGACACUUCAGAGAAUGUCCAUUCCUGAAUGGAAGGAGGAGAGAAUUGCAAUGGACUUCGUGGUUGGUCUUCCAAAGACAAUGGGUAAGUAUGACUCCAUUUGGGUUAUUGUUGACAGAUUAACUAAGUCUGCUCAUUUCAUUCCGGUCAAGGUGACAUAUAAUGCAGAGAAGUUAGCCAAAAUUUACAUCUCAAAAAUAGUUCAAUUUUUUUUCUUUAAACUAAGGAAUGAAAGAAAAAAUAAAAUAAGAAUAAGAAACUCAAAUAAAUAUAAUAAAAGAAGUCAAAAUAAUUUAUGUAUGAAAAAAAUUAAAAUAUACCUUGAACUUUGAUUGAAGAAUCGUAUAUACCCCUAAAUAAUUUUUAAAAAAAAUUAGAAGUAAUAAAUAUAAAUUUAAAACUAAUUUUUCAACUUCCGUUAAAUGAAGGGUAUAUGUGAGCCAUUUUGUAACAGCAGGGGUAUAUGUGAGCCGUUUGUAUAACGGUAAGGGCAUAUAUGAGCCACUUUUAUAACGAGGGGUAUAUCAGCUCCAAAUGACAAAGUUGAAGGGUAUAUCAGACCCUUUUCCCUACAUUUAUAUUGUCUUCGAUAAAUAGAAAUAGUAAAAAAAUUGAUUUCUAACUUCACAACAAUAUAAACAAUCAAGAAAACAACUUUAUUUCUAUAUAUAAUAACAAUUAUCGUAAUGUUAUAUUGUAAAUAUUGAAAAUAUUUUUCAAAAAAAAUAAUUUUUUCCUCCACAAAAAUAAAAACAAUCAUGAAAGAAACUUUAUUUCUAUAUACAAUAACAAUUAUCCUAAUGUUAUAUUCUAAAUUACAUUAAUUAAUUUUUUUGAUACUACACUUAAUAUUAUGUCGUAAAGAAAACUCUAAAGCUUCCACCCCCAACCCACCCCCCAAAAAAUAACCAAUAUACUUUUUUUUCAAGUUUUUUUUUCUAAUUAAUUUAUCUUUUAGUUUUCUUCCUCUAUAUUUCUAAACAAAGUCUUUUUCUAUUAGCAUUUUCUUUUGUUCUUCUUUAUUUUUGAACUACUCAUAUUUUUUAGUUUGAAUUUCAAUAUUCAUUAAGAUUUGAAUGUUAAAUUUUCUCUGUUAAAUAGUUUAUCAUACUUGAUAUUAAGAAAAAAUAUAAAAAUGAAAAUUUAAUAUUUUUUAAUCUUUCAACGAGUACAUUGUCAAAUAUUGAUUUCUUGAUAGUCAAACAUUGCUCAUUCUUUUAGUCACAAAAUUUGAUAUUUUCUUCAAAUUAAUAAAAAAACUACUGAUACGUCAUUUUAGAGACUAUUUUAAUAAUCAAAAUACGAAUUUAGUGGUCAUAUUAUGUAACAUAAUAUUAAAAAUAUGUUCACGCAAUAUUCCUUUAAAGUAUUUCUAGGAACAAAAUAUUAACUAUUAAUACUUAUUUUAUUUUAAUUAGUUCAAAAUUUUCUUUCUAAAAUAUGCCAAAAACAUUUUUUAUUGUUUGUAAGAAGUUAAUUAGGUAAUAGAAACUCUUCAGUUAAACAAAAUUACAAUAAUAUCCUUAUGGGCUCAAAACAAAGUUAAGACAUGUAUGGAUUCUUCUAGAUUUUCAUUUUGAUCACUAAUUAUACAAUUAUUAUUUUACCCUUAAGUGAUGUUAAAAUUACUAAUAUGUCAUUGAUCGUCUUUCGCAUGACUUUUCUAUAUAAUAGAAAUAAUAAAACUUGAUAUUUUAAUGCCCGUAAUACGGGCCCAGUAGAAUUUAACAUAUUUUGUUGAAAAAAUUAGAUAAAUUCACAACUUAAGAUAAUUUAUUCCUCUCUCGGAUGCAUCCUAUUUCCUCUCGGAUCCAUCUAUUUUCUCUUGGAUACAUAUCUAUCCCUUCUAAUAUGUCAUUUGCAAUGUAUUGGACAACCAAACAAUGUAUUCGAAAGGAAUGAAAAUUCAAGAGUAAUUGAGAAAACUUUUCGGAUAUGAUGUAAUUAGCCUCCAAAGAUAUGAAAUAUCUGUACUUUAUACUAUUUUCUUCUAAAAAUUUCAAUAUAUUACUUUAUAAUUUAUUUCAAAUGGUCAUACAACAUAAGUGUGUCAUUUACAACUAAAUUGAAAAAGUUUAAUUCUAAAAAUUCUUUGUAGCCAGGAAAUAGAGAAUUGCUUUAAAAUAAGAGUUAAAACAUUUCAUGUUCAAGUAAUGAAUAAAAUUCAUAUAUAUUAACAAGUGGUAUCUAUUUUUCACAAUGUUAUUUAUCUUCUUUUUUGUGAUAUUUGCACCAUAAGAUUUUCAUCUAAUAAAAUACUAAUCAUUGAUCAGUCAAUUCGUAAAGAUCGAUUUAAAGUCUUCGAAUCUCUAUUGCUUCAACUUAAGUAUAAUGUAUAUGUAUUUGACUUUGUCGAUGAAAUUUAUGAUACAUUUUAUAUUGUCUUCGAUAAAUAGAAAUAGUAAAAGAAUUGAUUUAUAACUUCCCAACAAUAUAUACAAUCAAGAAAAAAACUUUAUUUCUAUAUAUAAUAACAAUUAUCGUAAUGUUAUAUUCUAAAUAUUGAAAAUAUUUUUCAAAAAAAAUAAUUUUUGCCUCCACAAAAAUAAAAACAAUCAUGAAAGAAACUUUAUUUCUAUAUACAAUAACAAUUAUCCUAAUAUUAUAUUCUAAAUUACAUUAAUUAAUUUUUUUGAUACUACACUUAAUAUCAUGUCGUAAAGAAAACUCUAAAGCUUCCACCCCACCCACCCACCCCCACCCCAAAAAAAUAACCAAUAUACUUUUUUUCAUUUUUUUCUAAUUUAUUUAUUUUUUAGUUUUCUUCCUCCAUAUUUCUAAACAAAGUCUUUUUCUAUUAACAUUUUCUUUUGUUCUUCUUCUUUAUUUUUUAACAACUCAUUUUCUUUAGUUUGAAUUUCAAUAUUCAUUAGAAUUUGAAUGUUAAAAUUUAUCUGUUAAAUAGUUUAUCAUAUUUGAUAUUAAGAAAAUAUAAAAACGAAAAUUUUGUAUUUUUUAAUCUUUCAAUAAAUAUAUUGUCAAAUUAUUGAUUUCUUGAUAGUCAAACGUUGUUCACUCUUAUUGUCACAAAAUUUAAUAGUCUCUUCAAAUUAAUUUAAAACUACUGAUACAUCAUUUUAAGGACUAUUUUAAUAAUCAAAAUAUGAAUUUUGUAACGACCUGUUAGUCGUUUUGAGAAGUAGAGUUUAUUUUUUCUGGUAAUAAUUGUCUGGGUCGACGGAUCCCACGACGGACCGUCAUGGGCACGAUGGACCGUCGAGGGGGUCUCAUUCCAAAACACUUAGAAUUCUGAAAAAUUGGGUACUGAGAACAACUCUCUGAACUUCGCGACGACAUGGCAGGAUGGACCGUCGUGGGCACGACGGACCGUCACAAAUCCUCUAGUGAAAAUCAGUCUCUGAACUUUGUGACGGAAGCAGCAGGACGGACAGUCGCAGGCACGACGGCCCGUCACAGACUGCGUAACCCUGACUGGGUCGGAUUUCAGUUAAAAGUUUUUAAAGGGCGUUUUGGACUAUUCCUGCUUAUAAUUAUAAAGUUAGGGGUUUAAUGUUAAUAAUUCAAUUAUUUGGGGAUUAAAGGAGACAACCUUGGAUUAAUUAGUGGGUUACUUUUACCAUCUUUUAUACUUAAUUAUAUGGUAAUUAGGGUAAAAGAAAAAGAGUUUGAAUAAGGAAAAAUCAGAAAAAGAGAAAGAGAGGGAGAACGAUCGAGAGAAGAGAGAAACGAAGAAGAAAGCAAAGGUUUUGGGGGAUAGCUUGCUUGAUCACGAAUUCUUCGGUGGAGGUAGGUUAUGGUUUAUGCUAUUUCAUAGUAAACUCUUAAUAGUGAAUGAUAUGUAUUGGGUAGUAUUGUAAACCCUUCUAUAUGCUUAAUUGUGUGCUUGCAUGAUGUGAUUAUAUAAUUGUGAUAAAUUAAGCAUGAUGAGGCUGUUGAAUCUUAAACCUUUAAAAACCUCUUUGUUAAUGAUGAUGCCUUGGUAUAAAAGAAGGCUUGAUGAACUAAAAGAAUGAGGUUAGGGGAUCGGGUGUCACGUUACGGCACCAGGAUAGUAUUAAUGGAUCGGGUGUCACGUUCCGGCACCAGGAUAGUAUUAAUGGAUCGGGUGUCACGUUCCAACACUAGGAUAGUAUUAAUGGAUCGGGUGUCACGUUCCGACACCAGGAUAGUAUUAAUGGAUCGGGGGUCACGUUCCGGCACCAGGAUAGUAUUAAUGGAUCGGGAGUCACGUUCCGGCACCAGGAUAGUAUUAAUGGAUCGGGUGUCACGUUCCGGCACCAGGAUAGUAUGAGGAGGAUCGGAGUGUCACGUUCCGACACCAGGAUAGUAAAAAGAAUGAAUCUUGAAUUAUGUUAAUAUACUCAAAUUAAUGAACCUAUUUCCCAAAUGAGUAUGGUAUGGAGGCUUGAGUCCUCAUGGGUGUACUUGGCGUUAUUAUCAAUGAUUUUUGUACUGUUUGCUGCUACCUGUUGAGUAUUCUAGUUGAUUUUAUAAUAUUAUCUGAUAUAUAUUGCUUUCUAUUUUGAGUUGGCCGAUGAUAUCUACUCAGUACUCGUGUUUUGUACUGAUCCCUACUUGAAUGUUUUCUCUUUGUUAUUUAUGGAGUGCAGCAAACGUACCGUCGUCUUCAACUCAACCGCAACUCUAGCCAGUCUUCAUCACGUCAGAUUUCAGGGUGAGCUAUUGUUUCUAGCUUGGACUGGAUCUUCUUCUUCACGUCUUUAUGCCUUGAAAUUCUAGCAUGGACUAGCUGUUUAGUUAUUUUAGUUUCUUAGAUACUCUUAGAUUUAGUGAUUUGAGGAUAGAUGUUCUUGUGAUGAUGACUUCCAGAUUUUGGGGAUAAUGAUAAGUUUUGAGUUUUAGAAGUUAUUUAUUGGUAAUAUUAUUGAGUUUUAAGUCUUCCGCAUUUUAUUCUGUUUAUUAUGUUUGCAAACGUUGGGGUUAGAUUGGUUGGUUCGCUCACAUAGGGGGAUAAGUGUGGGUGCCACUUACGGCUCAUUUUGGAUCGUGACAUUAGUGGUCAUAUUAUGUAGCAUAAUAUUAAAAAUAUGUUCAUGCAAUACUCCUUUAAAGUGUUUCUAGGAAAAAAAUAUUAACUAUUCAAACUAAUUUAUUUUAAUUUGUUCAAAAUUUUCUUUCUAAAGUAUGUCAAAACACAUUUUUUAAUUGUUUGUAAGAAGUUAAUUAAGUAAUACUCUUCAGUUAAACAAAAUUACAAUAAUAUUCUUAUGGGCUCAUAACUAAAGCUAAGACAUGUAUGGAUUCUUCUAGAUUUUCAUUUUGACAAUUAAUUAUACAAUUAUUAUUUUAUCCUUUAAUAUGCAAUUGGUGUCCUUCUAAUGGCUCUUCUAUAUAAUAGACUAGAUAAGUAUAUCCGUGCUAAGCACGGGCCAAUGAAUUUAGCUUCUACGUAUUAGAGCAAUAUUUAUUCUUACACCUACUAAAUAUAGAUUAAAGGGGAAAAUGAAAAAUAUACCACCAAUUUUUCGUAAAUAGUAUGUGUAUGCCUCUCAAUAUACUACCCUUUGUAUUAGUGGUUAUACAUGUGUCUUAAUAUAUAACUAUUGGAAGUUAUAUAUUGCCACGGGAUUAAUCAUAUAAUUUGAGGGGAAGAUACUCUACAUCGUAUGCAAUGAAACAUGACAAGUCAAGCUUAUGCUCCAUGUAGGUGCAUAAAUUGAGUUAUCUAACUUUGGAGUAUUAUUUACUGCAUGAAAACGACCCAAAUUUUUUCCAGAGGAUAUAUUGAUGAUAUUCACAAUAUCAAUUUAAUGCUGAAAUUUGUGGAAUAUAGAAGCAUCAUUCAAAUAAAAAUAAAUUAUAGGUCUUUCGAAAAAUUGAUUAAAAGUGACAAGGAAAAGUUGAAGAGAUAAACUGUACUUAAUAGUAUUGUAUCUGUCUUUCAGCACAGGUUGGAUAAAGCUAUAGACAUAGUCCAUAUUUCCGCAGCUAAUUAAGCUAAAAUAAAAUAAAUAAAAAAAGUACCCUCAAUGGAUACAACCAUAAAAAUCAUCCUGCCUUGGAUUGCUCAGCCGUAAACAUUGAUCCCACAACAUUCAACAAAGACAUGAUUACACAAAUUAAUAAACUAUACACGUUGUCAAUCAAGGUAAAACAAAGAAAUGGGUUUCAUUUUUGUCAUAUUAGUCUAGAUAAUACUGCUCAAUUGCGGAGAGAUUUAUCAAAAUUGUUUCUCAACUAUAAAUUAACAUGAAUAGUUAAACAAGUCUCAUUUGUGGCUCAAAUAAUAUUGUCUAACUCCAAGUGAUUAGGUUAAUGAUCUUUCUUGUGUCUUGAGGAUAUGCUCUACACUGUAAGCAAUAAAAAGUGGUAAUUCAAGUAUAUGCUCAAAUUAAGUGCAUAAACUGAGUUUGUUAACUAUGGAGUACUAUUCGUUGCAUAAGGAUGAUCAAGAUAAUAUCUAAGAAUAUGUUGAUAAUGUUCACAACAUAUCCAUUAAGCUGAAUAUUCAGGGGCACAAAAAGGUGAGCGAGUUACUAACAUCUCAAAGUAAACUUUAGACCUCUAUUUGGGAAAAUACUUACACGAUGAAAUGUUUCUUUCUCUUGAAGUGAAGCACUUGUCAGACUUUUUUGAAUUUUGCUCUAUCAAUUCUGCCACUCUUAUCUACAAUCGCAACAAAUUUCACUUUUUCUCCAAAUAAACUACCUGAACGGCUAUUACACAUGUAACAACACCAGGUACAUAUACCAGAAUUAAAGGUCUUUACAUAUGAAAUAAAGUGGAACAAAAAAUGCAUACACAGUAACAAAAAUCUUAGAAACUUGUAAGAUAAUCUUAGGUAAUAACUUCAACUUUUAAGGUCCUUAUCUUGUGAUCUGGAUGCAGGGUCUAUAAUAGAAUGUGCAGAAGACACCACUAUGAGAAAUUCCACAAGUUAAACCUGUGAAGUUAUUCACAACUUAUCUACUUGGCAAAAAACUGAGUCAACUAACAUUGCCUAAGAUCAUUAGUUAGUUAGUAUGUUAUAAGAUGAAGAAUUGAUAUAACCUUUCAACUUUUGUAAAAUCAAAAAGACUUACAUGCUCAAAUAAUUAUGUCAUAUUUUUUCUCUCGAAUCAAUUCCAACCGAAAUAUACUGGUAAGAAAAUAUUGUUACAUAAGGUAGGGUUGUAAACAUUGUAAUAUAGGGUAGGGGGAUCCCCAAAUGAAAAAGUAGAUCUUUUUAAAAUAUUCAUCUCUCAGUUAAUAAUGUUUUCUGAAGCAAAGAAUUCAAUUGGAUAAAAAUUAUAACAUUUCACCAUUCAAAGGCUGGAAAGAGAAGUAAUAGAGGAUGACACUAUAUUUCAUCAUCACAAUAGAGACUUCUUUCCAAUAUACUCAUUUUGUCUUUCAUGAUAAAGGCAAAUAAAAAGGAAUAAAAAAAGCAUAAGGAUAUUAAAAAAUUCAAUAAUUUGUUAGACCUCAUAUGACUGACUACCUAUGAAAUCUAAUUACUAAACUCCAUAACUAUCUGAAACUCAAAAUCAAAAUAACUGACAGAACAUGAAUACAUUAUUAACCCUUGAUAAUUUUAUUCACAUAACCUCCUACCUUUAUUCUCACGAGUUCCUUUUAGUAUCACAUAUUGCUAUCAAAAUAACACAAAACAAUUGAUGAAAACAAGCACGUGCAAAAAUCACUUGAGGAGCCAAAAGCUCAAUAAAUUCUAUAAUUGUGUUUUUUUUUAUUGGGGUCAGCGGUUAUGGAAGACAAAAUCUUUAGAACAUUUCCUCGUUGAGAUCUCUAAAACAUACCAUCUUAUAAAUAAUGGCAUUUGCACAAAUUCAAGAAAUUUUGCAUCAUAUAUUCAAAUUAAAACAUGCAUAAACAAAAUCAGUUAAUAAAAAAGCUAAAUGCACAUGUAAUUCUAGAACAACCAUUAGAAAAUUUUAUACCUUUUAUAGUCACCAAACAAAUUAUGUUUGGAAUUUGGGAAAAUUUCCAAACCCAAAUUCCUAAACAAUAAAAGUACCUAUUAGUCACAAAUAUAUACAUAAAGCUAGAGCAAAACUCAAACGAAAAAUUAAUAUUUACUUAAAAGAGUAACAAAAAAAGAGGUAAAGAAAGAGCGAGAGCGAGAGGAUGCUGGUAAGCAUUGUGGAAAUACAAAUACGAAGGAAGAAAAGAAGUGCAUGAUUGUUAUGGUCCAUUUUGGUAUGGAAAAUACGGAUACGAAGGAAGAAGAGAAGUAAUAUUCGUAUUUGCAUUGGGAAGUCCUCACAGGAAGUUAAAGAGCUUCCUUAUUAAUAAACAAGCUGAAUCUUUAAAACCAAACACAUUAUUUUCAACACAUAGUUACAGACCCAAAAAAAAUGAAUCAGUAAAAUAUGAAAAGUCAUAUGCAUCAAGUAAUUAGAAAAAAACAUACAAACCCAUUAAAAAUGAACCAGUAAAAUAUGAAAAGGCAUAUGCAUAAAGUAAUUAGAAAAAACAUACGUAUACGUUAAGCAAAAAGGCAUAAUAGGAAGUAGAAGAACAAUAUAGAACUGGAGUCUAAGGAAGCUAGAGGUGUAAAACACAGAGAGUUCACCAUUAAGACAACGAAUUUAGUUAUUUACGAAAAGAUUGCGAAAAUUGAAUCUUUAAGACAAAAAAAAUUUUUAAAACAUGAGGAAAUGAAAUAAAAAUACCUGAAGAUUAGUAAAUGGAUCAAUACAUAUUAUUGUUAACAUGAGAAGUGGUAACAUUCACCAAUAAUGCAAUAAGAUAAUGUUUAUGCUACAAUUCUAAAUGUUCAGGUAAUUUAAAAGAACGGAAAAACGCCUAAAAUAUCCUUGAAGUAUUGACAAUGGUACAAAAUUACCCUCCAUCCACCUAUUGUAUUCAAAAUGCCCUUCUCAUCCACCUAUUGGCUCCAAAAUACCCUUGUCAUCCACCUUUUGGUUCAAAAUUGACCACUUGUUUAAUUGUUUUAAAAUUAAACUCUUUAAAUAUUUUUUUAAAAUACUUGGCGUUCAACUAUUGAUUAUAAUUUAAUUUAUUAAUAUAAUUUAUAAACCAACCCACUACUCCCUCAUUACUAACUAAAACCCCACCCAAUUAAUAAUCCAAUUCUAAUAUCAGAAUAGCCAUAAACACUAUUAUAACACGAUGAAAUUAUAGAUUCCUGAAAAUGACAUCCAAAAUUAUCCGAGUCCAAAUCGAAGCCCCACUUAAAUUUAGGUUGAACCGCUUAUUUAGGAGGAGACUUUCAAUAGGAUUCUCUUUCAAGAUUGAAUUAGAAAUUUAUGAUUAAAGGUAAAAAAGUAAUACAUCUCGAAUUAAUUCAUGCACUUUUUAAAAAUAUAAUUUGAUAAAUAUUUAUGAUUUGUUUUAAAACAUUUAACAUAUUAUUUUGAAAAAAGUUACCUAUGAAGUAACAUCACAUAAUUGAGACGUAAAUAUAAUUAAGAUGAACAUAGUCAGACUUUUAAAUUUAUCGUUAUUUUUUAUAUCGACACUUGAAUGUAUGAUAAUUUACUUCUAUAGAUAUUUUCGCCUCAAAUUUUUAGAAACACUCAAUUGGCAGUAGCUUUUCUGUUGUUGCAUUAAUAAUGUGACAAUUUAUUAAUUCAGAGUGAUUUAAUUAGUAAUGGAUGGGUAAUGAAUUGAUUUAUAAAUUAUACUAAUAAGUUAAAUCAUAAUAGAUAGUUGAGCACCACGUAUUUAAUUUUUUUAAAAAUAGUUUAAAUAUAAAAUUGUUAAAUAAGUGGUCAAUUUUGAACUAAAAGGUGGAUGACAAGGGUAUUUUUGACCCAAUAGGUGGGUGGGAAGGGUAUUUUGGAACCAAUAGGUGGAUGGAGGAUAAUUUUGUACCAUUUUCAAUACUUUGAGGGUAUUUUAGGCCCUUUACCGUCAAAAGAAUUGCACAAAAUCCAAAUUUUAGUUGACAUUUUAAACUAUGUACGCUUUUUUCUAGCAAAGACAAUUUCUUCAAACACCUGUUGAACGUCAAGAAUCUAUUGAAACAAAAAAUACAUCUGCAUGCACCAUUAAAUCAUGCGAAAAAUCAAAAAUAAAAUUAUAAGAAAAAUCAUACCAAUUAAGUGUCGAGCAACUGGAUAUGUUGGAACAAGUGAUUUUGCCCUUAAGACUUUUAUUGUUUCUUUGCUUUCUGGUUUGGAAGAAAAUAUUGUAAGGAAGGUUCAGAACUUUCAAAAUACCAAUAAGGAAGAUAAUAGCAUAAGUAAAUAUAAAUAGAACAUUCAAAAUUAACAUGGAGAAUUCGGCAAUCACCAGAGACGAAGAAGUCCAACUAUUAUUUAUUUUGGCAGGUCUCACCCACAACUAUGAAAGCCAUUAAAGUCAAAAUAACUAUAAAGCAAAGAUUUUCAUCGACUAAAAACUCAAAAGACAAUAUUGCUGUAACGACCUAUUAGUCGUUUUGAGCAGUAGAGUUAUUUUCUGGUAAUAACUGUCUGAGUCGACGGAUCCCACGACGGACCGUCAUGGGCACGACGGACGGUCGAGGGUGUCUCGUUCUAAAACACUUAGAAUUAUGAAAAAUUGGGUACUGAGAACAACUCUCUGGACUUCGCGACAAAAGAGCAGGACGGACCGUCAAAGGGUCUUAAAUAAAAAUUGAGUCUCUGAACUCUGUGACGACUCAGCAGGACGGACCGUCGCAGGCACGACGGCCCGUCACAGACUGCGUAACCCUGACUGGGUCAGAUUUCUGUUAAAAGUUUUAAGGGGCGUUUUGGACUAUUCCUGCUUAUAAUUAUAAAAUUAGGGGUUUAAUGUUAAUAAUUCAAUUACUUGGGGGUCAAAGGAGAUAACCUUGAAUUAAUUAGUGGGUUACUUUGGUCAUCUUUUAUACUUAAUUAUAUGGUAAUUAGGGUAAAAGAAAAAGAGUUUGAAUAAGGAAAAAUCAGAAGAAAAAAAGAGAAAGAGAGGGAUGAACGAACGAGAGAGGGAGAAACGAAGAGGAAAGCAAAGCAUUGAAAAAGUAGAUUUCUUGACUUCAAUUCUUCGGUGGAGGUAGGUUAUUGAUAAUAACGCCAAGUACACCCAUGAGGACUCAAGCCUCCAUACCAUACUCAUUUGGGAAAUAGGUUCAUUAAUUUGAGUAUAUUAACAUAAUUCAAGAUUCAUUCUCUUUACUAUCCUGGUGUCGGAACGUGACACUCCGAUCCUCCUCAUACUAUCCUGGUGCCGGAACGUGACACCCGAUCCACUACUACUAUCCUGGUGUCGGAACGUGACACCCGAUCCAUUAAUACUAUCCUGGUGCCAGAACGUGACAUCCGAUCCAUUAAUAUUAUCCUGGUGCCGGAACGUGACACCCGCUCCAUUAAUACUAUCCUGGUGCCGGAAAGUGACACGCGAUCCAUUAAUACUAUCCUGGUGCCGGAACGUGACACCCGAUCCAUUAUUACUAUCCUGGUGUUGGAACGUGACACCCGAUCCACUAACCUCAUUCUAUUAGUUCAUCAAGCCUUCUUUUAUACCAAGGCAUCAUUAUUAACAAAGAGAUUUUAAGAUUUAAGAUUCAACAGCCUCAUCAUGCUUAUUUUAUCAAAAUUAUAUAAUCACAUCAUGCAAGCACACAAUUAAGCAUAUAGAAGACUUUACAAAAUUACCCAACACAUAUCAUUCGCUAUUAAGAGUUUACUAUGAAAUAGCAUAAAACCAUAACCUACCUCCACCGAAGAAUUGAAGUCAAGAAAUCUACUUUUCCAAUGCUUUGCUUUCUUCUUCAUUUCUCCCUCUCUCGUUCGUUCGUCCCUCUCUUUCUCUUUAUUCUGAUUUUUCCUUAUUCAAACUCUUUUUCUUUUACCCUAAUUACCAUAUAAUUAAGUAUAAAAGAUGACCAAAGUAACCCACUAAUUAAUUCAAGGUUAUCUCCUUUAACCCCCAAGAAAUUGAAUUAUUAACAUUCAACCACUAACUUUAUAAUUAUAAGCAGGAAUAGUCCAAAACGCCCCUUAAAACUUUUAACAGAAAUUCGACCCAGUCAUGGUUACGCAGUCUGUGACGGGCCGUCGUGCCUGCGACGGUCCGUCCUGCUGCUUCCGUCACAAAGUUCAGAGACUAACUUUUCACUAAAGGGCCUGUGACGGUCCGUCGUGCCCACGACGGUCCGUCCUGCCAUGUCGUCGCGAAGUUCAGAGAGUUGUUCUUAGUACCCAAUUUUUCAGAAUUCUAAGUGUUUUGGAAUGACACACCCUCGACGGUCUGUCCUGCCCAUGACGGUCCGUCGUGGGAUCCGUCGACUCAGACUGUAAUUACUAGAAAUAAACUCUACUGCUCAAAACGACUAACAGGUCGUUACAAGUCAUCGCAGUCUUAUUCGAGUUAGUGUGUCGGGAUCGGAUUUUAUAUCAAUUAUUGAGGUUCAUUAUCAUUUCAGAAACUGUUUUUCUAAAGAAUAUUUUUUUGUCUAAAGCUAAAAAUAAAAGAUAUUUUAAAAAAAAUAUUUUUCAUUGAUCAAUUAAAUAUUAAAAAAUAUUUUUUAACAUUUAUUAAACAUGAGAAAAUAAAUUUAAAAUUCACUUAUUUUUUUAAAAAAAACAUUUUAUAAAAAAAAUUGGCCUCCGCACCAAACGCACCCUAAAUCCCUAUUUUCCCUAUUAUUAUUAAAGAUAAGAUUGGUCGUGGUUGAUUAUCGCCGGCCAUAUAUUAUUUUCCCAAUUGGUUCCAAAAUCAGCAAGUAGCAAUUUAUUAGAAAGCCAUUAGGGCGGUUAAUCCGACGGAUAAUUUACUACACGUUUUUUGUGAUAGAUAAAUUGUAUUAUUUGUUGUAACGAUUUUUUAAGUCAUUUUGAAAAUUAGAAUUAUUUUGGUUGUUCCCGUAAAAUUUAAAUUAAAAUAUUUGAACUUUCGAUAACUAUGGGUUUUUAAUUGAUGAAUUUUCUUUAAAGAAUCAAUAAAGUUGAAUAGUUAAAGGGUCAGAUCCAUAAUUUUAUGACUAACUUUACAUAUAACAAACAUAAAAAUCAUAUUUAUAUAUUAUAUCUACCGUUUGCAUAAUUGUCGCUCCAUAGCAAAUGUAGAUAUGUAUAUUUCGUUAUACAUAUAUAAAGAAAGCAGUUGUAUAAUUUGUUAUGCAUUAAUAAAGAAAGUAGUUAUAUUUAUAAAAGAAAGCAAUUGUAUAAUUUAUCUCGGUAUACAUAUACAAAAGAUCAAUUGUAUAAUCUGUGUUUCUAUAAAGCGAGAAAGGGAGAAAGACAAAAGAAAAAUUGGGCAAGAGAAGAUUGUGUUUGUAAAAUCAUAAGUGUAUAAGAUGAAAUAUGCAUUUGUAUUUCUAUAUACAAUUUUCUCUCACUUUAUACAAACGCAAACACAAUGUAUACAUUUGUGUUUGUAUAAAGUGAGAGGGCGAGUGAGAGUGGCUAGCGUGAUCUGGGAGAGUGGCGAGUGAGAUCUGGGAGAGGAAACGAAAAUAUAUAUAUAUAUAUACAAUUUUUUCUCCCUUUAUAUAAAUACAUUUUAUACGUUUGUAUUGUAUAAAAGCGAGAGAGACGGGCGAGACUGCCACCAAAAGAAGAGUGGUGAACAAGAUUCCACCAAAAAGAGAGGCGGAAAUAGCAAUAUUUUGUUAUGGGUGCAAUUAAAUCAAACUAUGUUUACAAUAUUCGAUUUCAUUAAUAAUUUACUAUUAUAUACAAUUUUCCCUAAUUUUUUAGGGCAACUUUCACAUAUAACAAAAAAAUCAUAUUUGUAUACUAUAGCAAAGUUUGCAUAAUUGUGUUCUAUAGCAAACAUAUAACUGCAUAAUUCGCUAUACAUAUACAAUUGUAUAAUUCGCUGGCCUAUUUCGCUGUAAUUGUAUAAUUCGCUGUUCUAUUUCACUGCAAUUGUAUAAUUCGUUGGCCUAUUUCGCUGCAAUCUUUGUAUAAGAUUUGCUUUGUAUACAAUUGAAUUGAAGUAAAAUGUUUGUAUAUUUUAUAAUUAUAAGUAUAUAUGAUGAAGAUAUAUAUUUUUCGCUCGCUUAAUACAAAAACAGAAACACAAUUUAUACACUUCUGUUGUAUAAAGCGAGAGAAAAUUGUAUUUCACUGCAAUUGUAUAGCUCGGUGGCCUUUUUCGCUGCAAUAUCUGUAUAAAAUUUGCAUUUGUAUACAAUUGAAUCAAACUAAAUUUUUUUAAAUUAUAUAAUUAAGUGUAUAGCACGAAGAUAUAUGUUUUUGCAUGUGUGUAUACAAUUUUCUCUUGUUUAUACAAAAUAGAAACUCAAUUUUAAUGAGGCAACAUUCAAAGCGUAUUAUGAGAUGUGUGUACUCUUUUUCCUUCACUGGGCUUUUUCCCAUUGGGUUUUUCCUAGUAAGGUUUUAACGAGGCACAUAAUUUAUGGACAUCCAAGGGGGAGUGUUAUAAAUCCAUUGAAUAGUAUAUUGUGCAUUUGCUUUCUUCAUGAACUUAUCUUAUCAUGUAUCUACGUUUUCAAGGCGACAUGAACCUUUGUAGAUAACUAUGUACCUUAAUUGAGCAUUUAUCAUGGUGACCUUUGGGAGUGAUAUCUUAACACUAUAAAUAGGGAUAUCACUCACCAUUUGAAAUACACACUUGAAUAAAAAAAAUCCUCUCCUUUAUCUUAUACUUUUUGUGUUCUUCUUCUUAUAUUAUGAGCUUUUUUAUAGUACUCUUUCAAUUUUAAUCCUUUUUCUUUUAAUGUAAACGUCUUUCGGGAAAUAAUUUUAUUUUAUGUAGUAAAUAAAGAUAUAAUUUAAAUUUUAUAUACUGACAACGUAAAUUUAUACAGGCAUGGACAAAUGGUCGAUUGCAUUCUCCUGUUCAUAGAGUUGAAAUGGCCAGAGAAAGUGAUAGAUGUUCCAUUCAAUUAUUUUCAUUAUCAAAACCAGGUCACUUCAUCGAGGCACCAAAAGAACUGGUGGAUGAACAUCACCCUUUGCUUUUCAAGCCAUUUGAAAUUUUUUGGAUUACUUGGGUAUGGUGACACAGAAGCUGGAUAUACAACUCCUCCCAGUGAUCUUUUCAAGGCAUAUUACGGUAUCUGAUAUGCUAAUUGUGAAUUUUCGACUAAUAUUCAUUCCUAUCAGAAAACCAUUAAUAUAUUUAUGGGAAACCUCUUCAACGUAUGAUUCAUAUGUUUGAACUUUUGCAGUUGGGAAUUCAUAUUUAAUAUGUACGUGUAUUUUUGGACAAAUAAUAAAUUUUAAAUGGAUGAUUUUACUCUUUUAUGAGAAAAUGGUUCAACAUAAUCCUUUAGUAUCUAUAUGAUGUAACGUUCGUAAUCCAUUUCGUUCCUCAAUGCAUAAUGUCAACAAGUCAUAUAAAGAGUUAACAAGUUGUAUCGUUGAGUUAUUUAAGCCACAAGUAUAGUUAGUGUAACAUUCUCAAAAUUUUAAGUUAAGACUCAAACAAUUCAUCAUGUGUGAAUAAAAUUAUAUUGAGUGAUUUUAAAUUUUCUUAGGUGUUAAGGUCAAUUUUUAAGCGUGGAAAUAAUUUUGGAUAGAAAUUAAGGUUUUAAUUAAAAUGUUGUGAUAUUUAUAUUUGAAAAAACUCAAAGUUAAGGGACCUCUUACCCUCACCCCCACCUCCCAAAAAAAUCUUUUAAAGAGAUUGGCGAUUUGUUCAUAUAUUCUUGGCUUUGUAUAAGUUAUUUCACUUAAAUUUACUAUGUUAAUUAUUAUUUUUUAAUACAUAUGUUAAAUAAAAUAUGAGCAAGUAAAUAGAGAUAGAAAAAGUAAAAAAAAACAAAUUCAUACUAUACGUUUUUUUGUGAAAGAUGAAAUGUACAAUUUAUUCAAACUUUUAUGCGUCUCGAUAUUUUAUAUGAUAUCAUUUAAUUUAAAUUGUAAUUUUAAAACAUAAAUUAAAAUUUGUUGUCUAAAUUAUUGUUAUAUGGUUAUAAAUUAUUUUCUUAUACAUGCGGCGCGCCACUAGGCCAUACACGUUUCCCUCGGGUUUUGAAAGAUGACAAAGUAUUAUUUCUUUAUAUUAUUCCAUUUCAUUUUAUAGCACAUCAGUUGAUUUGAUAUUGUAUUGCAAAAAAAUUAAAUUUAAAUAUACUGUCUAAAUUUUUUUCAAUAUUUAUAUCGAUAUAAAUAAUUUAAUUAAAAGAAAAAAUGUAUAAAUUAAUAUAUUUUUUUUAAAAAAAUUACUCCUAAACUACAUAAACAAAUAAAAAUAUCUUCCGUUCUUAUCCUUAAUAGUUUACUAAAAAAUGCUAAUUAUAUAUACACCAAAACAUUUCCUCCUCUAAAAAUUAUAAACUUUUUGAGUCUUUCUUUCUUCAAUUUCUCUUUUCUCCUUGUUCAUAAUCAAUUAAUGGCAUCUACCAAAUUAGUUAAAGUUCCCACAAUAGAUUUUUCAAAUCAUCAAGAUCUAAAACCAAACACUCCACUAUGGGAAUCCAAAAAAAUUCAAGUUUUUGAAGCUUUGCAAGAAUAUGGUUGUUUUGAAGCAAUUUAUGAUAAAGUUCCAAAAGAUAUUAGAGAGGAAACAUUUAGUAUUUCAAAAGAAAUAUUUGAAUUUCCUUUAGAGACUAAAUUGAAAAAUAUUUCAGAAAAACCAACGCAUGGAUAUAUGGGAAUGAUUCCACAAUUGCCAUUGUAUGAGAGUUUGUGUAUUCCUGAUUUGCUUAAUCCUAAAAGUCUUCAAAGUUUUGCUAAUAUCUUUUGGCCUCAGGGUAACCAACAUUUCUGGUAUGUUUACUUAUGUUUUUAUUUCGCCCUAGCAGAAGUGUUCAAAAGUACGACAUUAGAAAUUCUUAGUGACUUAAUUGAUUGACUAUACGAUCUUUCAAAAAGAUAUUCUUAGUAGCUUAUAGAAAUAGAGAUGAAAGUUUAUUACUUAGAUCUAUUCUUAAUCACUUUUUAAACAAAAUAAAAAUACUGCCAAUAACAUUAAAAUAUUUGAAUGAGGAUUUGGUAUGAACUCACGAUCUAUUCGAUAGAAAAAAAACUACAAAUAAUGUUUGAUGACGUGACAGAAUUAUAAUUGAUCACGUAUCAAAAUGGUUUUACAAAAUCAAUGUUAAAAAAUAAUGGCAUAAAUAAGCCUUUUUUUGAACAACAAUGACAUUAAUGAGCCAAAAUUUUUAACGAAUAACAUAAAUAAGUCUUUUCUGAAAUUUCAAUGAUCGAGUUUUUUCCCAUUAAAAUAUUGUUGGGAAUAAAUCCGUAACAGAAAUAAUAUUUGCGGUAAUAAAGGCAACAAAUGCGGAACACAACAAUACGGUUAAUCAACGAGAAUAAAAGAGAAAUAAUGACACCAAGAUUUUACGUGAAAACCCUCCUAAAUAAGGGAAAAACUACGACCCGAGAGGAGCAACAAAUAUCACUAUAGUAAGGAUUUUACACUUGUAUGUCUGAGUAUAACUCUAAAGACCACUACACAUUCAAAAGAAAUAACACUCUUUUGAUUUUUUCACCUCACUACAAUACCGCUCACACUCUCUAUUUUUCCUCACAGAUUAUUUUCUUCUGUGAUGCCUCACUCUUCUUUUCUCUCCUUUGUAAUUCUUUUUUGAUGCAUUUUGAAAUGAGCAAAAGCUCUCUAUUUAUAGGAAAAUCUACUCCUAAUGAUGUCACCAAUGACAUCACAAGAAACACAAGAUUUCAACAUUUUCACCUAUGUAGAAAUCUUGCUAAGAUUUUAGUUGAAAAAAGAAAUGGUGAGCUUUGAAUUUUGUUGCAGCAUUUGUAGACUUUAACAAUAAGCAACAAACAAAAUUCAACCAUUUCUACAUUUUAACUUUCCUUAUGUUUAUCUUCAAUGAGUAUGGACUCCACAAAUCUCCUCCUCCAGACCCAUUCACCCUGAAGGAGGUAGCUCUAGGUUUCUAGCUUGAGUACAUGCCGACAAGUUCUUUGCAUAGCUCAAACUUGUCCCUUGAUACCACCUUGGUCAGCAUAUCUGAAGGGUUUGCACUAGUAGGGAUCUUCAUGACCUGCAUAGAUCCAUCCUCUAUCUUUUCACGAAUCCAGUGAUAUCUCACGUCAAUAUUCUUCGUCCUUGCAUGGUACGUGGUGUUCUUGCUCAAGUCUAUUGCACUCUGACUGUCACAAUAGACGACAUACUCCUUCUGAUGCAAUCCAAGUUCUUGAAGAAAUCGUUUAAGUCAUACCAUCUCUUUGCCAGCUUCAGUAGCUGCAAUAUAUUCUGCCUCAGUUGUAGAGAGUGCGACACACUUCUGCAACUUUGAUUGCCAUGAUAUAUCUCCCCCUGAAAAUGUAAACAAAUAUCCAGUAGUGGAUUUUCUAUUAUCGAGGUCACCUGCCAUAAAAGCAUCAAUAUAGCCCUUCAAGAUUGGAUCAGAUCCUUUAAAACACAAGCAAUCUCUUGUAGUACCUCUUAGAUACCUGAGUAUCCACUUAACUGCCUCCCAGUGUUUUUUUCCAGGAUUUUCAAGGAAUUUGCUAACAACACCAACUGCAUGAGCAAUAUCAGGUCUUGUACACACCAUCACAUACAUCAAACUCCCCACUGCUGAAGAAUAAGGAACUUUAGUCAUUCCCUCUUUCUCUUCUUUUGUUGUAAGACACAUCUGUUUGCUCAACUUCAGAUGACUCGCAAGAGGCGUGCUAACAGGUUUAGCACUCUUCAUGUUGAAGCGUUCUAGUACACGUUCAAUGUACUUCUCUUUAGAUAGCCACAACUUUCUUUUUGUUUGUUCUCGAACAAUCUUCAUCCCUAGAAUUUGUUGUGCUGGGCCCAAGUCUUUCAUGUCAAAUGACUUGGACAAAUCUUUCUUCAACUUUGCAAUCAACUCUUUGUUUUGUCCUACAAUUAACAUGUCAUCCACAUAUAACAACAAAAUAAUAAAAUUGUUGUUAGAAAAUCUUUUGAUGUAUACACAUGGAUCAGAAUAGGUCUUUGUGUACGUUUGAAUUUUCAUGAAAGAGUCAAACUUUUUGUACCAUUGCCUUGGGGCCUGUUUCAACCCAUAAAGACUCUUAUUCAAUUUGCACACCGUGUGUUUCUUUCCAGAUACUUCAAAUCCCUCUGGUUGCUCCAUAUAAAUCACUUCUUCCAAAUCUCCGUGAAGAAAUGUUGUUUUCACGUCCAAUUUCUCUACUUCAAGAUCUAGACUAGCUGCUAUGCUCAAAAUAGUUCGAAUAGAAGUCAUUUUGACAACAGGUGAAAAAAUUUCAUCAAAAUCAAUACCUUUCUUUUGUUCGAAGCCUUUUACAACCAAUCGAGCUUUGUACCUCACCAACUUGCCAUUUCCAUUUUUCUUGAGUUUAAAGACCCACUUGCACUUAAGUGGUCUUUUUCCUUUUGGAAGUUCAACUAACUAGUAUGUGCCAUUUUUCUGUAGAGAUCCCAUCUCUUCGUGCAUGGCUUUCAUCCAUUGGCUCUUUUCCGGAUGAGACAACACUUCCUUAAGACUUUCUAGCUCACCUUCAUCAUUGAUAAGGACAUACUCUGAGGAAGGGUAUUUGGUUGAUUCUACCCUUUGUCUUUCUGAUCUUCUCAGAGGUUGAGAUUGUUCUUCUUCUGAGUACUCCAUUUGCUCGGUAUUAUCACCAAGUUGCUCCCCCUGCUCAACAAUCUCAUCAAGUUGCUCUUCAUGCUCAGCAACUUCAUCAAUCAUACUUUCUGCACUUAUGGGAUGAUUAGAAGAAGAAGGAAUGGUAACAAGGUUAGGGACUAUACCAUUCUUUUUCUUGGCCUUCUCGGAUAGAUCAUCAGCAGUUCCAACUUCACUUUCUCGAAAGAUUACAUCUCUACUUCUGAUGACCUUCUUCUUUACAAGAUCCCAUAGUCUGUACCUGAACUCUUCAUCUCCAUAUCCGAUGAAUAUGCAAGGAACUGAUUUAUCAUCUAGCUUGGUUCUUUGCUCCUUCGGUACAUGUUCAAAAGCUUUGCAACCGAACACCUUUAGGUGCGAGUAAGACAUCUCUUUGUUGGUCCAAACUCUCUCCGGAAUGUCAAACUCCAACGGAACUGAUGGACUACGAUUGAUAAGAUAACAUGUUGUCCGAACUGCUUCACCCCAGAAUGUCUUGGGUAAUUUAGCCAUUCUGAGCAUGCUUCUCACCUUCUCAACAAUGGUGCGAUUCAUUCUCUCAGCUACACCAUUGUGUAGUGGGGUUCCAGGAACUGUCUUUUCAUGUCUGAUUCCAUGGUUUGAACAGUACUCUUCAAAUUCUCUUGAAGUGUACUCACCUUCAUUGUCGGUUCGGAGACGUUUUAGCUUUCGACCUGUAUCUCUUUCUAUCAGAGCAUGAAACUUUUGAAAUACUUGAAACACCUGAUCUUUGGUUCUCAAGAUAUAAACCCACAAUUUUCGAGAAGCGUCAUCAAUAAAGGUAACAAAGUAUUUAUUACCUCCUACCGAUUCUAUAUCCAUUGGACCACAAACAUCAGAAUAUACCAAAUCAAGUAUAUUCGACUUUCUUUCAGAUGAUGUCUUAAAUGAGACUUUAUGUUGUUUACCAAAUAAGCAGUAGUUACACGAUUUUAUCGUUGUACCUUUGGCAAAAGAGAUGAGUGACUUUUUGGAAAGAAUUUGCAAUCCUUUCUCGCUCAUAUGACCCAUUCUUUUAUUAUGCCAUAAAUCUGCAGAAUUUUCUUCUUGAGCCGCAUUUAAUUCACCUUGGCAUAUUUCUGCAUUUGUUCUGUAUAACGUGUCACGAGCAACUCCUUUUGCAAUCACCAAUGCCCCUUUGGUGAGUCUCCAUUUUUUAUUUGCAAAGUAGUUCUCAUAUCCAUCUUGGUCCAAAGCAAUUUCCGAGAAUAAGUUCAUCCGCAAAUCAAGAACGUGGCGCACAUUUUUCAACACUAAUGUGCAUCCAACAUUUAUUUUUAAGCAAAUGUCUCCGAUUCCCGCAAUCUUUGAGUAACUUGUGUUACCCAUUUUCACAUUGCCAUAAUCACCGGCUACAUAUCUGCAAAAAAGAUCUCUUACCGGUGUGGCAUGAUAAGAUGUUGUUGUGUCGACCACCCAUUCCGACUCUAUACCUGCCAAGUGCAUGCAUUCUUCUUCCUCAUUUAUAAGGAGAACAAAAUUGUCAUUAUUUUGCACCAUGGCAGCUGUGUUGUCAUCAUUCUCCUGGCUGCUGCUUUCCCUUUUUCCCAUUUUUAGAUUUGGACAAUCUCUUUUGAAGUGUCCUGGUUGAUCGCAAUUGUAGCAAUUUCUGGCCUUUGAUUUUGAUCGGACCUUGGACUUUCUACGAGCUCCGGAUCUACCAUAGUUACUUGAGCUCCUUUGGUAACUUUUGCCUCUACUUUCCGUGAUGAGAGCCUGUCCGUGAUUUUCAGGCGUUUUUCUCAUCUUCUCAUUAAGAAAAAGGGCUGAUGUGACAUCCUUCAACUCAAUAGAGUCCUUACCAUGUAAAAUGGUUGUUGCUAAAGUAUCGUAGGAAGAUGGCAGCGAGUUUAGGAGCACUAUGACUUUAUCUUCAUCCUCGAUCUUUACUCCGAGGUUUGCUAGCUGCGUGAUUAGUCCAUUAAGUACAUUUAAAUGAGACAAAAAAUUAGUACUUUCACCCAUAUGCAGUGCAUAUAAUUGCUUCUUUAGGUACAAUUGAUUUGUCAGUGUUUUGGACAUGUAUAGAUUUUCUAACUUUGUCCAAAUGCCACAUGUACUCUCUUCAUCGAUGAUGUUAUUAACUACAUCAUCUGUUAAGUGCAAUCUGAUUGCACUAGCAGCCUUUUCAUCCAUUUCUUCCCAAUCCUCAAGUUUCAUGGAUUCGGGCUUUUUGAAUUUGCCGCCUAGUGCCUUGUGCAAACCCUGUUGGAUGAGCAAGUCUUUCAUCCUUCUCUGCCACGUUGAGAAACCGCUAUCACCGUUGAAUUUUUCUACCUCAUACUUUACUCCAGACAUUUUUUUUAUAUUGAGUAUAGUACAAUAAGCUGCAAAAAAUAUUUCUGUAAAUGAGCAGAACCUGUGCUCUGAUACCAAUUGUUGGGAAUAAAUCCGUAACAUAAAUAAUAUUUGCGGUAAUAAAGGCAACAAAUGCGAAACACAACAAUACGGUUAAUCAACGAGAAUAAAAGAGAAAUAAUGACCAAGAUUUUACGUGGAAACCCUCCUAAAUAAGAGAAAAACCACGACCCGAGAGGAGCAACAAAUAUCACUAUAGUAAGGAUUUUACACUUGUAUGUCUGAGUAAAACUCCAAAGACACAUUCAAAAGAAAUAACACUCUUUUGAUUUUUUCACCUCACUACAAUACCGCUCACACUCUCUAUUUUUUUCCUCACAGAUUAUUUUCUUCUGUGAUGCCUCACUCUUCUUUUCUCCUUUGUAAUUCUUUUUUGGUGCAUUUGAAAUGAGCAAGAGCUCUCUAUUUAUAGGAAAAUCUACUCCUAAUGAUGUCACCAUGACAUCACAAGAAACACAAGAUUUCAACAUUUUCACCUAUGUAGAAAUCUUGCUAAGAUUUUAGUUGAAAAAAGAAAUGGUGAGCUUUGAAUUUUGUUGCAGCAUUUGUAGACUUUAACAAUAAGCAACAAAUAAAAUUCAACCAUUUCUACAUUUUAACUUUCCUUAUAUUUAUCUACAAUGGGUAUGGACUCCACAAAUAUUUGAUACAUGAAGUCACUGUUUAACAAGUGACAGUCUGAUUCCCCUUCCUUUUUUGAAAAAUAAAAAAGAAUUACAAGACUUACCUAAUGUGUCCAAGUGGAAAAAUUGUAUCAACUCCAAAUAUUUCUAAAUAUGUUUAACCUUCUUCAUAUGUUUAUACUAACAUUAUAUAUGCGUUAAUUUUUGCAGCAAUUUGGUAAAAUCUUAUUCUAAUCCUCUUUUGGAAUUGGAUGAGAUGUUGAAAAGGAUGAUUUCGGAGAAUUUGGGAUUAAAAAAUCACAUUGAUGAAUUAUUGAAUGCCAAUUACAUCCUAUUUAGAUUUACACAGUAUAAGGGAUCAUCAAUUGCUAGUGGAGAUGAAAAUAAUAAAGCAGCUGGAUUGGGUGGCCACACAGAUGGUAACUUCUUGUCUAUUAUAUCACAAAAUGAAGUUAAUGGAUUGCAAAUCAACAAAAAUGGAGAGUGGAUUGAUGUCAACAUUUCGCCAAAUUCUUAUGUUGUUUUAUCCGGUGAUUCCUUCACAGUAAGUGUUAAGUUUUGAGCUAGUGUUAUUAUCUUGUUGGGAACUGUGUUGUUUGAUUUUCUAAAGGGAUAAUGCUAAAUGACAAGAAACUCAAAAAAUCAAUAAGAUAUUUGUUGAAUCUUACGUCUCUAAAUAUAUUAUCAUGCUAGUGUUAAUUAUUUCCCGAAAUGCAUAUUUUUGAAGAAUCUGACAUACUGAGUGAUAUUCUGGAAGAGUCCAACCAAGACACUUUGUUGAAACUACAUGCUCAAUAUUUUCAUGCAAAACUGAAAAUGAAUCUUGAUAUUUGUUGACCCUAUGUUGCUCUAUUCUCCAAAAAUACUACUGCGACUAUCUUUGUAUUUAUGCAGGCAUGGACAAAUGGCCGAUUGCAUUCUCCUGUUCAUAGAGUUGAAAUGCCCAGAGGAAGUGAUAGAUAUUCCAUUCAAUUAUUUUCAUUAUCAAAACCAGGUCACUUCAUCGAGGCACCAAAAGAAAUGGUGGAUGAAGAACACCCUUUGCUUUUCAAGCCAUUUGAAAUUCUUGGAUUACUUGGGUAUGGUGCCACAGAAGCUGGCUAUACAACUCCUCCCAGUGAUCUUUUCAAGGCAUAUUGCGGUGUCUGAUAUGCUAAUUGCGAAUUUCCAUUUCUAUUAGAAUAAAGUUAGUAUUUAUGAGAUUUUUGUUGGUAAUUCAUGUUUAAUUGGUUUGUGUUUUUUUGGAAAAUAUUUCUAAUGUGUUCCGUUGGAAAUUCGUGUGCAUCUUAUGUUUGGAUUGUUGGUAUUGGGAAUUCAUGUUUAAUUUGUUUGUGUUCUUGGGCAAAUAAUAAAUUUGAAGCGGAUGAUUUUAUCCUUUAAGAGGAAAUGAUUUAAUGUAAUCUUUAGUAUUAUUUGGUUUGAAAAAGGUAUAUCAUAUGAACAAUUUAUAUUAAAGUUGCGAUACAAUUUUGUAGGAUUAUGACAUCUAUCGGUACUCAUUACUUUUCAAUUAUAUUUGCGACGGUAAACAACAAAAUUCGCGUAGAGAAAAUAAUAAUAAAGAGUGGAAUAUUAUAGCAACAAUCGAUUUAUUAUUUCAAGUGCGAGUUUUACAAUCUAUGUGAUUCCUCUGAAAUCGUCUUUUCAAAUAUAAUUCAAGGGCUUUGAAGCUUGAUCUUGAACUUGAGAUUUAUCUUGAUCUCUAUUUUGAUCUUGAACUUGAACUUGGAGUUGAUCUUGACUUGAGCUUUAUGUUGAACUUUAUUUUGAUCUUGAACUUGAGUUUUAUCUUGAUCUUGACUUUUAUCUUGAUCUUGAACUUGAGUUUUAUCUUGAUUUUGACUUCUAGUUGAAUUCAAGGGCUUCGAGCUUGAUCUUGAAUCCGACGGUUUUUUAUCUUGAUCUUGAAUUUGAGUUUUAUCUUGAUCUUGACUUAUGUUAAAUUUUAUCUUGAUCUUGAACUUGAGUUUUAUCUUGGGGUGUGUUUGGUAUGAAGAUAAAUGUUUUCCAUGGAAAAUGUUUUCCUGAAAAACAAGUAGAUUUUGAAUUUAUUUCCUCAUGUUUGGUAUGUGAGUAGAAAAUUUUUUCGGAAAUGAUUUUUAGUGUUUGAUUUAUGAAUGAAAAAUAUUUUUAAGGAACAUUUUUUUUUACUAGAGUAGAAAAUAAUUUAUGAAAUUGAAAAUAUUUUUUAAAAACAAUUGUUUGUGGGGUGGGGUGGUGGGGGGUGGGGGGUAGUGGGGGGAGGCAGGGGAGGGGUAGGAGUAAAAAAAUAAAAAUUUGAAGUUGAUAGUAUUUUUAAAAAGCGAAAUUAAUUUUUUGAGGGAUUGGGGGUGGGGUGGGGUGGGGGGCUGGUAGGGGGGAGGUAGGAGUUUAAAAAUAAAAAUUUGAAGUUGAAAAAAUUAUUAAAAAGCAAAAUUAAUUUUUCGGGGAGGGGGGCUGGGGGGAGGGUGGUCAAGGAUCGGGUGAAAAAAUAAAAUUUUGAGGAAAAUGAGUUGACUUGGAAAACAUUUUUCAAAACUUUUGCCCAACCAAACAUGAGAAAAUUGAAAAACAUUUUCCAGAAAAUGUUUUCCUUCAUGCCAAACAAACUCUUGAUCUUGACUUUUAUAUUGAUCUUGAACUUGAGUCUUAUCUUGAUCUUGACUUCUAGUUGAAUUCAAGGGGUUCGAGCUUGAUCUUGAAUCCGGCGGUCGGUGUUGAUCUUGAUCGUUCUUGAACUCUUGAACUUGUACAGAAAUCUGCAACUUUUGAUCCACGAGCUUUCUCUAGCUUCUUGUUAAAAUUCUUGGCCCUCCUUUUUUGAAUUAUGAGACCUCUAUUUAUAGUUUUAGAAUAGAGGAGUUGCAAUUGAAAUAGGACUUUCUUCGCCCAAUCAAAUUUAAGUGACAUAGCAUAUGGACUUAUGGAGUGAGCUUUAAUCAAAUUCAUAUUUAAUAAAUUUAAAUAAUUAAUUCAAUUAUAUUGAUCCAUAAUAUUUAUUUGGACUAAUAUAUUUAUAAAUUUAAUAUAAUCUAGAUCAUUUAAUAAAUUUAUAUUUAAAUAAAUUUUAAAUGAUUACAGUGAUAUAUGUGAUAUUUCGAGAUAUAAUCAAUUUUUGAAUAUGAUUUUUUAAUAUUUUAAUAUGUGUUACUCACUCUAUCCAACUUAUUAUGUGGCAAAUGUGGAAAUUUAACUUAAACAAAAUUUUACUAUAUUUUUUGUAAAUAUUUUAAAUUAUUAAUUAUUGUGACUUAUAAUACUUUUAAUAAUUAAUAUAAUUUUUAAAUAUCAUAUGUUAUUUCUCCAAACCCAAUUUUUGUGGCACAUGUAAAUUUUGUGAGUCAAUCAAAAUUUUAAUAUGUUUUUAAAUAUUUUAAGUUGUGAUUUAUAGUACGCUUAGUGCAAUUUUUAAACAAUAUAUGUUACUCCCUUUAUCUCAAUUUAUGUUGUACAUGUGAAAUCUCGAUAGUUAAUCACAUCUUAAUAUAUUUUUUUAGAACAUUUUAAGUUAUUAAUUAUUAUGAUUUAUAACACUUUUAAUGUAGUCUUAGUCUCAGUUUAUGCAGUGCGGAUGAAAUUUCUAGAGUUAACCAAAUGUUUAAUAUUUUAAGUUCUUUUUAGUACUAUUUUUUGAUAUAAAAUAAAAAUAAAAAAAAUUAAAUCAAAAUGAGUAAACUAAAGGUAAAUAAAGGUUGAAGGAGAAGGAAAAACCAAUCAAUCAACCAACUGACCCUAAUGUCAUGUCCCGCCAAUGCUCAGUAAGAUUUUGCAUCUGAAUAGGGGCGGAAAAAUCUAGAGUUUUGGAGAAAUUUGUAGAAAACUCUAGAAGCUCCUAGAUCUUUCUAGAAGGCUUUGGAGAGUUCUAGAAAGAAGACUAAAUAUUUUCUAGGAAAACUUAGAAAAAUCCUAGAAAGUGUAGAAUUCUCUAGAAAGGUAUCAAAGUGUAAAUAACUUAGGGACUUAUAAGUAAUUAUAAAUUAUAUUUUAGCUCCUAGGAAGUAGUAUAAAUAGGAGGGCUCUCAUUUGUAAAUCAUCCAAGAAAGUUGUAAGAAAUCAUCCAAGUAGUAAAAAUCAUUCUUCCAAAAUUCUCUAAAUCUGUCUUUUCAAUCUCUUAGCGAUCUCAGUAUAAAUGAGCCUACAAGAUCGUGAAAGAUUCAUGAGUAAGUUGUCAAGUGUCGCAUGAAGCUUUAGCGAAAACUCUAAGUCUGUGACAAUGUGGUAUUAGAGCGAAGGUUUGCACUAAGGGAAUGGCUAACGAAUGAGACACAAAUGCCGGUAGCACCACCAACAUCAGGUUGGAUGGUGGGGAGGAGUGGAUUGCAAGGGUUGAAACGGCGAGGUAGGCCAUGGAGAUAUUAGGCCGGCGUUUGAACGUGGUUGAUGGCAAGUUCAAAACCCUUAAAGACUUUACCCUCGAGGAGAUAAAAAACAUCCGUAAGGAGUUGGAGGGACGUCAGCGGGCCGAGUUUGAGAUGAAGAAGGUUAUAACUUCACUGCGGCUCAUGGAGGCUUUGAGCAUGAUUGAGAUCAUGAAGGCCGAGAUAAAAGCACUCAAGGAAGGCGUGGAAGUUAGAGUAUCAUCGUCACUUGAUCGAGAUAGGGAGGCCAAAGUCGAGGCUCCCAAGCCAUCCUAUGUUCAAAGGCGCCCGUGACCCGCAAGAGGCGGAAAAUUUCCUGUGGAACUUGGAGAAUUACUUCAAGUGUAAUCAAGUGAAUAGUGACGAAAAAAAGAUCAACACCAUUGUGUUGUAUCAUUCAGAGAUGUCCAUGUUGUGGUGGAGGCGUAAAGAGUCCAAGAUAGGGUAGGGUGGUGUUGCACCAUCAACACUUGGUAGCAAUUCCAAGAGGAGUUCAAGAAGGCAUUUUUCCCUAACAACGUCAUUUAUAAGGCGAAAAACAAGUUUAGAGAGCUGAAGCAAACCGGUAGCAUACGCGCAUAUGUGCAGGAGUUCACCACCCUCACGCUUCAAAUUCCUAACCUCACGGAUGAUGAUAUGUUGUUCCACUUCAUGGAUGUGCUUUAAAAUUGGGCCAGGACAGAGUUGGAAUGCCGACAGAUCAGGAUCAUUGAUGAAACCAUCACGCAGGCCGACGCUUUGACAGAUUUCAGGCAUGAAAAGCCUAACAAAGUCGGAGGAGACAAAGUGAGAGUUAGUCAUGACCAUGGCGGGGGAGAUCAUGGAAAUGCGAGGAGCAACGGCCAUAUCUUAAGAAGCAUGAUACUUAUAAGUUCGAUGGCAAGAAGUCUAGAUGUCAUGGAAACACACAAAGAAAGAGGUUGCCAAAAAAGGCGGUUGCUCCAUAUGCGGUGGGUCACAUGGCUAUGCAAGGUACCCUGCACUAAAGAUCCUUGGUGCUAUCCUGCGAGAAGGAAUCACAUGAGAAAGAACAAGGCGCAAAGACGACGCAGUUGGGCUUGAUGGACUAUGCGGAGCUAUCACCAAGAAACCAUAGAAGCCGAGAGUAUGCGGCACGCAAUUUAUCGAUAUCACGACCAAGGGAAGACCCGCUCGUAGUAUGGUCGACACAGGUGUAGAGGUCAAUAUUAUGACCAAGACGGCAGCGACAAGGUUGGAGUUGCGUUACAGUCCAAGUAACGCCAAACUUAGGACGUUCAAUGCACCACCGACUCCCGUGAGUGGAGUCGCACAAGGAGUAAGCAUCACGCUAGGCAAGUGGCAAGGUAAGACCAACUUCACUGUCGCUCCUUUAGAUCUCUUUGACAUUAUUCUUGGGCAAAAGUUCUUCCAGCAGUACAACACGGUGAUCGAUCCUUACCUCCAACGACUUCUGGUCAUGGAGCAAGAAGGAGCAUGCAUGGUUCCCAUGGUUAAGGCACCGAAGAUAAAAGGGCAGGUCCGACUAACGACCAUGCAGCUCAAGAAAAAUCCUAAGAAGGAGAAGUCGACAUUUGUAGCCACCAUUACAAGUUUGAAAGAAGACAGUGGUGCUAAGAAGUCCUUGCCACCGUGCGUGAAGACGAUUCAAGAGGGAACAAUGUCGUGAUGUCAAAGAAGUUGCCGAGGCGCUUGCCUCAUAAGAAGGAGGUAGAUCAUAAGACCAAGUUAGAAUAAAUAAUGAAACAAUUGAAGGACUUGCGCGAGGGCAUUGAUCGAAUCAAUGGACUAUUGAUCCCGCGUACGAGAAGGCAAAACCUGGUCGUCGAUGUGGCGACGAUGCGAUGCGAUCGUCACAUCAAUUAGUGGGGGGAGAGUGUCACGUCCCGCCAAUUCUCAAUAAGAUUUUUGAUCCGGAUAGGGGCGGAAAAGUCUAGAGUUUUGGGAAAAUUUGUUGAGAACUCUAGAAACUCCUAGAUCUUUCUAGAAGGCUUUGGAGAGUUCUAGAAGGAAGACUAAAAUUUUCUAGGAAAACUUUGGAAAAUCCUAGAAAGUGUAGAAUUUUCUAGAAAGGGUACCGAAGUGUGAAUAACUUAGGGACUUGUAAGUAAUUAUAAAUUACACUUUACCCCUAGGAAGUAGUAUAAAUAGGAGGGCUCUCAUUUGUAAAUCAUCCAAAAAGUUGUAAGAAAUCUUCCAAGUUGUAAAAAGCCUUCUUACAAAAUUCUCUAAGUAUUUGUUUUCAUUCUCUUAGUGAUCUCAGUAUAAAAGGGCUUGUUUGAGCUUAUAAGAUCGUGAAAGAUUCGUAAAUAAGUUGUCAAGUGCCGCACGAAUCUUUAGCGAAAACUCUAAGUCUGUGACACUAAGCUCGUCAAUCUUCGAAGAGAAUUCUAAUGUAAAGUAAGUUAACUAAUUAUAUAACAAAAAGUAAAAGUAUUGAGAGGCAAAAAAAAAAAGGAAAAAUUCAACGAAUCUAUUGUAAUUACAGAAAUGCCCCAAGUACUACUCCAAGCUCCUCAAGUUAUUCUCUUUUUGUAAGUUCUAAUUUUAAAAUAAGUUAUAUAAAGUAAGAACAUGUGAAAUAAAAAGGAGAAAAAGUAACAAUAAGCUUUAAAAAAUAACAAUAUUCGUAUUAUUUGUUUAGUUUUGGACCCAAAAUUUCAUUCAACACGAUAAUUAAGUUCCUAAUCUUGAUGUCAAUUAAGGCGUGAACUCCUAUAUUUUCAAAUUUCAAGCGUAAGACUAUAUCUUAAUUCCUCUAUGAAAUUUCCCACAAAAUUUUAAUGUCUGCCAAACCAUUUUGGGACGUCCAGCAAUAUUUGUUUAUGAAAUUAAUCGAAAAUUUUACACUUAAUUCCUUAUUUAUCGUUAUUAUUAACAACAAUGAUUUCUCUGUUAUAUUUUUCAACACAUUAUACUUAUUAUAUUCAAAGGAUAAUAUAGUAAAAUUAUCUUUUUAUUUAUAAUUUAUUAAGAAGUGUGUCGAAUCAACAGUAGACAACUAUUGUUGAAUAUAUGGAAUAAUAAGGAAAACUUAGCAAUUAAGAGUAAAAUUGUUCAUAUAAAUCAUAAAAUGAACAAGUAUUACCGAAUAUUUUAAAAUAAUAAUAAUGGACUACUAAUAUUAAAUGAAAGGAAUAAAAAUUGUAAUAUUUGUUCAUAUGAAACUUUCAAAAAGUUUUUCCUCUUUCUAAAUUAAUUAAUUGAUAAUAUAGAGAAUAUAAUAAGUAAAAAAAAUUUUAAUUUAUCAAAAUAGACAAUUAAAAAAACAGACUACUAAUUAUUAAGAGACUUUAUACUUUAUUAACAUAGAAUUUUACAGACUGAUGUUACAUUAAAAAUGGAAAAUUCGAAGUGAAGCACGAAAUUAAGCAACACAACGUGCACGCAUCAUACUCUAUCUUUUCCAUAUUAACUUAAUUUUUAGGGUGUUCUAUUUUUAGAUUAAAUUAAUUAUUCAAUUUUUAAAAUUAUUUUUAAUUUUAUCCGUAGUUAGUAUUGAAAUUAAUAAUUAAUAUUUAAUUAUUUUAAUCAUAAAUUUAAUAAUAAUUAAUAAAAUAAAAAAAUUAAUUUAUAUUUUAAUGUACUUAGUAGUGAAACACCUUAACAAUUAAGUUAAAUAUGAAAUAAAGGACGUGUAUAACCCGAUUAAGUUAUUGACUAGAAAUAGACAUAAAACCCUGUACUUUUUGACACACAUGUAAUAGCACUUUCUCUAUCUAAUACGCAACUCUUUAUUAAUUUUGCGUAAAUUUUGAGCUAUUUCCCAUUAUAUAUAGGCUACUUAUUUCCUCACCUCUUAAGUAAAAAACUUUCAAGUGUUUCUUCUUUCUUUUAUUUCUCUUUGUUCACAUAUUCUAAAAAUAUUUCAUCAAUGGCAUCUAUCAAAUCAGUUAAAGUUCCUACUAUAGAUUUUUCCAAUUAUCAAGAGCUAAAACCAAACACUCCACUAUGGGAAUCCACAAAAAUUCAAGUUUUUGAAGCUUUUCAAGAAUAUGGUUGUUUUGAAGCAAUAUAUGAUAAAGUUCCAAAUGAAAUUAGAGAGGAAACAUUUGAUAUGUCAAAAGAAAUAUUUGAAUUUCCUUUAGAUACUAAAGUGAAAAAUAUUUCAGAAAAACCAAUGCAUGGAUAUAUGGGAAUGAUUCCACAAUUGCCAUUGUAUGAGAGUUUGUGUAUUCCUGAUUUGCUUAAUCCUCAAAGUCUUCAAAAUUUUGCUAAUAUCUUUUGGCCUCAGGGUAAUCAACAUUUCUGGUAUGUCUAUUUCACUGUUUUCAUCUUUUUUAUUUUCUUACUAUCAUUAUCUUUAAAUUUAAGAAAAAACGAUAAAUAUAUCCUUAAAUAUAAAUGGUAUGCAGAUAUUCUCCAUCAUAUUUUUGGGACAUAUAUUUUUACCGUUCAAAAAUUAAAGCAUAUAUACCAUUUUAUACUAAUGGAUAUAGACGUGUCAUAAUCUUAUCUACCGCCCCAACAUUGGAUCGAUGGAUAAGAUUGUGCCAAGUUUCCUAAUUUAACCAUUCGUUAGAGUGAAGGGCAGAAAUUUUCGACUUUUUAAAUGUCAGGGACAUCAAUGUCCCAAAAGUAUGACGGAGGAAAAAUAUAACGAAAAAUAUGUGCAUACUAUUUACGAUCGUUUGAAAAAAUAUUUGUCUUUUUUCCUUUUAAAUUUUGGCCUAAUGAAAGUGUUCAAAAAGUAUAACAUUAGAGAUUCCCAGUAAAUUGAUUAACUAUUUGACCAUUCAAUAGUUUUAUGGAAUAAGUUAAUUUUUUCUUUGAGAAAAACAAAAUAGGAGAUUAUAAAUGGAAGUUUCCUUCUCGAAUCUAUUCAUUAGCACACCCCUAAACAAACAAAAGUGCCGAUAACGUUAAAAUAUUUGGUAUGAAGUCUCGAUCUACUCAAUAAAAACAAAUAAAUUAAUAGGAGACAAUAGACAGUAUCUUUCUCGAAUCAAUUUCGAAUUUAUUUCUUUUAUCACAUUGUUAAUAAAAUGAAAAUUAUCAACAACAUCAGAAUAUUUGGUAUGUGUCACGAUCUAAUAAUUGUAGAAAUCGAGAUAUAAAUACGAUUUGAGAAAUCAAAGAUUGUAUUGAUGAAAAAUAAUGUUAAGUUACAAGGUUUUUAUAUGGAGAGAAUUGUAGAGUUCUAAGUUAACUAUAAUAAAAUACUAUUACAAUACAUAUUACUAUUAUAAUAAUAAUAAUAAUGCAAAUCCUAGUCGUAAUAUAAUUCUAAUCGACUUCAACUAGUACAAUAAGUAAAUAAGUAGCACUGCGUCUAAUCCUAGUAUGAAUCUAACUCGUCAGUCAGUUCCGCUUUCCCAUUUUUGUUUUCACUAUCCUAGUUUUAAAAAUAAAAUAAAAUAUAAGACUUAGUUAACGUAAAUAUGGCCUCAUUUGUUUGUAUUUAAUUGGGGGUCUAAAUCUUAAUCAAUCAGAUUCGCCUCAUUCAGUAUGUUUGUUUUUUUAUGACUGAAUCUUAAUUAUUUAGAUUUAAUUCAUUAAGUUUGUUUGUUUUAUUUUCUUAGAAGUCUCUUAACGAGUCUGAAUACAUCUGAGUUAAUCAGAUCUGUAAUACACUCUUAAGACCAUUCAGACUCAAAAGUAAUUCCUAUCUUAAUUCAACUACAUCACAAAAACUCAUAAAAGUUUUUUUCUUAUUAAAUUAAUGUUAAUUACAUGCUUACCCGUUAUAAUUUCCUUUAUUUUACUAACUUAAUAUACGUCCUUUACUUUCAUAAAUUAAUCAAUAUAUUUGAAUUGAUAAACACUUCAUGAUAUAAUAUUUAGCACGAUUCUAGAAAACAAGAAAGUAUUGAUUAGUUGAUCGAUAACAAUAACAAAUCUGCAUUAUAAAAUAAAAUGCUUUCAUAAACAUUAUAUUACUACUCUAUAUAAACUAUUUUACAUUGCAUUAUAUUAGAUUAUCAAAGUUUUUGAGUGCAAAAAAGAAUAGUCAUAUAUUAGUGAUGUAACUUAAUGUUAAAUUCUUAAUAGAUAAAUCAUAUGACCUAUUCAUGAUAAGAAUGUCCAAAAAUUUAUUUUCCAUAUAAAAAAUUAUUUUACUAAAAUGAGGUUUUUAUAAUUUUUUGUUGAUACAUCGUUUAAUUUCAUAUGUACAUUCAAAUAUUAAAAACGAAUUAUCUCAAUAAUCCAGUUUUCAUAUUCAGAGAAAAUACCUUAAUAUUAAAAUGUUUAUUCAGAUUUACAUAUCUAGAUCUUAAUGCAUAUUUUAAUAUUUAGAUGUAUAUUCAGAUUCAGACGUUUUGAUCUUAAUAGAAACAAAUAAGGCCUAAGUGAAAGAAUGGUAUCAACUUGAAAUGUUUCUAAAUCUGUUCAACCUUCUUUAUAUGUUUAUAAACAUUAUAUGUGUAUUUUUUUUUUGCAGCAAUUUGGUAAAGUCUUAUUCUAAUCCACUUGUGGAAUUGGAUGAGAUUUUGAAAAGGAUGAUUUCGGAGAAUUUGAGAUUAAAAAUUCACAUUGAUGAAUUGUUGAAUGCCAAUUAUUUCCUAUUUAGAUUUACACAUUACAAGGGAUCAUCAAUUACUGGUGGAGAUGAGAAUAACAAAGUUGCUGGAUUGGGUGGCCACACAGAUGGUAACUUCUUGACUUUUAUAUCGCAAAAUCAAGUCAAUGGAUUGCAAAUCAACAAAAAUGGAGAAUGGAUUGAUGUGAAUAUUUCACCAAAUUCUUAUGUUGUUUUGG